rnacentral:lncRNA from 1 species
AAAAGCAAACUGUUGUCACGUAUUUUAUAUUUUUGAAAAAUGAAGGGCGUUUUAUAAUGCUUUCUGCAAUUCCCUUCAAGGGAUGUAAUCAAACUUACAUUCUUCACUUCCAAGAUUAUUUUGUAAAAGAAAAAUUCGCUAAAUAAAUAGUAAUUUAAAAUUAAUUGAUUAAGAUGGCAAUUUUAUGAAAUACAUAAUUAUUGAGCUUUGAAGAGUUGAUUAUUGACUUGUUCCAAAUUAAUUGAAGUUGAGAGAAGGCUAAUUUCAAUGUUACUUAUUUCCCUCCUUUCUACAUAAAAGAAAAUUAAAAAUACCAUUACAGAUCGGAUCUAAGAAAUAAACCAUUACAGAAACCCACAUGCUUUGGCUUGUAAAAAGUAGGAGAAUAUACACCUUUUCCUUUUUGAAUCUCUUUUAUUUGCAAUUUACUACUUUUUCUAUUUUACUCCUUGCUUUUUUUAGGCUUAAUGAAUUUUUUUGCCACGAAAAAAAUUAUUUUAUCUCUUUGUUUAACUUUUCCCAUUUUUUAGCUUUUAAACUUUUAUUUUUUUUUUGUUAAAUCAUCCAAAAUGAAUGGAAAAAUUAAUGUUUGUUAACUUUAAUAUUAAUGUAGCAUUUACGUGGAUGACAUGUCAAUAUUUAAUUAGUUUUGUUAAAAUUUAAAAAUAUUAAAAAAUAUUUUUAUACUUUAAAAAUUUUUAAAAUUUUAAAAAAUUAAUUAAAUACUGACGUGUCGUUCAUGUACAUGCUGCAUUAGCAAAGUUGACAAACACUAACCUUUCUACAUAAUUUAGGAUGAUUUGAUAAAAGAACAAAUAAAUUUGAGGACUACAAGAAAACAAAAUAUUAAAUAAAUAGUUAAAAUAAUUAUUAUUUAUAAAAUUAGAAGGUGAAAUAAAUCAUAAUGUCCUUUUUAAUUAUUUUGCGUUACACAUGGCACAACCUAGAUGGUCUCCCUUAUAUUUAUUGGAUAUCAAUGGUCGGUACUUUAUGUAAUACUUUGAAACAAUAGGGGCCUCUCUUAUCACAUUCAUAGUUGUAUAUUAUUUUAAUUUAUAAUGUAUAUAAAAAUACGAGUUUAAAAUUUUUUUGAAUAAUGAGAAAAAUUUUUAUUUUUAAUAAUAUUAUUAAAUUUACAUUUUAAAAUAAAAAAAUUGAAGUAAAAUAAAAGUGAUGAUAAUUAUACAUUUAAAAUUAAUUAUAAUUUAAUAGAAGUUGGGUUAAUUGUUAUACAUUUAAAUAUAUUAUAAUUUAAUUUAAAAUUAUUAGUUAAAAAAAUAUUGUGCUAAUUUUAAAGUAGAGUUAUUACUUAAGUAGAAUUAUAAGUAUAAAAUAUAGGAAAAAAAGUUGUGAAAAUUAUAAUUUCAAUUAAAAGUAUUAGUUGAAAAAAUUGAUAUAAAAAAGGUUGUGCUAAUUUUGUUGAUGUAAAAUAAAAUUAUUACUUGAAUAGAAUUCUAGGCAUUUUAAUUAUCACUUAAUUAAUAUAUUAGAGUUAAUUAUGUUAAUCAACUAUUGUUUUGAAUAAUGCUUCUCCUAUUUUUAAAUCUAUAAAACCAAUAAUAUAAUAUAAUAUAAUUAUUUUAUUAAUAGUGUUUUUGUUAGUUAUUUUAUAGUUAUUAUCACUUAAUUAGACUCUGCAUCCAUAUUAAAUUACACUUAUUAUUUUAGAUUAAUUAUCACUUAAUUAGUAUUACAAUUAUAUAUCAAUUAAAACUAAUAUUUAUCACUAUAAAUACAUGCGUUAGUAAGACAAUAUCAUUCCAAUAGCAUACGAGGAAUUACUGGAAAAUCAUUAUUUCAUAUUAUUUAAUAGGUUUUAUUUCCAUCAAAAAAAAAAAGUAUGACUUUCAUUAUUAUAAUUUGAUAUGUUUAGUUAUUAUUAUUUAAUAUAUGAUAUUUACUAUUAUUUGAUUUCAGUAAGACUUACACAAUUUUGAAUGUUCUUUUACCAUUGUGUUUUGAAAUAUUAUCUCGAAUGCAAUUAAGUAUUAAAAUAAGGGUAGACUACAAUUAGUCACCCAACUAUUAGCAUGUUUCUGUUUUGGUCACUGAUCAUUUUCGUCAAUAAUGUUAUGAUUUGUUUUUGUUUUGGUCAUCCUACGUUAAAUCAUCAACAGAAAUAAUGAUGUGACCUUUUUAAAUUGGUAUAAGUACACAUUUAGUCAUUGACACUUACACAUUCGAUCAGUUUAAUCUUAAUUCUAAAUAAUUUAAUAAAUUUAACCUUAUAUAUUUACAAAUUUCAUCAAUUUGUAACAUGGGAAAGCAAAAGCUGCAUAAUCAUUCACCUUGUUGGAUGAUUUAAAAGAAAAGCUUCCUAAAAUUCGAUAUUUAAUGAAAAGGGCCAUGACUAUAACGCACAAAAAGCAAAAGUGUAGCAAUUUCCUUUUAAAGACUUUCUCCUCUAACAAUUAUGAUCAUUACUUUAAUUGCACUAUUUAAUUACUAUAAUUCAUUGAUUUAAUUAUUAAUUUAGAUACUAAAAUAUGUAUUUUUAUAAUAAUAAUUGGAUAAUUAUUUUAUAAACAAGAUUAAGAAGUUAAUAAGUGUCUUUAAUUAAUAUUAAAAAAACUAGUUUUAAUCCUCACGUGCAUUGCACGAUUAUUGUUUUAAAAUAAAUAAUAUACAAAAUAUUUCAUGUAAAUAAUAUUUUAUAAAUCAAAGAAGUUGGAGAAGAAAGAGAAGAGAAUAAAGGGACAAAAAAGUGAAUUCGAUCUUUGAGGGUUUUCCUUGUGGGUGACGAGAAUUGAAGGAAUGAAUGAUUGUGGUCGAGGUAGGAAAAGCGAUUGUGAUGCAGACUAGGUGGCGAUGGAGGGUGGUAGAAGAGGCGACCGUAGUAGCAACACCACUGAAAAAGGAUAACAACAGGGACCACGAGAACAAGAAUAAGAAACAAUGAGUGCAGGGGGUCAAUGAGAAGUUAGUUGUUGCAAUGUUUAGGGAGGAGGAGAAUUAAGCCAAAUUGAUAGUGGAAAGUUAAAUUUAUUGAAUUAUUUAGAAUUAGGAUUAAAUUGAUAGAAUGUGUAAGUAUUGAACACUAAAUGUGUAAUCAUAUCAAUUAAAAAAAGUCAUGUCAUUAUUUCCAUUAAUGAUUUAGUGAAGGGUGAUCAAAACAUAAACAAAUGAUGACAUUAGUGACAAAAAUGAAAAUUAUGGUGACAAAAACAGAAACACGCUAAUAGUUGGGUGACUAAUUUUAUAGUUUGCCCUUAAAAUAAUAGUUCUUUGUAGACGAAACUUUUACUCACAUUCUAAUGGCAAAUUAUUUUAUUUAAUUGCUUAAUAUUUUACUAUAAGUUGUUUCUCACUUUUUUUUCAAAUUUAAUUGGUUUUUAUCAUAAAUUAGACCAAUAAACAUUUAACUAAUAAAUUACAUAUUUGAAUUAUUAAAAAUAUUUUUAAUAAAUUAAAAAAUAAACGCCAAGUAAUGCAUGUGAUAUUGGAAUUAGUAGAUAUAAAAUUACAAAUUUGAGAAAUUGAUAUAAAUACUUUUUUUUUUAUUAUAUUAUGAAAUUCACAUUGAAAAACAACUAUAUAUUCUAUAUAUCCAACUUCUUGAUUUUGUCAUGAAGCGAAGUUUUAUAGCAUUAAACCAACAAUUAUAAUUAAACUAACAAAGUAAAUAUAAAUGGAUAUGGAAAUGAUAAUUAAGCAUAAAAUAGAAAUUGAUUUUGGUUAUAUUUUUUUUAGAUACAAUUUUAUCAUUAUUUUAUAUUACCAUAUUAUAGCCAUGAAACCAACAAUAAUAGAGAAUUAAACUAUCAAUUAUAAUUAUUGAUAUAAAAAAAUAAAAUUUAUACCACAAACAUGGUAGUGAUUGAACUAAUAUGGUUCAAAAUAGAUAAAUUCUUUCUCUUUAAAAGUAAAACACCAAAUUCAACUUCGUUUUUCCAACAGAAGAAAGGGGAAACAAUGUUUUCAAUCUCAUUUUCUAUAGCCUUCGCAGUUAAUUUGGAUAAAAGAAUCCUCUUUUUACUGUAACUAUUUCUUCUUAAAAUAGUAUUUUACUGAAUUACAUUUUUAUUGUAAUUUAAAUUAUUCAAAUUUAUAAAUAAGUAUUAUCUUAUUUUUUGAUACAAUAUUUAUGGGUAGGAGAUGGGAAUAACACAAUUCGAACCCACACCAAAUAAGUGUCUAACAAAAACUUUAAUCACUGUUCCAUUUAAGUCAAAACAUUUUUACAAUAAAAAGUUUGAAUAUAUAUGAUAAAAAAAGCUAUUGAAUUAGACUUUAUAUUAUCUUGAAUUAUAUUUUUAUUGUAAUUUAAACUAUUGAAAUAUACAGAUAAUAGUAAUAUUUAAAUUGUUUUGUAUUAUAUGAAAAAAAUAGUAAUACUGUACUAUUAAAUAAUAAGUAAUUACAUUAAUUUCUUUUGAUACAAAUUCCUAGAACUAUUUCUAGUUCUUCCCUAACCCUUCAAUAAGAGGAUAAAUAUAUUUCAGCGUGCUCGAAUCGACGUCCUCCUGCAUAGGCAACAAUAUCAAUGCCAACCUAACUAGAAUACAAUUGGCAAGUAAUUAUAUUAAUUAAAUGAAAUAAAAAUAUAAUUAACUAAACAAAAAUAAUUACACAUGUAAAUAGACAUGAUACGCAUUAUGACAUAAGAAAUUAGUUUUUUUUUUAAUUUAAAAUUAUGAUGUUUUCUUUUAACUUUUCAAUGUAAAAUGGGAGGAAAAAUUCAUGUUUAAGAGUAGAUAUAACAUAAUUUAGUGGAGUUCCAUGCAACCCUAGAAAUAGGAUAAUUAAUAUUAAGAUAAUUAUUAAGGAUUAUUUAAUUUUAGGAUUUAAUUUUAUUUAUCUUUAUUUAUCUUCAAUAAAUGUAUUUAUCUUUUGAGAAUUUAAGUAGGAUUAGACUAUCUCCCCUAGCACUAUAAAUAAGGGGUGAAGUGACUCAAAAGAGAUCUAUCUUUUUCUGUAAACACUCUCUCCUCAAAAGUCUAGGCUUUUGUUCUUCUCAUAUUUUCUUUCAAUAAAAUCUCCAUUUUUAUUAUUUUUAUUUUCUUUUCCACCACAACCAUGAGCCACUAAAUCCAUCUAGCCGAAGGUUGUUGAUAUUCCCCAAAAAGAGUUCUUGAGGCUUAGAGUCCGUACUUAGCCUCCUUGCUGAGUAUUCAUCGUUUCUCCGCACUACGGGGCUGACGCUUCCGUCCAUGUCCCUUAAGAAGUAAGCUUUUCAACGUAUGCAAAGGCGGCCGCUUUGUAUGUUUUGGGAAGGUUGCACAGUUGGUUUGUUAGCUUACUGCGUCAGAGGUUGGCGAGCCCAAGAGACAAAAUGGCGUAGGAUUCGCCAUUGAGAAGCGUUGAUCUAGCAUGAGAUAAUCCUACAAAAGUGAUUGUUGGCUAGAGUCAGGUUCCAUUAAAUCGUAAGUUUAAAUCAUUGGAGCUAGUGGUCGUAGGCGUCCUCUUCCACUAUAACUGGCUUAUUUGGUUUGGGAAGGAUCAUCUAAAAGCCGAAGAUUGAACCCAAGGCGGAAUGAGACAACUGGAGGCUGGAAUCUCCCAUAAGAAUUUCCUUUCUCUCAAAUCUAUUUUUAAUUUCUCGAAUCUUUAAUUCAACAUUCUUAAUUAUGUUUUUAUUUUAUUUUUCGUUUCCAGAUCCAAACCUUUAAUUAUGUUACUUUCUUAUUUUUUUCCAAGAACGCAGGUUUUCUUGGGCAUGAUUCUGCUUGAGAUUUCAUGGAACAAGACAUUGUGCAAAUCCAGUCCCUGAGGAUUUGACCUUACUUCCCUUUUACUAUUCUUUUUAAUUAUUUAUUAGGGAUAGAAUAUUUUUGGUGUUUUCAACAACCGCAUUAGUUAAAUAAUAGGAAAAUUGUAAUUACUAGUACUUUUAGUUCUUGUGGAUACAAUAUAUUUACUCACUGUAGCUAUACUAUUUAUCGAUAGAUGCACUUGCCUUUGUUGUAUUUUUUAGUUAGUUUCGUGACUAUCAAGCUUGUUUGUCAGUUGUAUGCUAAGUUGCAAUUAAAGGAACAAUUAAAGGAGGAAAUGGUAGAGAUGGACAUGCGAAUUGAUUAUACAGUUCAAAAUCCAUUUUUAUUGCUGCAGGGUCUUGUCCAAAGAGUAACCCACUGUAAAUCAACACAUUACUUGUGAUUUUAGUUCAACUCACUUAUCAAAUUAUAACUUUACUCCUAUAUAUCAAUGAAGAUCACUCUCAUUAAGAAUUUCCCCUUGAAAGCUUAGGUACAAACUUGGCUCUAAAAACAUGUUCCUCUCGAUGAACAAAAUAAGUGCUUUCUCUAAUUUGUACACAAAACUUUGGUCUAAAUACAUAUUUCUUUCGAUAAACAAAAUAAGUGCUCCAUUUAAUUUUUACACAAUUAAAUAAACAAGUAUUCUUGAAAUAAGAAUUGUAGAUAAUCUUCAACCAGUGUGAACAAGAUAUGCUACUGGAAUUGUGCCCCAAUUGGUCUUUUAUAUGACAUCAAAUAAGUAGAGAUUUUCUGCGUUUAAACUUCUAUAAAAACAUGAUCUCCUUAAAUAUGGUAAUUCGAUCUCACUUAAACUCUUCAAAUCGAAGUCUUUGCUUGAAAAAUAUUCAACAUGAUCAAAUCCAUAUAAUUGCUACUCAAAAUCCUCAAAGAGAUAUGAGAAAAAUAAUCACAUGGUUUGACUACCCUAAUCAGAAAAUUUUGCCAAACGACUUUGUUAAUUUAUUACAAAUAUUUCUACAAUAGGAACCUUAAACCAAACUUAAUUUGACUACCUUGAAAAUUUAACUUCUAAGGAAUUACUUCUUAAUUACAAUAUAUCUAACCUCGAGGCGAAGCCUUUGAAGGGAUCCCCUUCUUAUUUGCAUGACAUCAUACUGACAAUGAUCAUCCCUCUAACACGGUCUGGCUUGACCCACCUCAAUAUCCUUAAUCAACCAACGAUUCUUACAAAUAUAGACCAAAAUUCUGUAAGUUCAAAAGAACUUAGUGAGUUUUUUUAUCGCAUUACUAAAAAAUAAACCCCGUUUUACAGGGGUAGUAAUUGUAAAGAAAUUAAACACGUUUAACUCCCUGAUCGUUUUGGGACGAUUUAUUUAAAUCUAGAAUGGCAGACUCCAGUUUCUUUUUUCAGCUCGUUUAUUGGCAGAUAAAUCGAUAGGUGAUCUUCCCCUGGUCAAUUUUAUUGCCAUCCAACUGGUUUUGGUGAUUUUUUAAAUGUCUCGCAAUAACUAUGGAGUUUGACUUUUCUUUGCUUGCAUUAUCUCUUUCACCAUAUACUUAUAAGGUUGUCCUCCUAAACUUCUACCCUAAGGACACUUUGGUUAUGUCUUCAUCGGCGUAGAUUCCAAAUCUAACUAGUCCUUAGCAGACCCUUACUAUAGUCUUGAAGGACUUGUUAACAUCCUAUCAAUCAGGUUAACUAAUGAGGAUCCACACCACUUUGGCAAACUCAAUCUCAUUUCACCCUCCACUCGCGCUGAAAAUUUGGUUAGAUUACUUACUCGUAAUCCGCCCCUACUUGUGAUACUUUGCUUUUACGGUGUAGCUUGUCCGUCUACGGUAGACAGUUUUGGCUUACAAUAUCUAGUAGACUGUUACCUAAGCGACCCUUCAAUUUUAUGAUUUCUCUUGUAUGAUGGUUCCUUAUGGAACUAAAUCUAUGGCAUGUGUACCGAUAGUGGUUUCCCCUCAAAGAGGAAUAGUCUUGACAGUCAUAACUGCCACUUAGAUAGUUCCCUAUCAGUUACCCUUUCUAUCCUUACAUUCCAACUAAUCCCCUCUUUACAAACUUGAUUAUCCGGGGUUCAUACAAUUGAACCUCCCCAUAUAUCUACGAUUUUUAUCGAAGCCUUAUACUGGGAGUGAAUCUCUCGUUAACCUUCCAAAGUCUUCUUUUGACGUACAGAGUUUCUUUUUAGCACUUCUUGGAGGUUCUUAAUGGUAGAUCCUUACCUUUGAUCUACGAAUAAAUCCUCUUUCAUUGCCUCUAUACCAGGUAUUAUCGGUAUGUCAUUCCCAUAACUUAUUCUAGUUAGGUUACCACCCUACGCCUUACCGACUUAAUUGUUUAUCGCUUUGGCAGAUUUUUCCCAUUUCUAUUAUUUUUGCCCAUUUUUUCGAUGAAUUCUUCAAAAUCCGUUGGUUAGCUAUUACUUGCCAACACUUUAAAUUUUCCUAGUUUACGUGAUUUUCCAUGAUUACCGUCCUGGCGAAUUACCCCAUUUUUAUUGUCCUAGCGGACUAUCACAUAAUUACCAUCUUAUCGAAUUACUUGCAUUUAUUAUCCUGCCGGACUCCAUAUGUUGCCAUAGCCGAGCUACGAUCUUACGCAUCAUGCCCUAUGUUUAAGUCUCGGUGGACUCUAUUGGUUGCCAUAGUCGAGCUAUGGUCUUAUGUCAUAGGCCACAGUUCAAAGCCCAUGACUAUCGCAAAAAAUGCAUCCUAUGGAGGUCUAUCGGUUAGAUGGGAUUCAUUUGACCCAUGAGAACUAGCUUAACUUUAAAGAUCUGAUGAAAAAUAUAAAAAAACUUGAAGGGUCUUUCAAGACUAAGGUUUGGAUAAAAAAGUCCACAAGGACUGGUACGAACAAGCCCGCCAAGGAAGGUAUGUAAGAAUCCUUGAGCGGGUAGUUGAAAAGGAUACAAAAAGGGUUCAUAAAAGAAAGCCGAUUAAUGACCAUGUUAGAUAAAGGUCAACGAAAACCUUUAGUGAGGGGAAAGUGAAAUGAAGGAAGGAUAGGUUCACUAGCAUGAUGAAGUACCUGGGAUAGAAUCAAGUGGAGAGUUUAACUAAAAGAAGGACAGUCAGCGAGUAGCUUAGAGGAUUUGGUGGUGUCCGCCACCUUGAUGUCAAAUAUUCGCCUUGAGCAAGUAGGGAUUAAUCCUUAUUUAUUUUAUAUUAUUUUACAUUCGUUACCCUUGUGUGGUAGGGUUAUUUAUGGACAAUAAAGGAACUCAGUAAGUUCAUUUGAUCUUACAGCAACAUGCUGAUGUUUGCAAGACUAUGCUGAUGUUUGCAAGACUUGCGAGGAUGAUCGAGGACUUCGAGGAGGGACUAAGCAAGAGGGAAUGAUGAGAUCGGGGAUAGUAGGAAGUUAGGGUCAUGCACAUUGGAAAAGGGGUACUGUCAGAGGCUUCGCCUUAGGAGUUGUUAUAUUGUAUUCUAUUAGUGCCCUAGAAUAUGGGUUUUUAGGAGAAAUAGCCUUACUUAAAUUAUGAGAGUUGUUUUGUAAAUAAAUAGUCAUAUUAGGAACCGAAAUUGUGAGAAUAUAAACAUUCAGUGGCUUUAGGUUUUUGUUGCAAGAAUUAUAAUUAUUGUUUUCAUUUAAGUCUGUUUAUAAUAGUCCAUUGAUAAAAAUUAAAGUAUAGGUAAAAUAGGUCCAAUUAUGACGUUCCAUACCUGGAUCCAACAGACAGGUCAAACGUGGGGUGUUAUAGUGCUAUAAUGGAAGGCAAGUCUUCAAUCAAAACAAUGGUAGUGCUCCUUGAGUGUUGCUCUGAUGCGGUAGUGAAGGAUGAGUUGGUUGUGAUCAUUAGGAAAAUGAAUGUACCACCAAAGGUUGAAUCCUUUCUUUGGUUGGCUUGCCAUGAUUGUUUACCCUCAAAAUAUUUUUUUCAUGAUUAGGUAAAUGUCGACGGUGUUUUCAUUUUGAUAGCGGGGCCUAUAUUUUUUUCGAGUGCUAUUAUUUUUUAGUUAUAUGGUCGAUAGUGUUGUGGUGGUGAGGUUUUUCGUGGGUUAUGUGAUAAGUGCAUAAAAUGCCAAUUUAAUUGUGAUAAAUUUCCCUUUGAAUUGUACUAUUUAAGUCAUUAAUAUUUUAUUUUAUCUCAUUUUUUAUUUUUCAUGUAUUAGGUGAAAGCAUUGGAGAAAGUGAGCUUAAAGAUUAAUUUUGACAAGUUUUUGUGUAUUGGACUUUCAACUUAUACUGCUUCAGUAUUUUGGUCAUACUUGAGCUACAAAACUCUGAUUUGGGCCCAUAGUUUACCAUUUUGAAUGGAAUCAAAAGAUUUGCUGGACUUACUUCAAAAGCAAAGCCUAAAAAAAUUUCAAGAAGAUGCCCAAAACGACCUAGAAAUUCGAAACACAAAUCUAUCAAAAAGCUAGAAAACUCCUUUAAUUUAUUAAGGGAAUUUUUUCUUUUCUCCCUUAUGAGAAUUUUUCCCUACAAAUACAUAGUUUUAGAUUUGGAAUUGUAGUUGGUCACCUACAUCAUCUUUUUUUUUUUUUUUGCAUUUGUUUUCUUCAUGUGUUGCUAAACUUUUUUUCUAGUCAAAGGGAUUUUGAAGUUUUGAUUCUUCAUGUUUAUGAGAUCAAAUUUGUUCUUAAUAUUUUCUUCAUAAUUUUGUAUUCAUAUAUAUUUUAUUUUAAUUAUAAAUAUUUAGGUUUGUUGAAUAUAGGGACCGAUAUUGGAUAACUUAGAAUGUAUUAUUUGUCAAUUAGAAUUUAAUUGUUUAAUUGGUUCUAAUAUAUGUGACAAAUAGCAUGAUUGAGUAUAAGCUACAUAUGCAAUUCAUGUUAUGUGGAUAUGUAAUUUAGUCUAGAACUCUAUUUGUGUGUUUGUUAGCUAAAUUGGGUCUCUUUUGUUCUUUAUGCUAUUGAUAAAUUAAAUCUUAAGCAUUCAUCAUAGGAUUAUUUAUCGAUAAGAGAAAUAAUUAAUGGUGUUCAUCUUGGUUAUUGAAAAAGUAAGAAGAGAAUAGUUGCUAGGCAUUAGCCGAUAACUAUAGCCAAUUUAUUACAAAAUAUUGAAAUUUAUCUUUACAUCACUGAUUAACUCACAAAUCAAAACUGAGAUUUUACUUUUGACUAGGCUUACAUGGUUUUAAUUUUAAAUUUAGUCUUUAAAUUUAAAACCCCUUUCUUAUUUUAAAUUUACUUGUUUUCACUAAAGAAAUAAAAUUAUGAUGGGUCUCUAUGGAUUCGACCCUACUCAAUGUUAUAUACGAAAUUUUAUAUUUUUGAAUAGGUUUUUUUUUUAUUUUUGUUGGUUUCCACGCCCAUUAUUAUGCCACAUACGAUAAAAGAUUUAUUCUUCAAUGUUAUGAUGUUCUUUUCUCGAGUGUUACUAAAAAAAAGAUGGAUGACUAUCUGUAGUACAACUCUUUGGACGUUAUGGUUUAUGAGAAACUCAUCAGUUUUUGAUAAUAAAGAAUAGAAUGGCUUGGAAGCUGUGUUCCUUCACAAACUUAGAUCUAUGAUCCGCAUUAAUGUCUUGGAGGGUUUUAAUAACAUUAUUGAAGCAUGUUGGUGGGUUUUUCCAAGACUCUGCUAUACAUGUUUUGUUGCAUCAAAUUGUAGAGUUGGUGUUUCUUGGUCUCUUCUUGAUAUUAAUACCAUGAAGUUUAAUGAGGAUGGUUCUUCACAUGGUAAACCAAGUCUAGCAGGGUGUGAUGGUGCUUUAAGAGAUGCUACAGGUUGUGUUAAAGGUUCGCUUUUUAGUCUUUUGGGUAUUGUCUGUUUGAAUGAAAUUUAAUUGAUUGCUACCAAAACUACCUAACAACUUUUUUAUUCUUUACAAUGGGUGCAUUUAGUUCCCAUUGUUAUUAAAUCUAAUUCAAUAGUAGCAGUUUCAUGGGUGUGCAAGAAUGAAUUUAGGUCAUGAAGAUUGUGGAAGAUUUUUAACAAGAUUGAUCAAUAUGUUGACUUUAUUAAGCAAGUUUCAUUUGUUAAUGUGUUUUGAUAGGCUAAUGGCUUAGCCGACUCCCUUGCCAAGCUUGGUUGUUUGUCGAAGAUCUCUAUUUUAUACUUGGCGUCAAUGGUUCUAUUUUACUAGUGUACCUUUAUAUUGGUUGUUUUAAAUAUCAUAUCUCAUUUUUCUUGAGAUUUCUAUUGUGCUUUUGGUAAAAAAUUCCAAAGAGAGAGAAUGUCAGUUACACAUUCUAAUUGUACCAUCAGUUAUAACUCACUUUAUAAUUGAACGGCUGUGUAAAAUACCAUAUAUGUUGGAAUAUUUUGACAUGAAGUACUUGAGUUUCUUUAUAUGUCUCUUUGAAAAUUUUAAGCAGAAAUGAUCUAAGAAUGAUCAAAUUAAAUUACGAUUAAGUGGGAUAACGAUUGGAAGAGUUUAUGUGUGAUCAAGAUACCAUAUAUAAGCAGAUUGAGUUUCUAUUGAAGGUUAAUUCGUGAAGAUUUUUGCUUAUUUGAUGUCAUAUAAAAGUCUAAUUGAAUCAUAGUUCCAAGGGCAUACAUCAUUCACACUAAUUGAAGAUUUACAAGCCUACAAUACCUAUUUAAAGAAAAUUGCUUACUUUAUUAUGAACGAGUUGAAGAGAGCAUAAACUUAGUUCAUCUUAGGAACCGUUGGAGUUUUAGAAAAAAAAACUUAUGGAAAAGAGAAAAUAACAAAGUCAAGAGAAAAGUAGAAGUAAUUGGAAUGGAAUGAGUAUAUUUUAUUGAACUGGAACUAGCGUUUAUAUAGUAAACAAGUUAACAACUAUUGACUAAAAAUAUGCUACUAACAGAAUUAUAAUAUCUAAAAAAACUCUAAAAAUAUGAAAAAAAAACAAAAGAGUUAUAAUUAUAUCUAAAAUUAGCUAGAUUAUGGUAAUUGAAGAAAAUUUUCAACACUCCUCCUUGCUUCAGUUGCUGUAAAUUCCAAGAACAUUUUGCAGCAUAGCUGUUAAUUGCUUUGCAAGAUCUGCACCAUAUUGACAGCUAUUUGUUGCCCCUCUAAUGUUGACAACAAGAAAAGGCUUUACAAGCAAAGCCAGUUCAUCAUGCCAUACUGAAGUAACACUUCUUAAUGCAACUGAAUCAACCAGAUGAAGAGCUCCUACAGUAAGAACCACAUGCCUAUCAAGAGGUCUACGAAGAGUUAUCCACCUCUGGUGAAACCAAGGAACUUUUCUCAGUCCAUGAGGAGUCAAUGGAUAAUAAUCAUGCUAGGAAGUAACCUCUAAAUCAAACCUAUCCAACCAUGACCAUGGAUGUUGUGUAUGAACAGCAAAAACAUUUUCUAUAGCUAACUAUUUAAUGGGGCUCGUAAUGGAAAUUGUAACCCGACUAGAUAUGAUGACCAACAAAGGCAUGUUAAAUUCAUCUUUGGCAGUAAAACCACCCAAAUUAGCAACAGGUCUAAGAGGUGGUUCUUCUGAAUAUGGAUGAGAAAUUCCAUGAGGUGUAACUGAAAAACCAAGCCCCUCACCAUCAUUCUGGUUUUAUACAGUCAGAGGCGAUAUCAAUAUCUCAUUCUCUUCAUUUGAAUCACUAAGAACAAUAGCCUUUGCAUUUCCUACUAGUGUAGAUUGGUUUUAGUCAGUAAAUUCAUGUGCUGAAUCUGUUAAUACAAAACUCCGGUAAGGAAAAUCUCGAACACACGAUCAGAACUUGAAAAGAAAAGAAGAAAUAGGACAAGGCUCCAAGGCAUAUAUCAAGCCACUAUCUUUAAGGUUAUAUUCGCCCUCACUUAUCUUCAGUGUGCAAAUGAGUUCCAAGCAAAUUAACCUCGAGGAUACAAUGAAGCCAAUAACUAUUUGCGUUUUGCACUGACGAGAAUAGUCCACUUUGCACUGAGUAAUGUAUAACAAAAACUCAAUUUCUACAAAGGAUUUUUGCAGUAAUACUUUAUAGAAUAAUCUAAUAAUAUUAGAAAAUGAAGGAAGAGAAGAAAUAAUAUUAGAAUUUGUUGAUAUAUUUCCAAAUGAAAACCCAUUCCUAUUUAUAGGAAUUUUCUUGUCUCUUCAUAGAGACAUCUUUCAAUAGGUGUCUUUAUGAAUAAAUAAAUAAUAAUAAUUAUUCAUUUAAUUUUGUAACUAUUCAAAUAAUAUUUUUUGAAUAAUUAUAAUUCUUUUUUAAAAAAUCAAAUGAUAUAACUUUUGACCAAUGACCAAAAGAUUUAUCUUUUGAUUAAUUACACCCAUUCAUUUAUAGUUAUUAGGAUACUAUAAAUAUUUGAAAAUGUUCCAACAGAAUCUAUGUUUAGAGGCACUGAAUCAAGUUUAAUCUCAUUGCUUGUAAAAUUCAUAAGUUCCACCAACAUCCUAAUUUACGCUGGCAUCUUCACACCCUUACCACUUCCGGUAGCGCCACUACUCACUGGUAUAAUUUUUUGCUCAUGAUGUAGCUUGUUUGGUAAUCUAGUAAAAGAAGAGUUGUUUAAGUCUUCAGGCUUGCUAAAUUGCCAGUACCGAUUUUGAUUAUUCUUUAUUCUGAGUUUCAAACUUGUAUAUCCUUUAAAAGUAUCUUCAAGUUUGAUCUGCUUCAGAAUUCCAGCUGUAUGAUUGAAAUGUCCAAGCUCUUCUGCGAAACUUCAGCAUGAACAUUUGUUGAAGAGAGCGCAGCUUGCUCCUCCUCCAAUGGAUCAAGUACAAGGCUCUUUUCUUUCAUUUUUACUUUGAAUGCAUCGUUGCCAUUUGCAUAUUAGAUUAAACAUUAAUUUGAUUCAAAGAUAACUUUGAAACCCUUUUGAAUUACCUGGCUAACACUCAACAAAUUUUGACUGAUGUUAGGUUCAAAUAACACAUCUUUGAUAAAUUUUGUACAUAAAAUUCUUUCAAUGGAAACUAUGCAUUUUCCCUUUUAUUGCAAUGUACUCAUCAUUGCCAAUCUUUACUUAGAAAACUAUUGGACUAUCCAAGUCUUUGAAAAGCUCAUGAUGAAAAGUUAUAUGGUUGGUACAACCACUGUCAAUGAGCCACUUCUCACUCGAAUGACAGGUUGUAAAACAAGUGGCCACAAAGAGUUGCUCAUCUUCUUCUUCGUCAAUGACUUGAGCAACAUUCUUUUGUUGCAAAUGCACUUGCGCAUCAGUCUUUUGCUAAGUAUUACUUCUGUAAAAUCUUUGAUGAUGUCUCAUCUUCUGACAUUUUACACAUUGCUAGUCUGAUUUUCUCCAACAUUAGAAAGGUGGAUGAUCCUUUCUUCCACAAUGUUUACAAAGAGGAAAAUCAUAUUUUGUUCUUGUAUUUUUACUGAAAGAAUCAGAACUUGAAUUUCCCUUUUUGUUCUUUUCAUGUUUCUUUCCCUUUCCUCCUCAACUAUUCUGAGCUUCUACAACUAAUGCACCUUCAACAAACCCUUUAGUUCUCACGAGCCUUCUAUGUUUUUGUACUUGCAAAGCAUUCAUCAAUUUUGCCAAACUAAUCUUUAACAAAUCUUUAAUGUUUUCCAAAGAGGAAAUGGUAGCUUCAAAUUUUUCAGGAAUAGUUACAAGAAUUUUUUGAACUAAUCUGGAAUUAGGAAAUUUAGAACCAAGUAAUCUUAGUUUGGUUGCGAUUCCAAGUAAUUUGUCAAAGUACUCAUUCACCGUCUUAGAGUCCUUCAUCUUCUAGAGUUCAAUCUCUCUAAUUAGGUCUAACAUUUUCAUGCAUUUAAUCCUUUCAUCACCUUCAUACUCCUUUUUCAAGAAAUUCCAAACUUCAAAGGCUAACUUUAUUGUCAUGAUUCUGAGAAAGAUGUUAGAUGAGACUGCAACAAAUAAUGUAGCUCUUACCUUUGAUUUUCUUCAUUUCUUCUCCUUGUGAUUCUUCAUUUGUACCACUAUCAAAUUGGUCGAUAACGAAGGAACUUUGUAGUCCUCCUCUACAGCUUCCCAGAGAUCAUUUGCCUCUAGAUAAGCCUCCAUCCUUGCUACCCAAACAUGGUAAUCAUCACCAUUGAAAAUGGGUGGUGCAAGUGCAGUGAAAGGAAUUUCUGAAUCCAUGAAAGAAAAAAAUUUCCACAUAGAUCCUUCAAGAAAAAAACUCUUGAUACCAAUGUGUUUGAAUUUGAUAGAAAAGCUUAUGAAAAAGAGAAAGUAACAAGGUCAAGAGAAAAGUAAAAGUAAUUGGAAUGGAAGGAGUAUAUUUUAUUGAACUGAAACUAGUGUUUAUAUAGUAAACACGUUAAUAAAUAUUGACUAAAAAUAAGCUACCAACAGAAUCAUAAUCUCUAAAAAAUCUCUAAAAAUCUGAAACAAAUCAAAGAGUUGUGAUUAUAUCUAAAAUUAGCUAGAUUAUGGUAACUGAAGCAAAUCUUCAACAUGAACUUUUUUUAAUGUAAGUCCAUUAUGAGCAAAUUAUUUUGAGGUUCAAAUUUGUAUCUAAGAUUUAUAGAGGAAAGUCUUAGAAAAAAAAAUGAUUGUAACAUCUCAAACCCGGUCCAGACGUUAUAGUUGAAUCUGGAGAAAUUACAUUAGUUUGUUUAAAAAAAACCCAGAAGUUAAAUCAUAGCUUUAGAAACCAAGAAUUCUAAAAAUAAUAUUUUUAGCAAAACACUUAAAUGUUAUUUUAGAAAUUACGCACAGAGCUUAUUUAUUUUACAGAAUAGCUCUUAACUUGAUCUUAUUCGAAAACUUUUGAUUUCAAUGAGUGUUUAGAAAAUAUAAAUAUAACAAACAUUCGUUAAAAGCUAUUUAUUCGUUUAUAGAAAAAAAACUUAAGAAAUUACUUAAUUUGUAGCGGAAAUUUUUUCAAAAUUUUAGUUUUGAAAACUGUAAUCCAUUUUGUUAACUCGUGUGAUUUUGUAGUUUCACAUUCGAAAAUCUCAAAUGUCGAUGAAUUAAACAAAAACCAAAACAAAGCUCAAAAACAACUUACAAUCCCAAAAGUCCAAAAUAGAUAAUUACAAAUAUCACCAUAUUUUAAUUAACUGAGAAAACAACCCGAGCUCCUGUACAUCGUCUGGUCCUAAGUUUGUAGUUCACCUGAAACGUAUUAACAAACGAGUGAACUAGAAGUCUAGUGUGCAACUUGAACCACAAAAUAGAAUUUCCAUAAAACAUACACAAAUGUAAAUACUAACAUAGAAUUUUACUUAUAAUGUUCACACAUAUGAAAAAUCAUACCAGAAUGGCACCAUACCAGAAACAUAUUAUCAAAAUAGAAUAUCAUAUUUCCAGAACAUAUAUCAUAUCAAAAUGUCAUAUCAUAUUGGAACAAAUCCUACCCCAAUCUGCUACACACCAACUCUAUCCAACCAAUCACACUAAUAGGACUACAUGAGUCCAUCCAUCCAAUCACAUCGAGUCGUGGUGAUAUGCCACUCAUAAUGGUGCAGCUGAGUUGCCAAACAUAUAUUGCAGUUUAAUCGCCAAAAUUACAGUAAAACUGCCAUAAUACACUUCUUCCUUUCAAUAUUAACCCAACCUAAUGCGUGUGAUAUGACAUAUAGAAACAAAAUCAGAACAAUGACAUGUUUAUCAUGCAAUCACAUAUGGCAAAUUCUGAAGUUUAUCUCAUAUUAAGAGAUCAGAUUAACAGCAACAGAAUCGUACCAUAAUAUCACAAACAUGAGUGUCAAAUUACAACAUAUUCAUUAUCACACAACAAAUCGAAAACUGCAAAAUACAAGUCAGAGCAGUUGCCUUAGAUUUAGAAUUAGUAAUCAUUUUAGUACUUCCCAAUCGUCACUUAAUCACAUUUCAAAACAAAAUCACACGAGUUAACAAAAUGGAUUUCAAUUUUCAAAACUAAAUGAUUAACACAUAGUUUUUUUUACUUAAAAAUGAUUAACACAUAGUUUUUUUACUUAAAAACCCAUACUACUUACCAUAUCAUACUAUCAAAUUUCAAGUUUUCAAGUCUUAUUUAAGCCGAACGGACCCCACGAAAGGUCUAAUUAUGAAUUUCAGAGUCAAACGGGCCUAGGUGAAAAUUUUUAAAAAAUGGGUCCACACAGUCGUGUGGCCCAUACGACCCAACUAGCCCAACCCAUGUGACCCAUAGGUUUGCCACACAGCCUACCACACGGCCGUGUGACCUAUACAGUCUGCCACAUGGCUUGACACACGGUCGUGUGAUGAAUAGUAGUUUCGAAACAACUACUAUUUUCACAGAUUUUCCAGGUUCUAAACAACGUUUUAGUUUAGAAUCACACACCUGAUUGUUGAUUUGGUCAACUACACAACUGAGACUCACGAAUCCUGGAAUCGAAAUUAAAACGCAUUGAUUACCUAGCCAAAAUAAUCCCAAAAUUUCUCAUAAACACACCCUUUUUCACAACAAAAAACAGCCCAAAAAACCAUGCUCAAUCACUUACUACGAAAUUAACAGUUGCCAAAAUCGUUCCUAAUUAGUUGGCGAACCGUCGAGCACCUCGCGGUUAUCUCCUAACAAUAUAAAAACACACAACACAGAGAUUAAAUUCGAACAAUUUUAAGCAACACAAUGCUUAACUUAAUCCAACUUGAAACACUUGUACACUUAUCGAGCUUGUCACAACUUCACAACGAAGAACGAAAAAUAAACCAAACUAAUAGUAGAAUCACAACGAAAAGUAAACUUUUGAUGCGCAAUACCCAAAAAUUGAAAACAAAACCCACCCAAAAAUAGUAGAGAGAAACCAAGCAAAAGAGACUGUGGAAGAAACAAAACCCACACAAAAAAAGGAACGUGAGAAGCACAAAGAAGUGGACAGUUAAGGUUGAGAAAAAAUAGGGAUUUGGAAAACAAGUAUUAAAAUAAAAUAACUCAAAUUUUAUCCCACCAGAUUUCAUAGAAUUUAAAUUAAACUCUAGUACCCAACAAAAGCCUGAGCAAAAAUAUUUUCCACUUGCGCACCACAAGAUUCAAACACAAAACCAAAGCGUAAACUAACAAGUUAACCUUAUCACUGAACCAACAAACUCAUUUUGUUAUCAUUUGCAUGGAAAUAAGAUUUAAGUCAAAAGACUAGGGAUAGGAAUUGAAAUAACAAAAUUUCAAAGAUAAAAUUUAAACUUAGGACCUCACACACACAUACAGAACACAUAUCAACUAAACCAAAUUAAAUUAUUUUUCAUAAUUUUCACAACCUUAAUUCAAUGUAGAGCGUGAACACUCUUGAUUCCACUAACCCAAUUUCUUUUAACCUGGUUUUCGGGAUGUGACAAUAAUCUUAUAUGGUUGAUGUAAAUGUGUGGGGUUGUAACUUGAUAGGCGAGUUGAACUUAAAUCCUGACUUGUAUUGUUGAUGUACAGUGAAUUACUCUAGUAAGAUUGACUCCAAAAAUUCAAAAUAGAUUUUCGAAUUGCAUAAUUAGCUCUUGUAUCCAUCUCUAUUUUUUACUCUCUUAUUAAUUCAUCCACUUAUAUCUUAACUAAUAGUUGACCAUCAACACAAUACUUUCACAUUUAAUAAUCUUCAAUUUUUGAAAUUGCUAACCUUUCGUAUCAUAAAGACCUAAAUCAUAUUCUUUAAAAGAUCGUAACCUAUAUGUAGUGAAAUAUUGUACAUUCUUUUUUUUUUUUAACUUACAAUAUUAUACGUAGGUGGAAACUUGAGUAUAGUUUUUAUAAAAUGCUAGGGAUGCAAGAUUGACGGAAACAAAUACAGUAUCGAAGACUACAAAUGGUUGCUCUAUUGACUCAUCCUUCCGAUCAUAUAUAUAUAAAGAAGAUAAACCAAAGCAUGAAUUCAUUAUGUAUGUAUAUGUCACUUAGUGGAAUUGGAUAAUAUAUGGGUAUAUAUUAUGGAUUCUUCCUUCUUUUACUUAAGUAUUGACCAUAUCAUUAAUUAACCCACUCUUGACUUGAAUCACCUUUUUCACUGGUAUCUUUUGGACUCCCAUGCUCAUCUUUCGAAAGAUUAUUGAAUAAAUGUUGUUGAGGGAAGAAUUAUAUGGAUAUAGUACAAUCAAGCAGCAAUCAUUUUGUUGAUUAAUGUGGCAACUAAUAUAUAUAUUUCAUUUGUCGAAAGAAAAGUAACUGGGUAGCUAGUAAUGUAGUGCACUAAUUAAUAUAUUAUAAUUAACCAAAGGAAAAUUGCAGAUACGAACAAGUACAAUGAUUGUGGGUGCUAAAUCAAAGUGCUUCUUCAUGAUAUGGUUUUAUCGAACCUUUUUAUUUGUGUAAUAUUAAUUAAGUAGCAAAUUGGGAUGAAUGAGUUAUGACAAAGAUUAUCUGUUUUAUAUGAAUGUGUUUAUAUGUAGAUAGAUAAAUAAAUAGAUUAUUUUGUUUGCUUUUGAAUGGAGCUAGAGAAUCAUGAAAAAUUAUUUAACACCCACAAUUACAAGCUUUUUAGCUCAAUCAAACCAAAAUGAUAAUGUACACUCGUGCAAUGCCAUAUAAGAAGAUCAAGGAUUCUCUUUUUAGGCUUGUGGGAGGAAAAGCUAAAGCACACCCUCCUCUCUCUUUCUUUCAAGAUACCACCUUUUUUUAAAGUUAGCUAGGUAGGGACUAGGAACCGUCCAUUUAAUUUUUCUUGUAUAUAAAAUAUUAAUACAUUUAGGGAGAGACGGUAAAUGAUGCCUAAACAAAAUAACAAGCCUAAAAAAUUGAUUGAUUAAACAAGGUCGCCAUCAAAUUAAAGUUUCACUAAUUAAGGAAAUUGAAGAAGACAAAUGAUAUGAAGUGGGAAAUAUAUGGGAAGGCAGAUUGUACAAGUGAUGAUUGGGAGUGUUGGAACUGAGAAGGAAAAGACAAGGUUUCAUUCAAAGUCUUUGCAUAAAGGAAAAUUCAAAUCAAAUGCAAAAGCUAGAAAUUUACUGCUUUUUUUAUUACAAGUUGUGGAAAAGUGAUCUUUAUAGGAUCAUUUUACCAAUAAAGGCCUAUUUUAAAUUUUAUUUAUGUAAAUGGGUCACUUUUUUAUUAUUUAUCGAAAUAGGCUGAAAACACUAAAAUAUGUCUACGUAGGAGCGUUUUAAGGAGAAAUUCCAGCAAAACGAGUCCCUGAGGGAGUGAUUUUGCCAUGUCACCACAAAAUGCGCUGACAUGACAAAAUCGCUCCCUCAGGGAAGCGUUUUAGCCCGUGUUUUUCUAAGGUUAGAGCUAUUUGCAUGUUUAGUGCCUAAGGUUUGUGGGUUUAGAGUUUUAAGGUUGUAGUGUUAGUGUUUUGUUAAAAUAAUUUAGGAUUUUAUUUAUUUAAGGUUUGAGAAUUUUUUAAAAAUAAAUCAGGGUUUAUAAUUUUUUUUAAAUUAAUUAAAUUAGGUUUUAAGGGUUUUAAAUAAAUAAAUUAAAUUAAAGUUUAGAGUUUUUAAGAAAAUUAAUUAAAUUAGGGUUUAAUUUUUUUAAAAAUAAUUUUGUGUUUAGCUUUUAGGGUUUUUGUAAAAGGGUUUAGGUUAAGGGUUUAGAAAAAAUUAUAUUGACAAGAAGGAUUUUGUUUUUUUUUCUUUAGUAGUUUCAGAAAAAUUAAUUUUGAGAAGACGGUUCUGAAAAAAUAGUGUUGAAAACGCUUCAAGUAAGAUGCACUAUCAGCAAAAUUACUGAAAAAAGCUCCCACGUAGACGCUCUUUUUCUACAGUUGUUCCUGAAAAAAUAAUUUUGAGAAGACAGUUCUGAAAAAAUAGUGUCAAAAAAGCUUCAAGCAAGAUGCAUUGUCAGCAAAAUUACUGAAAAAUGCUCCCACGUAGACGCUCUUUUUCUAUAGUAGUUCUUGAAAAAAUGAUUUUGAAAAGACAAUUCUGAAAAAAUAGUAUCAAAAACGCUUCAAGCAAGAUGCACUGUUAGCAAAGUUACUGAAAAAUGCUCCCACGUGGACGCUUUUUUUCUACAGUAGUUCUUGAAAAAAUUAUUUUGAGAAGACAGUUCUGAAAAAAUAGUGUCAAAAACGCUUCAAACAGGAUGCAUUGUUAGCAAAAUUAUUGAAAAAGCUCCUACGUAGACGCUCUUUUUGUACAAUAGUUCCUGAAAAAAUAAUACUUAGAAGACGGUUCUGAAAAAAUAGUGUAAGAAAUACUUCAAGUAGGAUGCACUAUCAGCAAAAUUACUGAAAAAAGCUCCCACAUGGACACUCUUUUUCUACAGUAGUUCCUGUUUGGCCUUAGGCUAUAAAUGAGCCAAAAUUUAUUCUCAUUUGCAUAAGUUACAGCAAGAAAAAUUAGAGAGGCUAAGCAGAAUAAAAAUUAGAGAUGAGUAAACGUAUUAGUGUUGUUAUUUACUAUGAUGGUGAGGUCCAUGACACUGAGAAUGGCGUUAUUUUUUUAUCAAAGAACACAACGCGACUGGUUUGACAGAACUUCGUAAAAGACUUAGGCACAAAAUCUUCUGGACGACGCCAAUGAGAGUUUUAUCUAUUAAGUAUUGAUUUUGUGCUUCGAUUGAUCCCGUGACAUAUGACUCAUUUGAUAUCAAAGGUGGUCGUAGCUUGGAGGCGAUAGUGCAGACUCAUCUCGCUAGUGGAUCACCCUAUCUUGAGUUAUAUGUACAAUUUUCAUCGCCAAAUGAAGUAUUUGCAACUUCAACAUCUAAUGUUGUUCGAGAGGAAUACAUGACCCCUACCUGACACUCCGUUAGUGGGAGGCAGAACAACGAAACGCCCAUGUUUAGUGGCAGUAUGAAAUACACAACUCCUGCACGACACUCGGUUAGUGGAUGGGACAUGCACCUCAAUGGGUUGAUGUUCGAUGCUGGAAAUACGUACUUAGGAAUGUCAUCAACUUCUAGUGGUUGACAAUCUACAUAUGAUUGGGGACGUUACAAAACAUCCACAAGAAGGUAUGAUGUACUCCCUACGACGUCCAUUGGUGAGAGAACCUCGUACGUUGCAAAUGAUGGUGGGUUGGAUGAUGAGUUCGAUGUGGACCCACCUCGAGAGCCCGGCCUCGAUAGUGCAGAAGUUACAUUAUUUUCUGAACUGGCCUGUUCCAACCAAACCUGAAGACAAUGAAGGGGUUCAGAUGAUGAAGAAGAAGAUCUGCGAUUCACGGCGUACUCGCCUCCAGCCCACAUACAUAAUGUUAAUCUAUCAGCAGAUGAUGCGUUGGAGUUUCCAGAUCUACCACACAGAAAGCGUGAUCGUACAAGUUCGUCAUUGGAUUCAGGUGAAUUAGAAGUUGGUAAGGAGUUUUCCAGUAAGGAUAGUUUUCUUAGUGCAUUGAAACAACACAACAUCAUGAACGUGGUUAACAACCACGUGGUUAAAUCUAAAUUUAAAAAGUUCGUGGCCAAGUGUGAAGUGCAAGACUGUACAUGUUCAUGGAAAAUCAUAACUUCGGUUAGGAAAAAGACAGGCUUGUGGGAGAUAAAAAAAAGUACAAUGGUCCACAUACCUGUGUUGCUAGUACAGUAUCACUGGGUGUUUAGGAUUUUUGAAUAAUACUAUUAUUACUUAAUGUUGCAUUACUUAACAUACUUUGUUGACAGGUGUUUCACAAGAUCAUCCCAAAAUGGAUUCAGAUAUGAUAGCUAGCUUAAUACUACCGAUGGUGAAGGUAGAUCCCAGGACUUGUGUCAGUCUUAAUUACCAAUAUUCGUAGCCAAUUGACGUACACGCCCUCUUACCGCAAAGCUUGGUGUCAGGUGCUGGAGAGGUAUGUCCCAGGUUGUAUAAUAGACCUUAAAACGGGCCUUGUGUACUACAACGACCGCUUUCUCCGUGGAUGCCAACUGUUCAAGCGUCUGUUCUAGAGCUUUAAGCAAUGCCAGGACGCAUUUAUGUACUGCAGGCUAUUGGUACAAAUUGACGGUUCCUUUAUGUAUGGUAGAUAUACCUAUCGGCUAUUGUCAACUGUGGCACAAGAUGGCGGUGGGAGAAUCUUUCCAAUUACAUUUGUAAUAACACCGGGAGAGUCAGGUGAUGACUGGGAUUUUUUUCUUUCUAAGUUAAGGAGGCAUGUCUGCCCCCAACCUGAUAUCUAUGUUAUAUCAGAUCGGGGUACUGGAAUACUAGCCACAAUUAUGCGACAGGAAAGACUAUGGGAUCGCACACACCAUCGCUAUUGUCUAAGGCACAUUGUGUCCAAGUACUAUGGGCAAUAUCGGUGUACCCUGAACGACGACAAGUGACCAACAUGGGUAUUAAUCUCUAUUAAUAUAAUUUCGUUUGUAAUAUUCAAUUUAUUCUAAAUGGAAGAGUGGUAAGUAAUUUUUGCUAUCAACUUAUAUUGAUAGGGUACGAGAUUAAUAAUGAUCAUUUUCAUGAUAUGUUGGCGAUUUUAUGGUCAAUUAACGAUCAAGGCGUAGACUACCUCUGUAACAUACCUUUCGAUCAGUGGACACAAGUAUAUGACAGCGGCCUACAAUAUGGUCAUAUGACCUCAAACCUGGCUGAAUGCAUAGAUCCUAUUCUAAAAUAAACGCGUCAUUUGCUGAUAACCUCGGUUGUGUGAGAGACAUAUUUCUGUUUGGCGAAACUAUUUCCAAAGCUAGUGAGUUAUAAAGGCCAAAUGCAGGGAGGCCAUGGUGCGAGAAGAUAUUGCAAGAAAUUAACAAGGCGAAGGCGCGGGCCAACACCAUGCACACAGUGUGUUACGAUGGCAACAACUUAUGGUUUUUUGUAACAGAGUUUAAUAGACCGAACCAAGGUAUUACCGGCGGGAAAUAUCGUGUACACCUGAGAAAUAGGACUUGCGACUAUGGGACGUUUUACGCACUUCGUUAUCCAGGAACUCAUGCCAUUGCAACUUGUCAGAAUCUUCAUUCGGAUCCCAUGAGCUAUGUCGAUGAAGUGUACAAAAUAGAAUACAUGUACAAUGUGUGGAGACACGUAUUCCUACCGGUCCCAGAUGAACGUAAGUGGCCACCUGUAUCGCUUACUCUAUUUAAGUUGUUACCAGAUAGAGAAUUGCAUCACAAACUAAAAAGUCAACAUUGCUCGAGUAUAAUACAUGAUAAUAUGGAUAUCCAGGAAAGAAUGAACCAACAAAAGUCGUGCGGAUGGUGUAGGAACCCAGAUCAUACAAUUCAAACAUGUCUAAAUCGAAAUAGUUGAUAAUUGCUUAAAUUAAACUAUGCUGCAUUAUUUCUAUUGCCUUAUUCAAAAGAACUUUUAUUUUAUUAAAUAGGAUAAAAUAUAAAAAUAAUUUACUAUUAAAAUAUUCAAAACAACUUUUAUUUUAUUAAAUAAAACAAUAUAAAAAUAGUUUGUACAAAUAUAUUAAAAAAAUCAAUGUAUGUGCCAUUCGAAAUUAGGGCCACAUGGGGGUGGUUGACAGUUACGCGCUGGAUUCCUUCUUGAUUCAACUUUCGGCACGGGCUGUGGUUGCUCCGGCGAGGGUUGUGAUUGUUCUGGUUAUGGGUGUUGGGAGGAUGACCCACCUUGAUAGAAUAAAGAAUACGGAGGUGUUUGAAUCACCCACGGCAGAGGUGUUUGAAUCUCAUAUGGCGAUUGGGAUUGGAAAUGAGAUAAGCUCCCUGACGGUGCCUCAUAUGAUCCCUCCUGAGACGAUGGUCUAUAUAUCUUCGGUUGAGUCAGAGUGAUCGGAAAAGGAGAUGCACUGGGUCAUACAUUCCAACCUGGCAUAGGACUGAGAAAAGAAAAUAUAUAAGGGUUAUGAUACACACCUGGCAUAAUCUGAAAGGGCUGUGGUGUGGGCAUUGUCGCUUGAGGCAUUGGGCCCGGUAAUUGUGUGGGCACUGUUCAUAAGCCCGUGCCGUCAUCCUUUCUCAUUGGAUUUAAAGGGCCCCGUCGUUCUCUUUCGACAUGGAUUUGCCAAUGCCUAUACUCUUCUGAGAGCAAAUAUGGCUUGUCAUAGAUCCUAAGCCAUGGCAUGUAAUCCGGUGCGCACGCUAACUCUAGAACGAUGAUCGGUUCGCGAGUAGGUAUAUGAACAUACCGAUUUUCCUAAUUUUCGAUAUAUACUGAGAAGAAUACCAGCCAAUGCAUAUUCAAUUGUCGUAAGUCAAUUUUGUGCUCAUCAUCGAGCACCUCAGGUGUCACGGAAAUUAGUUGUCAGAAUCUAAAUUGCUGCAACACUCUAUUUGUCUGGUGCAUUUCGAAAGUAGCAUAGUUGACCAAUGGGACUUUAACAUGCCAAAUGUUCAGAUUUCGAGAGAAUUCAUCUGGAAUUACUACCUGAAUUGUCGGAUCCUCAUAUGGUGUCCAUUAAAAUUAUAUGAAUGUGAUAAAAAUAUUAAUUAUAUACAUAAUACUAAAUACUACACGCUUCCGACCGUUGGUCUAAUAGAAUCCGUAUAUCUUCAAGAACGGUAAGUAUUCCAACAUAACUCGCUGAAUGGUUCUACCUAAUUAAAUAAAUUUUUAGCAAAAAAAUUAUAUUUUAAAUCUAUGUAAUUCUUGUAAAAUCUAAUAUAAAAUUUACCUCGUUAUGAGUGGGAAUGUAUAUAGGUGGUUUACUCGAGGACGUAAAAAUGGAAAACGAAAUCGAACCCAUGAUUAUAGUAGUGACAGGCAACUUCCGAUUUGGGCUUUAUUUGGUUUCGUCGCCCUACACAUCUCCCGGUACAAUGUUGUGAACACGGAAGACCCCUAACUAAGUUCGCCAGCUACUUUAAAAUUAACGAGUUUUAGCAGUCACCUCAGAUGUACAAGGUUUCAUGACACGUCCAGCAUCCGAUAACCUCCAAUGAUCUCAAGGAUGUAUGGCCGAGCAUAUCAUAUUCUUUCUAUUUCAGUCGAAUCAUUAACCGGCUCCAGAAAUGUGUCUUGUAACCAGCCAUCUCGAUCUAACCUCUGUAAAUAUUAUCUGGAAGCAUACCCAAAAUAUCGUAGCAUAUGGCUCCCCAAUCAACAGUUUGAGCGAACCUGGUGAGUACGAAACCAUCCACCGGCAAUCUCAAUUGCUACUGCGCGUCCUCUAAAGUGAUGGUACACUUUCCGCAUGGAAGAUAGAAUGUGUGCGUCUCGAGUCUCUACCUCUCUAUGAACGCACUGAUGAGUUUCGGGUUUAACUUGUACCCCCGGACUAUAUUGGCCACGUGCCAAAAACCCGCUUCCUUCAAGUAAUUUUCUAUCAACGGUGAUGGAGGACUAGAUAUAUUACGAAUAUAACAUUGUAACACCCGAUCUACAAGUUGUUAUGAAAAAUAUAAAAUAAAAAUUAAUUAAAAUUACAUAAAUGAAAAAAAUAUUAAAUAAUAUUCAAAAAUUGGAAUUAACCCUUACCAUUUUCAUUUGUUCGACGGAGAUAUGUUUAUGAUUGAGACGAAUUAAUUCUCCGGCCAUUGCUAACACUAUCAAAUAUUUUUGAAAUUAUAAAAAAUAAUACUAAUUUAGAAAAAAAUUAAAGGAAAUAAUUAAUUAAGUAGAGCUUUGAGAAAUUUAGGGAGAAAUUUGAGAGCUUUUUUGAGAAUUUUGGAAGAAAUGUUUGUGUGAAAAAAAUACGAAGGGGUUUUUAUAGUUUUUUUUUACCGUUGGACCCCCAACGGUCAAAAUUUUAAAUGACUAUUGGGGGUCAAAAACACAGGCUAAAACACGUCCCUGAGGAAGCGAUUUUGCCACGUCAGCAAAGCGCGUCCACGUCAGCGCGUUUUGUGCUAACAUGGCAAAAUCGUUCCCUGAAGGACUCGUUUUGCUGGAAUUUCCCCUUAAAAUGCUCUCACGUGGACACGUUUUAAUAUUUUUGGCUCAUUCCAGUAAAUAAUGAAAAAAGUAGCUAAUUUCCAUAAAUAAGGUAGGAAAUGACUUUUAUUGAUAAAAUGGUCUUUUUAUACAUUCAAACCAACUUUAGUUUCUUCUUUUAUUUUUUUUAUUUUUUUUAAUUUCACUAUUGCAUUUCAUACUUUAUUAAUGUACAACAAAUUUUUAAUAAACAAAAAAAAUUAUUAUUUGUUCGGUAUAAAAAAAUAGAUAUUUGAUGGAUUAACAAUGUACUUUUUUUAUUCUAUAAAUAGUCUUAAAAAUUUGAUGUGUAUCUCUUUUUUUAAAUAUCUAUUUUUUUAAUAUUUUAGUACACCUGUACAGGAUAGUUGUCAAUUCAUUGACAUUGCUUGUGGAAUUUAAAGACUCGACUGACACUGAACUAAAUAUUUUCUCAUAAAAAAUGGAUAAGUAUUUGGUACAUUGACAUUGAACUUUUUGUAUUCCACAAGCAACUAAAAAUUCUACUGUUAGUGUACUAAAUGUUAUUCCUAAAAAAAUUUAAAAAAUAUAUUAAUAAGUAGAAGGGUUGAUAUUUAGUACACUAACAAUGUACUUUUUUAUUUCAUAAGCCGACUUAAAAAAUUAUCACAUGUAUCUUUUUUUUUAAUAUUUUACUAUAUCCCUAUAGAACAUUUGUCAACCCAACCCUUACUUGUAGAGUCUAAAAACUUCGCUGGUAGUGUAACAAAUAUUAUUUUAAGGUUGUGUUUAGUAGGGGUGAGCAUUCGAUCGAAUCGAAUUGAAAAUUUUCGAGUUAAUCGAGUUUUUGAAUCUCAUUUUAUCAUCCUAACUUUAUUUCAAGUUUUCUCGAAUCGAGUCGAGUGAGAUGAAAUUCGAAUCGAAUCGAAUCGAAUAUAUUUGUUCGAGUUAAAUUUUAAAAAAUAAUUUUGGGUCCUUGUAACCACUGUCACCCAUCGUAAUAAAAUUUGUCCACCUUAAUCAAAUUUUUUAACUUUCAUCACCUCAUAAUUUAUUUAUUAAUUUUUAUAUACUGGUUAGCUUCUUUGCUUGCUUAGUUGUUUCAAUUAUCUUCAGAUUCUUGUCACUAUGUAUUUUGGAAUUAAAAAAUAUAUUAAAUGUAAAAAUAUACUUUUUAAUAAAAGUUAUUUUAAAAAUAAAAUGUGAAAUUGAUACCAAUAUAAAAUUUUAACACAAAUAUUUAUGGCAUAAUUAAUAAUUUAAUUUUAAUAUAAAUAUUCAAUAUGACUAAACAAUUCAAUAAUAUAAAUAAUAUAAAAUGUGAAAUUUAAUUUAAUAAUAUAAAUAGUAGAUAUAAAUAAAAUUAAUACUACUUAUGUUUAGUGAUUUUUUUUUGGAUAAUUUUGAUUUUUUAUUUGAGAGUAAAAGGGUGAGAAGUAAAAGUUUAGGGGGAAAAUAAAAAGUUUUGGGAAUAAAAGUUUGAGGGAAAGUAAAUAGGGGAGUAAAAUUUUGGAGGAAAAAUAUUAAAAAAAUUUGGAGGGGGGAGGGUUUGGGGUAGAUGGGAGGUGGGAUGGGAAGGGAAUAAAAAUUUUAAGGGAAAAGUGAGAGGGAGUAAAAAUUUUGGGGGAAAAUAAAAAGUUUUGAGGGGUUUUGGGAGUAAAAUUUUGAGAAAAAGUAAAUGGGAAAGUAAAAUUUUGGUGGGAAAUAGAUUUUGAGUAGAUUGGGGGGUUGGGAGGGGAGGGGAGGGGAGUAAAAGUUUUAAUAUAAAAUGUUAUAGUUUGAUAUUCGAAUUCGAAAACUCAACUCGAUUCGAACUCGAAAUUUGAAAAAAAAAUUCGAGUUGAUUCGAAUAACUCGAUUAAUUCAAUUCGUUUAACUCGAAAUUUAAUUUUUUUUAUUUUUUCGAGUCGAAUCGAGUUUUGCUCACUCCUAGUGUUUAGCAAUGCUUAAAAAAAUACUUUUGGCUUGAAAAACACUUUUUAAAAGAAAAGUUGCAUUAAACAAACAAUUUUUGGCUGAAAAGAGUGGAUUUUCAAGAGCACUUUUACUUAAAAUUUUUAGUUUUUCUUAAGCCAAAACCACUUCUGGAAACAUUCUUACUUUUUCAUCCCUCCAUUUUUCUUCUCCCAUUUUCCAUUCACUUUAAAUUGCAAAUGUUAAUGUAAAUUUUUUAAUAUUUAUAUUUGGUAUAUAAAUAUUACCCUUUUUUGAAAAUUUAAUUCAAAUACAUGUAAUAUUUUAAUUUGUUAGGUUUAUGUGUUUUUUUUAUGUUAUGUUAAUAUCUAAUAUGUGUUAUAUAUUCAAAUUACAUUUUAAAAUAAAAUUAUUAAUUAAAAAUUAAAAAAACAUUUCUUAAAAUAAUACAAAUGUGCUAAUAUCUAAUUACAAAUAUUUAAUAGUUAUAUUUAAAUAUUUAAAAUAUAGUUUUAUAUUAUAUUUAAAUUUUAUAAAUAAUUAAUAUUAAUUACUUAAAAAUAUUUAAAAUUUAUAUUUCAUAUAUUAAGAUAUUAACAACAAGUUAUAAUAAAUUAUUUUUCUAUAUUCUUAUAAAAAUAUAAUAAUAUUAACUAAUUUGAACAUUAUUUAAAUGUUUAUUUGUUACUUUAUAACACCAUGUCUAAAAUGUGCAUUUUAUUUCUUAGAAGUACUUUUUGAUAGCAAUACUAAACACUUAAAUCUUAAACCAAAUAUUUCAAAAGUACUUAUCAAAAUUAAUUUUCCAAAGCACUUUUUAAAAGCUUUUCAAAAAUACUUCUAAAAAUCACUUUUCCAAAGCACUUCUUAAAAACAAUGCUAAACUAGCCCUAAGUAGAAUUCUUAAUGGAAAUAAAUGUUAAAUUUAUUCAAAAAUUGGAUAAAUAUAGUAGGUAAGUUUUAAAAAAUAUUAUUAUUUCUAUAUAAAACUAUAAAAUAGACUAAAUUAAACAAUGUCUUAAAUCCUUAAAGUACCUUUAAUCACUCAACCAAUGAAUGUUGCAUUUUUCUCCCUUCAACUAUAAUUCCAAUCAAGUUUGGUAAAAGAAAAAGCUAGGAGUAGACUAGAUUGAUUUCAAACUAAUUUAGGAAUUAAAUUGAAAAUUAAUGUAAAAUAAAAAUUUAAACACAAUUCUUUUAUCCCGGUGGAAUAUUCCACACCAAUUUAUUUAUAAGGAAGUUUGCUUAGCCCACUGCUCAUAAAAAGUUAGGAUCAAUUGAACCGGCAUAAAAUAUGUUUAAUAAACAAAAAGAACAUUAAAAGUAUUUUUAUUCUUAAAACAGAAAAAAAAAAUUGAAUCCAAAUUUUAAAAAAUUUAUUUUAAAGAUUAUAUGGCUAAGAAAAUUUAUUUUUUAUUUUAUUUUUUCGACCCAAUCGUCGAGUCCGAGUUAUAAGGUGUCACUUUCGUUGCUGGAGCAACUACAAUCAAUUCACAGUUCAAUUUAUAACAUAAAACAUCCCGAUAUAAGUUAAACAUGUAUAUAAAACGUUUCAUGUACAUUUUCAGGUCUUAUACAAGCUUACGAAAGCUCUAUUGCUAACCCGAGGUCAAUUUAGGACCAAAUGUAAGAAUUUCAUAACAUUGGGUUGACGUUGCGACGUCAGGGGUUCCUCGUUGCAACACAACAUACUGAGUAGGUCUCAUCGUGACAUCGAAUACAUGUUGUCACAACAUGAAUCCUUUGUUGCUCCUCGUCGUGACGUUGGGGAUAUGUCGUCGUGAUGUGACAUCCUGUUUCUAUAAAAAUCAACAUGGUACAAGUUUGAGAGACCUAUAAUAAUACUUUACAUUUCAAUUAUAACCAAAACAAAAAUAUGCCAAAAUGGUGCUUCAAAACAACAUCGAGCAACCAAGUUUUAAAUUCAACCGUUUUCGGUACAAAAUCGACUUAAACCUUAGGUACAUGUCAUAUACUAAUCAAAAGAGAACUUUACAAACUUUAUUGAAUCGGGGAUCGCUUGCUAGAUGUGCUCAAACUAUCUAGAAUCUACUAUACCUGAGCACAGAGAAAACAAAUUGUACGCUGAGCAAUUACACUCAAUGGUAAUUUCCAUAUCAAGUUACAAAUAAGCAUGAUCAUAUAAGAAUUCAAUUCAAAUAUACUACAAUUCAAAUGAAACAAUUUGCGUAUUCAAUACAAGAAUUCUAUUCUCCUACAACAUUCUAUUUGAUAGCCAAACUAACAUUUAUAUCAUCCAUUCUAUUAACAAAGAUGUAACAUAUCUAAUUGAAUUACUUAUAUAUACAAUUAUGUACCAAUAUGAUGUUUAAUCUCAUUUCCAUUCAUAUUUUAUACAACUUAAUCAAUUCACAUUAUCAUUUAUAGAAACAUACGCUCCUUCAUUUACUAUGACCAAUAUGAUACCCUCGUUACCAGAACAGUAUUCCAUUAGUUUAAGACUAUACUUAUUUGGAAGCACAAUUUUAAAAUAAUAAUUUGUUGCAUUUAAAGAUUUAAUGAUGCAUGAGUUAAGCUUUGGCGGCUGUUUAAUUAAUAUCAAUAAGUCACAAAUAACGUUAUGUCAUCAAAACUUCCGAUACACAUUCAAGUGUUUAAAAUAACGUUCAAUACAUUUUAAAUGGUUUCAAAAUGGCGGUAUCUAAUAGUUGUCCUAGCACCCACAGCAAAUACAUGUUAACCCUGAAAAUAAGAAGGCUCACAAAUGGUCACAAAUUUGGUUGUAUCCCUUCAAUCACCACGCUCAACCUAAGAACAUGAAAUGAAGAAGAAUUUGGGUAAGUUCAUGUGAACUUAGUGAGUUACUGGGAAGAACGAUCCCACCAUAAUUACUAUCAGUCAUUAGGAAAUGGGACAUGUAAUUACUAUCAGUCAGUAGAUCAACUGACGAAUACUACCACAAUCAAACUCAACCUAUUGGCGGAUAGAACUGGUUACUAACUCAUAUAUGACAGUAAUCGAUACAUCUACUCCAUGAAUACGCCACUUAUAUGGGCUACCAUUUAUGACUGGCAGGCUUACUAUUUACGUUCUCAUGCAACGUGCACUACUGCAUGCAUUCUUUCUUACGUACCCAUUUUUUGUGCUAGCUUCUGAUCCCGGUUCCCGAAGAACCAAUUUUUCUUAUAUAUUCAUAUCCGUUCAUCAGAUCUAUAUAAAAAUCAAGCUCUCAUGAACUCAAAUCUAUAAAAAAUUAUAAAAAAAAGGCUUGGUUACCUUAACAAAUUUUUGGCCGAAGCUUAACUCUCAAAAAAAAAAAAAGAGUUUUUAUUUGGUUUUUGCUUCAUUAGAUGGUGGGGAAGAUGAUACUCAUCGUCUUUCUCCACUUACAUGAUUUAUUUAGUGUGAUUAACACUAAUUAACCAAGUUUAAUUAAAUUAAACUUAUUUUAUACUUUAAUUAAUCUUAAUUUAGUAAUAAUUAAAUAUCUAAUAGUAGCCAUAAUCAAAGUCCACUAAAUAAUGAUUAUUAUUGGUUUAUUAACCAUUUUAGCCCCUUGGAUAAUUACUAUCUAGGUCCCCAAGUUUUUUUCUAAUUAAAAAUCUGUAGCAAUUAAACGUUUACAAAUUUAGUCCUUGAACCUUAAUUAACUAUUAAUUCGGAAAAAUUACUGGACCAAACUUUAAGAUAACAAUAUAUUAUACACAUAAAUAUUACGAACUUGGUUUAUGAAAACGAGAUCCUGAAAUCGUAACUUUCGACACCAAUAAAUUUCAAGUCGUUACAAGUUAAUCCUAAAGAAACAAAAUUAUGAUUUUUCAAAAUUCUUCUCUCCUUAGUUGGCCACACCUUUGAAAUAAUUAAUAGAUUGCAUUUUAUAAUUGCUUAGAUAAUUAACAAUUAUAUUCACUUCUUAAUGUAAAAACAAGAAUUCAAAAUUUAUUCAUGCAUAAAGAAUUGCACUACUUGUAGCUACAAAGAUGUCAUCCAAUUUUCCAUUACUUGCAUUGAAUUUUUCCAACAUCAACUAAAUUGUUGUAUGAUCCUUAUGUAUUGCAUCAAGACAAGUAGUUAUUUCAUCUAGAAUAUUAUCUUUUACCUAUAUUUGUUUGAUUAGAUUUCGGUUCUCUUCCUUUAGACAAGAAUUCUACUCAACUAGCUUCGCAUUAACAUCACACACCUGCUCUCAUUUCUCCAGCAUUAUCUUGUAAGUCUGCAUAAACUCAGCACUUGAAUCCCAUCUAAAUCAUCAUUAGUAUUAGAGUUAGUUGUGACAGGGAUAUUAACUUUAGUAAAGAAAGCCACAUAGUUACUCACAUAUUUUUCAUUUGAAUCUAAGCUGCUUCAAGAAUCCUCUUCACUCCAUGUUACACACAAAGACAACUUGUAUGUGGCCAAAACGAUGACAUUCAUAACAUUGAAUGCCAUACUUUUUCUUUUUGGUAGACUCAUCAUUGAUCACAACACAUUUUUGUCUAUUUUUGGAGAAUUUCUUAAUAGCCUUAAACUUGUUAUUCCUCAUGGUUGCUUCUUUAAAGCUUUAAUAAAAUUCUAAGUUAGCAAUACUACCUACUUUCACAGUUAUUCGAUAAUAGUGGUACCUUCAGUUGAAAUAGCUUCUGUCACUUGUAAGGUAAUGCUCUUCUCUCCUUUAGAUAUGUUUCUUCUUAACUUGUCUAAAUUGAUCUUAAAAGCCCGUAAAGACCCAAUAAUUUCAUUGAUUCUCGUAUUAAUGUCUUUUACCUAUUCAAUGGUAGUGACUUCAAUAGUAAAUCUCUCUGGCAAAGAUCUAAGCACCUUCUUCACAAGUUUAAAAUUGGAGUACUCGUUUCCAAAGGGGAAAACUUGAUCAAAUGGGUCACACAAUUUUGCAUAUAAUUCACCAAUAUUUUUCUUUUAUUGCAUCCUGAGAGUUUCAAACUUGGUGGUUAACAUUUACAUCUUAGAUUCCUUUACAAUAUUUGUGCCUUUAUGUGAAGUCUCAAAAAUAUCUAAAGCCUACUUAGUAGUAGUGCACUUGGAUAUCCUUUUGAAUUCCUAUCCAUCCACACCACUAAAAAUUGCGUCCAAUUCCUUUGAAUUGGAAUCGGCUAGUUUCUCCUCCUUCAUGGUCCAAGUAAGCUCGAACUUUUUUGUUUCCACUUAGAUGUCUCAGUUGUAAGGAACUCCCAUCUAGUAAAAACAACAAACCAAGCUUUUCAUCCAUUGCCUUGAUGAAUGCAUUCAUCCUAGCCUUCUAGUAGGCGUACUUAGAACCAUCCAUCAUUAGAGGAUGAGACACAAGUGUUUCUUCCAUUUCAAGAAAGUAUUGACACCAGGAAUACCACUUGAUAAGUUAAGUGGGAGGCUCUUAUACCAAUUUAAAGAGGACAAGCUAAUAUUUGCUAAAACACAAGAGUAAUGAUAAGAGUAGUUACAACUACAAGUGGAAUUGUGAAAAGAAAAGAAAAAACACAUAGCAAUUCUUUACACAAUCGAUUUCCCUACAUUGGCAAGGCCUUGCCAGGGAGACAAUCCACUAUCUUUAACCUUGUAAAAACAGUGGUUUAAGUCCUAUCAUACACUAGUAUAGGAAUCUUACUUUUUGUACCUAAGAUCUAGAUCACUUUACUCUAAGCUUUCUCCUUAAAUGCUUAGAUUGUAAAACCAAGUGACUCACUUUUUUUUUACUUAGAAAAUUCAUUCACAAUGAUAAAUUCCUAAAGAAUAGAUCAAGUGCUAAACUCUUUGUACAAAACUUGAUUAAGUCUCAUGAAUAUAUGCUUUUUCGACUUGUUAACAUACUAAAUCAAUUACAAUCUCAAUCCCCAUCAAAGUCGUAAUAAAAUUAGCAUUGAGAAUUUCCUAAUAAAGUGCAGGAUAAGUUAAAGACCUCCAAGAUAAGUUUCCAGGUUAUCCAACCUAAUGUUUUCAAAUCGGGGAAUUCGAUUGCUUAAUCUAAUUCGAUCCAAUCUUAAAGAUAUGUUUCUUUAUAUGGAUCGAUCUUCAAAUAUGAGCCAACAUACAUCCAAAACAACAUCAUAGAUUACGACCCAAUUGUUUUGUUACAAAAGAUUGUAAAUACUAAAUAAGGCAAGUUACGUGACUUGCACAACGCCGCAUUGCUCACAAAACUACCUCAAACCUCAACAAUAGUUGAUAACAUAAUUAAAGUCAAUAAAAAAGCCUAAUUGAAGGAAAUUAAGUUAUUUACUUUAUUAGCUAUAAAAUCUUAUUCAUUCAUUUAGUUACUUGACGGGCAUAUACAAUUAAAAGUUAAUCAUAUAUAUAAAUUAGUUCUCGCUCUACCUAUUUGCUAUUAGGGUCGCACAUAUAUACAAACGCUAAAGAAAACAAAUAGAAAAUACUAGUUUGAUCCCUGUGCAAUGCACGAGUCUACUGUACUUAAUAAUUAAAACAUAUUAUUUUACUUCAUAUUGUUUUUUUAAUUAAAAGAUUUACAAAUAAUGUAAAUAAAGAAAUUUAAAAAUAAAAUAUUCAAAAAAUACUAUGUCAAAUUAAAUAAUUUUAAGAAAUAAGUACUUUAUUUUAAUAAAAAAUGAGAAUCCUUUUUAUUAAAUAUUCAUAAAUUGAUUUUUAAAUAGAUUUUUUAUAUUUAUAUAAUGAUUAAGAUUUGAGCCCAACAAUUUUAUUAAUAUUGUCGUUCACUUGCCGUAAUUAUAUAGUGCCACAUAGGGUUAUUUCCUAAUUUGGUUGUACAGAUUAUGUAUAAUAUAUAGGGUUAUUAUUUGAUAUAUUAGCGGUGGUGUUUUUAACUCGGCAAGGAAAUUUAAGAAACGGUCAAUUGUCUUUAAUUGAUAUUAAAAAACACUAAAUAAAUAAUACACAUGAUGGUUUUUUAAACUGUUUGUGGAAUUAAAAAAUUUCACCACUAAAUAUCAAAUAAUAAUAUUUGUAUAUUAUUUAUACAAUGAUAAAUGGUUGAGAUGUUGAUUUUCAUUUUUUACAUUAACUUGUUUCAUGCAAAUUUUUUAUUUAGCCUACAAGUCGAAUAUACUGCUUGCAAGUUAGGGACAAAAAUACAUCCAUUUAUAUGAUUUUUAUUUUACAAAUUAAUCUGGCAUAUCUUAACAUAUCAACUCCAGAUUUGGAUCUUGAAACAUGUAGACACUUGCGUUGAAUGGGCCGCUCGCUUCUAAGAGGAUGGACCUAGAUUUCUUCUCUACUAUUUGUUUUCUUGCAUUUUAUUAUUUUUAUUUAAUAAAUUAAUAAAUUAGUUCCUAUGCACUGGUUAUUCUAUUAAAAAUUAUACUCAUGUCUUCUGUUAAAAGCCGGUCCCUAUACAUUAGAAUGAGAUAAUGUGGCACACCACGUGUAACUAUCUAGUUAUUCUAUCAGCCACAUCGAUUUUUAACAAUAAAAAUCGAUAGAAAUUUUUAAUAGAAAAAGUCAGUUUACUCUUUGAUCUAAUGUAUAAAUAUUAAAUUACCCAUUUUUAAAUAAAUGAAACAAAAUGUAAUCUAUAAAUGAAACAAAAUGUAAUCUAACUCUUAACAUAAAAGCCUCCAUGAUAAUUUUAACAUAAAUUAAAUUUAUUACAAGAAAUAUAAAGGCUACACACCAUCUUUUCCCCACCUCUAAAUUUAGAGGGUAUGUAUAUUUGGGGCAAGCAUUGUUUUCUAGGUUUUAAAGUGUUAAACUUGUCCCUGUAUCAUUUAUUAAAUUAUAUUUUAAUUCUUUUGGAAAACUAAAUAAAUUAGUCAUUAUACAUUAGACGAAGGAGUAAAAUAGUAUUUUUGUUAAACUUGUGCCGUUAAUAUAAGAUAAAAUAAUAAAUUUAGCCUUCAAUCUUUACAUUUCUUUUUUCAAUUUGACUCCUACUAUUUUAUUUGGACCCUAAAAAUUUCAUCGUUGAUAUGAAACUAUUUUAUCUUAUACGUCACAUUAUCAAAUAAUUUAAAAAUUAUUAAAAAAAACUCUUCAAACUGAAAAAAUGUAAAAGAAAUAAAAAAUUAUAAUUUUUUUCCCAAAAUUUCAAUAAAAGAUAUCCAUUUUCAACAAUUUAGGUUACCAUAUUUGUUGCGGUCAUUUUGCACAUUAAGAAAUACCAUUUUCCACAAUUCCAUGGCAGCUUUGUAGUGUGAUUCACGUACCAUGACAUGUUUACAUUAAGAAUCAGUGAAUAAAUAAACAUUAAAGUUCUUUUAGCCUCUAAUUUGGUCGUAUUAGUAUUAAUAAAAAAAAUUAGAUAGUGUUUUAGAAAUCUUUGGAUUUUGUGUAAUUGUGUAACACCCCUUACUCGAGUCCAUAGCCAGAGUCGAGCAUGAGGCGUUACUUAACUUAACUUAAAGGUUCGGAGCAUAAAAAUUUACUUAUAAAAGUUAUUUUACUGUUCUUAAUAAAGCUGUCCACCUGCGCAGAAAUCACUAAAUUAAUUAUAACUCAAGAUACAAAACUCGAAAUUUAGAUCCGUAAAUUUUCUAUGAAACUAGACUCAUAUAUAUUUUCACCAUAAAUUUUUCAGAAUUUUUAGUUCAUCCAAUUAGUACAUUUUAUUAGUUAAAGUCUCCCCUGUUUCACUGGUCGACUAUCCUGACCUCUCGUCACUAAAAUUCAAUUAUCUCAUUGUACAGACUUCAUAUGGUGUUUCUACUUAUUUCUACUUAAAAUAGACUCAUUAAGGAAUCUAUACAUAUAAAUUAUAACUCUUAAUCCCUUUUUUACAAUUUUUAAUGAAUUUCUAAAGUCAAAAUAGGGGACUUCAAAAUCAUUCUGACUCUGUCUCACUAUAAUUAAGAUAUCUAAGAGUAUAUAACUCUUUUGCUUACUCUAUUUCUUUUAUGUCAAAGUAUACUCAUUUAGCUUUAAUUUCAUAUCUCACUCAGCUUCUAAUUCAAUUUACACCAUUUUUGAUGAUUUUUCAAAGUUACAUCAAUGCUGCUGUCCAAGAACUGCUCCAUUGCAAUUUUUUUUAAAAAAUUCAAUAUAACCCCUUUAUAAUUAUCUAACCUUCCCUGCAAAUUUCAAAUCACAACCAAUUCCAGUAUUUCAACUACUUCAUUUAAAUACUAAUGAAGUUCAACCAAUCAACCAUUUCAAACUAAAAACAUGUAUAUAUUUCGAUAUUUAACACAACCAUAACAUUCAAAUUUACUUUGCAUACUUAGUCAUUCAUUCUAUUACUUUUUAUCUCAAUUCCCUAUACAUGCCAUAUAAAUCCAAAUUUAUUUAACAAAAUCUACCAGAGUAAAUCUGGAUAGUGUGAUUUCUGAUGUAGAUCCGAUCCUCCGAAUGUAUAAAUACGUCAAUCUACAAAAAACAAUAAACACACACAAGUAAGCUUAUAGAAAGCUUAGUAAGUUCAUAGGCACAAAACAUGAAUCUUACGAAACAUUUAUACACUUAUACAUUAUACACCAUUACUAAGUUUACCUGUCAACCACAAUCUUUGGUGAGUUCCUUGGUAUAAACUCACUACUACUUAUUCUUUUACCAUAAUUCCUUUGGGCCCAUUUGUCACUUACCAUCCUUGAUCAAAAUUAAGGAACGAUUACGGAAAAUUGAGUACUUCACUUUCACUUUUCCAUACGAUCUCUUAUCACUUGUCCCUGAUCAGAUAAGUGUAGCUAGGCUACCACUUAUCACUUUGUCACUUGAUCAGAUAAGUGUAGCUAAAGCUAUCACUUAUCACUUUAUCACUUGAUGAGAUAAGUGUAGUUAAAGCUACCACUUAUCAGUUUGUCACUUGAUCAGAUAAGUGUAGUUAAAGCUACCACUUAUCACUUUGUCACUUGAUCAGAAGUACUCAAAUCUGGCGUUCCGCUCAAUUUGAUCAUUUGUUCAGUUUUCGCAUUUUUAUUUUAUUUUCAUUUCAUCAAUAAAUAUAUAUUUCAUCAUACAUUAUAUAAUUCAUGAAAUUAACAUUUAAUCAUAAAAUUUCGGCCAUAUGAACUUACCUAGAUCGAUUUGCAGAAUUUGUAAAAGUUCAGGGGCUAAUCGGCUACUUUUUCUUUUCCUUGACUUGUUUCGGGUUCUCGAUAUAAAAUAAAAAUUUAUUCAUUCAUCAACAUAUAAUUCAAUUCUAAUUCAUUUAACAAUUUAUGCCCUUUAAUUUUCUAAAUUACACUUUUACCCCAAACUUUACAAUUUUUACAAUUUGGUCCCUACUUAAUUAACCCCUCAAUUGAUCUAAUUUUUCUCAAUUAACACCUUUUACAACUAUUUUAGACUACUUCAUAGCCUUUAAUAUUCAAAACCGCAACACCAAACCUUAAUUCCCAACUUUUUCACAAUUAAGUCCCUAAAAUCAAUUUCUAUCAAAAUUACUUAAUAAAGUCAUCAUAUAACAAAUUUAAAGCUUUAAUUCCAUGUUUAUUCAUAAUAAAAAUCAAUAACUCAUCAAUGGUAACUCUAAAAAUCAGCCAUGAGAUAAAAAAACUAAUGAACUAAUUAGUUGGACUUAUUUGUAAAAGUAUCAAAAUCACAAAAAUUAGAAGAAAUAAUCAAGAAUUAAACUUACAUGAUUCAAAUAUAUGAAAAACCAGCUUGUUUCAGACCUCCUAUGGCGUUUUUCUGAUAAAUUGUGAAGAGAUCUCUAGAUUUUUCACUUUUGUCUUUGUUUUAUAUGCUUAAUUUGUUAAGUUUCCAAUUUUGCCCCUGUUUCUCCUUACAUUCUGCUGAUUUUUCUUACCCAACCGUCCAGCCCAUAUAAUUUGGGCCUAAUUUCCUUUUAAAUCCCUCCUCAUUAGUCACUUAAGCUAUUUUUAUCACAAUUUAACAAAUUUUACACUAUUUUCAAUUUAGUCCUUUUUAGUUAAUUAACUGUCCAAACGUUAAAAUUUUCUAACGAAACUUUAAUACCAACUCAAUGACACUCUAUAAAUAUUUCUAAAAAUAUUUAUGGCUUGGUUUAAAAUCUUCGACGUCUCGAUACCUCGUUUUUGAUUUUAAUUAUUUUAAUAUUUAUUCCUAGUACACUAUUCACUAUUUCAAAAAUUUUCCUAACUUCACAUUUAACUUAUACUUACUAAAUUUAUAAUAUUUUCUACUCGUUUAUCAGAUUUAGUGAUCUCGAAUCUCCAUUCCGACACCACUAAAAAUUUAGGCUAUUACAAAUUGUUUGUAAUUAUAUAUAGGUGGUAUGUUUGAAUAAUCAUUGUAAUUAGUGAGUUCCAUCGAAUUGAGUGUAAUUGGAGUAGAGGUAUCCUUAAGCCAGGUUGGGUUGGACCCAAGCUCGGUUCCAAUAAUUUCAAACUCAAGCCCGUUUUUGGACCGCCCGCCCAAAAAAUCAAUUUUACUAUUCAAAAAAAUAUUAUUAAAAAUAAUAUUUUAAUUGAUAUUUUAUAUACUUUUAUAAUUAAAUUUAAAUUUAAAAAAUAUUUUAUUAUUAUUAAAUUGAAUUUGUGUCGAGUUGAGGUGCAAAAAUCCUUGUCCAAGCUCGAUUCUAGUCGGGUCAAGUCACAUAGACUACCCGAUCUUUGGACAAGUCUAAAUUGGAGCACCCUAAUUACACUUUCCAGUUUUUAGAGUGAGGGUGAGAAUUGAAGUAAUUACGUUGGUGUUACACUCAAAUCCAAUUUUAAAAAUUAUUUUGAUACAAGUUAUAAAAGAAGAAAUUAUUCAGUAUAUUGUUAGUGGAGUUUUUAAACUCUACAAAUAGGAUAAAGAGUUUGACAAAUGUCUUAUAAGGGUAUAGUAAAAUAUUAAAAAAAACACGUCAAAAUUUUAAGGCUGUUUGUGAAAUAAAAAAAGUACAGUGCCACCCAAUAGUUACUCUUAUAAAAGAAUAUAUUAUAUCUAUGAACAUGUAUAAGUGUUUGGGAUGGUUAUGACAAAAGAAUUCGUGUAUUAUAAAUCCUAAAAGCUUAUAUUAUAAAAGUAACUUGUGUAUUUUAUAAAAUUAUAAUAUAUAUUAUUUAAAUCUUAAAAAAUUCUAAAAUUAUGAUAAAAAAUUAUUAUAAAAAACUAAUUUAUAUGUUAUAAAAAUGUUGUUAUAGCAUUUUUAUUUAUAAUAAGUUAGGGCAAAAAAAUAUGGAUAUAAUUUAUUUAUGUCCUAUAUAAUUUACCUUACUUAAAUUCGGACCUGACCCGGUCUGUCUAUAUUUAAUUUUUUAGAUUAUUUUUUAUUUAAAAAUAUUUUUUUUAAAAAUAUAAUACACUAAAUACACUAAAAAUGCUAAAAUAAAAGUUUUCUAACACAUUAAAAAUAUUUAUAUUAAAAAAGACUACCAUAAAUAUAAUAUAUGCUUUAUUAUAUUAAAAGCGCAAAUAAAUAUAAUAAAUAAUUUAUUGUAUUAAAUAUAAAUUUUAAAAUUUUAUAUUUUGGAUUGGGUUAUUUAGUUGGGUUACUUUUUUUUAGGUUUUGGAUAAUGAGUUUAAUUGUUAUUGAGUUAGUGGUUUAAUAUAAAUAAAUAUAGAUAUAAACAUAUAUAAUCAUUUUUUAUAACAUAAUAUAUUCGGGUCGAACUGAGCUCGUGUCUAAAAUAUUACCCGAGGCUUGGCCUAUAUAGAAAACGGAUAAUAAAUUUUACCCAAUCCCAUUUUUUGGGUCUCAUAUUUUUGUCUAAACUUCUCAUAGUUCAAGUGGAUCUUUAGACCUAAAUGAGUGUAAUGGUGUAUGUAUAGGUUUUAUAGAGCAAAACUAAAAAUAUAUGUAGGGGUGAUAUUGAAUUAUAAGUGUUUUUAGGCUGAUGAUAUUCAAGCGUUUGAAGGAAGAAGAGACCCAAACACUUGUUUGCGACUUCUCUUGAAAUUGUAUAAUCAAUUAUAGUUUUAACAAGAGUUGGUCUCUCACCUAUUAAUUAUAUAUAUCAAUACAAUAGCAUGAGAUUGGUGGUUGAGGGUAAAAGUAUAAAGAAUAUUAAAUAUAAUUAAUAAUUUUUCUUUUAAAAUUAUUCAAGUUUCUUUUUGCUUUCCUUUAUUUUCUUGUGAGUAGUUAAGAAAAUUUUAUGUUUGCCAUACCUUAAUUUUCGUAUCAGUUGUUAAGAAAAUGAUUUUUUUUUUCUAUCAUUUAACAUUUUUCUUUAAAUUUUAAAAUGUGUUUAAAAAUAUUUUCUUUUCGAAAUUCUAUUUUUUUUAAUUUGGAAUUCUGUGUUUUAUUUAUUUAUUUUAGAACAUAUUUUUAUAAUUUUAAAAAAAAUAUGUCUGAAAAUAUAAAACAAAAUAGUGUUACAUAAGCAAGGUAAGAUUGGUGAUCAAUUUACUUCAAAUAAAAGAAUAAGGGCCAAUAUGAAUAAAAGUGUAAAAGUUAAUGGAUAAAACAUCAAAAUAUAAUUCUUUUACAUGCAAAGUAAUUUACCCAUUUUUGGAUAAAAAGACUAAGCUCCAGCCUGGAAUUAAGCCUCCAGUGAGGUGAAAUGCAUUUUCAACCUACUGAACAAUGCUUUCCAAAUAGUCUUGCGUUUACUAACAUUUCAGUUGCAAUUUUUUUUAGCUUAAAAAAGCCAACGUACUGAGAUGCAGUUGCAUCCAAAGGAGGCUUAAAUUAAAUAUAUAUGAAGAUAGUUGUAGACUGCAAUGAUAGUAAAUAAACAUCCUUUCUUUGGACAUAUGAGCAUGGAAUAUUGUGUACCUGUAUUUAAGGAAUAUCCUAAUCCCACGAGCCAUGUUCUGGUGCCCAGACAGGCUGCCAGAUGCUUCUUCCAAAAACCAUUCAAAUCAGACAUCGACUACCAAACCGUCAGGCAAGCCCGACAUCUAUUGAAAUUCAACCUCAUUUCAUAUUGAUCGUCUCAUUCCUAAACAUUAGCUCUUCUCUGGGUUUGGUUUGGUCUAUUGCUUUAAAUCAAUUAUCCCAAAAUGACUCCUAGAAUCUAGGUGCUAAAAUAAGUAGUCGAUUCAUAUGAAAUGAAAACGCUGUUGCUCGCAUACUAGCGCUACUAAAUGACCAAUUAUUGCUUUGGACGAAUGCAGCAUGUGAUUUGCCCUGCCAACACAAUAUUCUUCCAUUUCCAGUGGUGGCCAACCGGAUUGAUUAGCUUAAGUGUCAAUUGGUCCACUUCUGAUUUCCUACCCAUUUAAUAUUUGUUGCCAAUGUUAAAGAGUAAGGGAUGAGGAUAGCCAUUAACCACCAUCCGCUCUUUAAAUAAUACCUAAAAUAGGCAACCACCCACCCUGCUUCAUCCAUCAAAAUUUCACAAAGUAAAUAAAAAACAAACCUAAAUUAAGGAAUUCUUUUUUCGUUAAAACUCGUUUCAUAAUCCCAUUAUUGCUAUGUUGUUGUAUCAAAGAGGAUCGUCUUGCUCAAGACUCUAGAGUGUAGCCAGCUCAUUCCAGCAAACUCCCACUCCCUACAUCUUAUCCCUUAAAAUCCCCCCCACUGGCUCUCUCCUUCACAUAUUCCUUUCCAACACAAACCAAAAGACAUGGCUUCAUCAUCUCCUCUUUCUCCCAUUCUCCUCUCUCUGUUUCUAGUAUUCAUUUGUGGGGUGUCAGCUCAAACGGCUCCCGCCCCUGCCCCCUCUGGCCCCUUGAAUUUCACUGGAAUCCUUGACAAAAAUGGCCAAUACACCUACUUCCUUCAGCUUUUGGCACAGACUCAAGUUGGGAGCCAAGUACAAACUCAACUGAAAACCACCACUGAAGGCUUUACCGUCUUUGCUCCCACAGAUAAUGCCUUCAACAACCUCAAACCUGGUACCGUCAAUAACCUGGACCCACAACAGAAAGUACAACUAGUUCUAUACCACGUUAUUCCCAAAUACUACUCCUUGAACGAUCUCCAAUUUGUUAGCAACCCCGUUAGAACCCAAGCUGGUCAGGAUUUCGGCCUCAACGUCACUGGCCUGAACAACCAGGUUAACGUCUCAAGCGGGGUUGUCGAGACUCAGAUUAACAACGCAUUAUAUCAAAAGAAACCUCUGGCAAUUUAUCAAGCGGACAAGGUGUUGUUGCCUGAAGAGUUUUUUGAAGCUAAAUCCCCAGCGGCUGCACCUUCACCGGCGACAAAGAAAUCAUCAACAGGGUCUAAAUCGAACUCAAGAGCAUCAGCAACCGCAGAUGAGCCAGCUUCUGCUGAUAAUUCAGGCUCAGCCGGAAGGAAUAUGGGGCUGAGAUUCGUUGUUGGGCUUGCAUUGGCUUGCAUGGGAUUUCUCUCAUGAGCGGAUAUAUAUGAAGUUGGUCUGCAUUUUUUACUAUAAAUUUUCGUUUUUCAAAUGGAUCGAUAAGGGUCUGAUUGGUCGUUGAACAUAUUCUUGUUAUCCACAUUAUUUGUAUUUCCAGAAUUUUUUGUUGAUUUUGCUUCUGCGCGCUGCUUGAUGUUAAUAAUAAUAUAUGUGAGUUUCUGAAAAUGCUUUAGUCUCCCCAUCUCUCUUUUCCUACCAAAUAGAUCCCAGUUUAAUGUUGAGCAUAAAUUCAAGGGAUUAAUCCUAUAAAAAUGUAGGGAAGGAUGUAGUUAUAUAUAAAGAAAUGAAGUGUAAUACAGAUGAUGAAGGUGAUUGGCACCUCAUUUUGCAAUAUAUUUUUCAUCUACUUGAUGACCAUAAACCAGACUGAUGGACUCAAAUCUCGCUCCAUCAGCUCUAUAGUUUCAAAACUUUUAAUACCUCUUACUUCAAAAAUUUCUCAAACCCAAUCAUCUUUAAUUAAAUUAAAUUUAAAAACUAAUUGUAAAGAAAUUUUAAUUUUUUAUUCCCUUCAUCUUCUUUUUUGACUCAAAUUAGCUCUAUUUCAUCUCCUCCAUUUUUCUUUCUUUACCACUUCCUUAUCAAUGGUUAUAAAAAAGUUAGGGUUUUUGGAUGGUGAAUUUGGGUUCAAUGGGGAAAGGAAAAGGUGGGUUCUUUUGAGUAUCAAAAGAAAUAGUGAAAACAAAGAUUAUGUUUUUUAUCAUCAAGAAAUGGAGAAAACUGGAGGGGAAAGAAAUGAAAAUGGUAAAACCGUAGAAGGGGAAAUUUAAGGUGAAGAUUGGUUUUUUCUUCACCAAACUUAUAAAAGCAAUUAAUUAGAAUUUGGGAAAAGAAUUAUUCCAAUGCUCUAAUAAUUCAUAGGUUUUGUUUGCUUUGUCGCUUAUAUCAUUUUGUUUGCAUCCUUAGCUGAGAAUGCAUAUGGAUCAUGAUAAUGUACGAUGACUUAGAGAAAGAGAUGAGUUGGUUGUUAAAACAAGUGUUGUUUGGCUAAUCAAUUUGAAAAAUGGGAAAAUUAUGAAAAUCAAUGAAAAGUUUGUUUGGUUGUUGAGAAAAUUUGGAUUUUGUUGGAGAAGAUGGAUUUAAUUUAAUUUUUAUUUAUUUGCUAACAUAAUUUUAUUAAAGAAGGGUAACAGUUAGACUAAAAAUAAUAUUGAAAUCAUAUCCUCCAAUUAAACAAAGUUUAUAACCAGGUUAAUAUUUUAACUUUUUAAUCAUAAAUACGAUCAUUAAUUUAAUGAAUUUUAUAAAAAUAUAAUUAAAACAAUUUCACUAUAUUCAAUUUAUAUAAAAUUUUAAAUUAAAUUCAAAAUCUAAUCUUAUAAUAUUUUAUAAUAAAAUUUAAAUAUAUCAAUCAACAUGAAUAUAUAAUAUUUUAUUAUUAAAUUAUUUAAAAUAUGAUUUUUAUAAUAAAAUUUUUAUUAAAUAAUUUUACAAACACAUAAUAGAUAAUUUAGUUGUAUAAUUUUUAAUAUCAAUAUAUAUUUUCAAUUAGGUAUUAUGUUUAUAAAAAUAUAUAACUUUUUUAUUAAUUAACAAUUGUAUAAAUUUACUUUUAUAAUUUUAUAAAUUGUUUUUAUGUUGUAUAUCUUCAAUAUUAUUUUAUCCAUAAUACUUUUUACCCUUGUAUUAUAAACAGUUUAUUUCUAUACAUUUACCACAAUAAGAUAUUAUUAUUAGGCUUAUAGAAAAAAUAGGUAUCCUGCAACUUUUAUUCCGCUACAAUUUUAGGUAUCCACUAUUAAUUCUAGUUAAAUUUUAUUUAAUUAAAAGUGACUCGUGUCAUAAUUUGGUUGAUUUAGAGGUUUUUUUAAAUUGGAGUUAACGUUUUAAAUAAUUUUAUUUAAUUAUAAAUAAAACAUGUCAUAAUUUGAUUGGUUCAGAGUUUUCUUUAACCGAGGUUAAUGGUUGAUACCUAAAGUGAUAACGAAAUAAAACUUUAGAUACCUAAAUGAGAAAAAUUACAUGGUUUGAGUACCUACUUUUCAUAUAAGUCUAUUAUUUAUUACUAAGUUAUACAUCAUAUUCUAUUAAUUUAUAAUUAUUUAUUUUUAAAAUACUAAAUUUAUUAAAAUGUUUUCAAUCAUUUACUAAAUAUCUAAAAUUUUACUAAUUAUUUUAUCUGUAUAAUCUAUAUAUACAUAAAAGUAUAAGUUUGGAAAAACUUUUGACCUAACAAUAAUACCAUUUAGUUUUGACCAUAUUACUAAAUUCACUUUAAAAAUAAUUUAGAAUUAUUAGUUAGAAAAAUUUGUGAAAAUAGAGUUAUUACUUUAAUUCAACUCUAAUCAUGAAAUAUAUGAAAAAUUGUAAUAAUUAUAAUUAUAAUUUUAUUUAUAAUUAUUAGUUAAAAUUUUUGAGGUAAAAAAAGUUGUGUUAAUUUUUUUUUAAAUGUGCUAAUUUUAUUGAUGUAAAAUAGAAUUGUUAUUUGAAUAGAGCUGUAAGCGCCUCAAUUAUCACUUAAUUAAUAUUAAAGUUAUAUAUCAAUUUAAAAUUAAGUUUUGCUUUAUGAAUAAUGCCCAGUAGUUAGGUAUAUUGAAUUAAGUAGCAUCUAAUAAAGACCACCGGUAAAAAAAUGGAGAUUGUUAACAUUAAUAAGUUAGGAUUAUAUAAUAGUAAUAAUAAUGGAGCAUCAUAAAAAUGGUUAUUUAAAGAGGCACCGAAAAGUGAUCAAAUAUUAUUUUAAUUGAUGAUAAUAUAAUAUAAUAUAAUAUAAUAUUAUGAUUUUUUAAAUUUUUCUAGAAGUUGUUUAUACUGUGUGAAGCAUUUUUAAAACCAUUUUUUUAUCUAUUCAUUAUUUGUUUGGUGUAGGUGAAAUAUUUUGUGAGCUGUUUUUAUAAACGUGUUUAUUAAUUUAGUAUAAAUAUUUUUUACAUUUAUCAUGAUCUAUUAUUAUAACUGUUGCAUGUUACUUUAUCUAUUUUUUUCUUAUUUUCAAAUUAAUAUUAUAUUUUAUGAUGGGUAAUAAUAAUUAAAAAUAUAUUAUUUAAAAACUAAUUAAAAUUUAAACACGUAAAAUCACGUACAAAAUGCACUUGACAUUAGAAAGUAAUAUAUAUAUAUAUAGAAGAAGACGAAUUUUCAGAAACUUCUGAAAUAACUUUAAUAAUAUAUUAAUUUCUCAAUUUUAUCUCUUAUAGCACUUAAUUAAUAGUGGUUAAUGUAAUAAUUAAAAAUAAUAAUAUUUUAGAUAAAAUCAUAAUAUCAUAAUAACAAAAUCUUAUAAUAUUAUAAUUAAACAAUAAUGAAUACGAAAACUCUUAUAUCAUAAAUAAAAUAUUAUAAUACUACAAUUAAACAGAUUUAUUAGUGAUAAAUUAAAUUUCUUAGUUUAGAUUAAUAAUUAUUAUUUUAUGAUUUUUUUUCUUUUAUUAUAACUUGAGAUUGAUGAUGCUUUGUACCAUUACUGUGUUGGUUUUAUUCAGGCUGCGGACUCAUAGCUCCGUUUACGUGGAUAGAACUAACAAGUGGACCGCAAUCAUCACACUCACUGAAAAUUUCAACCCAAGUUGACAGCAUGGCUAAAGCUGCAGCUACUUGCAAAAUUCACUUUAGAUGGCCUAAAUUUGCAAUAAUAUUAUAACUUGAAAUAAUGAAGAAGAGCAUGUGCGAUGAAGAAAUUUUAAAUGUAUGAAAUGCAGAAAGAGAUGGAAGCAUGUUGUGUUGGAUUGAAUUACUGAAAGUUGAGGCUUGGAGGGUGCUGAGUAGAUUUGGGUGCCAAAUGAGGUGCCAAUCACGUUCAGCUUCGUAUCAUUUUAGUAUUUUCAAAAAGUUUUUCUACUACCACGUUGAUGUGAGAACAAAAACUCUAUAUCACUCAGCCAUUGAAUUUGUAAGAUGGAAACUAAAUGAGUUUGAUAUAAGAAUCAAACUGUACAUUACAAGGCCAUAUAUUUAUGAAAUUUCAUAUUAUUAUUGGGAAUCAGCAGUACAUUGCAUACCUCAACCAUCAACAGUCCCACUAUACUGUGCUACAAAAUAUUUAAAAUUAAAAUAAAAAUCACAACUAUUACAAAAAUCAAAACAAAUUUUCCCCACAUUUGGCACCAAUCCAUCAACAGAGACCACACUGCAGCAACACCAAACCCUCCCUCAACUCUGGGUUAAGUUUGGUUAAAGCUUAUUGCCACCCAUUCGUGAAAAUAUCCUUAAUUAGCACAGCUAAUAUUGUGCUACGCUGUCCAACUUCAACAUUCUCUUGCCAGAAAACUAGCAAGUCUGAAAACUUUUUCUUAAACUGAAAUUUCUAUAGAUAAACAUUUACAGGUUGAAACCUCUUAAUAUUUCAGUUAAAUCACUUAUUUUGUUGAGACGUAGAACACUAAACUUUUGCUUACAUGCACUAUUUAGCUUUUACAUUAUUGUGGUGACAACCUUAACAAACGAAACGGUUCAGGUUUAGGACUGGUAUUGUUGUUGAAAAUAUGGUGAAAAAAACAUUAUAAUUUAUACAUAUUAAAUAUUGAAAAUUUUAAAAUAUGUCUUUCUGAAGUUAACCGACCCAUUAACAAGUAAUAUUGUUCUCGUUUAAAGUUUUAUCUCCUGACUUUAUGAAGAGUUUAAGUGGCAGAAGUUGACUAAAAAGACGGCAAGUUCAACAGAGUGAGAUAGUUUGUCAGAUUGGACUACCUAUCAAAGAAAUGUGGGCAUUUAUGCUUUGUAGGGUUUGAAUCAAUGUCUUGAUUUGGCAUUGUUGGACAUCUAGAUGGUCAUGCGUCAUGCACUAUCUAAUCCGAUAAGGCAUUUUAUCUCUAUAAAAUCGUCAAUUCUUAAAAUAAUCUCAAAUCACAGUUUUUCCACAAAAUUGAGAGAAAAUCUUAAUAAAAAAAUAAUUCCAACCUGUUCAAAGAUACUUCAACUUCUGGUGGAGACUUGAAAAACAAUAAGGUGCUGGAUAAAGUAUUAGCAUAAACAAUUUGUUUUGACAAAAAGAUGCCUAAAAUUAGUUGGAAAUCCAACUUUUAACUUCCGAUCUAACUGGAUAAUUGUUGGCCUAGUGUUUAUUGUUCCAUUUAGUAGAGAAGAGGUUAUGUUGGAUUGUCACAAUUAGACUGAUGAAAUCAGUAUCCUUUUAUGUCCCGGGUAAAUUCCGAACCUAUAUUUAUUCGUACAUAUGACAAGGUUGUUUUAAUUGGGCUGACUCAAGAAUUAAUAUAGAUCAAUUAAAUUGAACAAAUUAAACCAUAUAAUUUUUUAAUGAUUUAUUUAUUCAAACCGGUUAGACAACUGGUGAUCUAGUCAAAUCAAUUUUUUUAUUCAAUUUAAAUAUUUAAUGAAUGUGAAUUUUUUGUGAAUAAUGUUAUUUAAUUCAUAGUAAUAUUUUAAUCUUAUAAAAUUUAUAUGAGAAAUAAUUACUUGAGAAAAAUGAUUAAUGCAGUUUUUGUUUUUUAAUACAACUCACACAACUACAAAUAGACAAUUUCUACAAGUCAAACCCAUGACGUGGAUUGGAGUGUAAGAUGGUGAACGCCCCCUCGAAAUGGUAUAACAUUCAAAACCUUUUGAUGAUACGGUAUGAUGAAUAGAAGAAGCAAGCAACAAAAAUAUACAUACAUGGGGCACUUCCUAAAUAACAAAUAUAAAUGUAUUAUAUGAACAGAAUUUAUUUUUAUUGAGUAUGUUGGGGUAUAAACUGCUUAGAAAAGUGUAAAGCUUUGGGUUAGGUGCAGUUGGUAGAUUAACAACACCCUAUCAAUAUUGAGCCGAAGACCAAGAGUUGGCAUCAAUCCAGUUAAAAGCAAUAGGGCUAAGGAAAGCAUCAGGAAUGCCAAAGGAACUGACCAAAGCAAGUGCAUGCGGUCGAAGUUCACUGCAUAUUUUUGUUAUUUCUCUCCUCACUGUAGCAGCAUUCUCAACUGACAGGUACCCAUAUCGGAGAUACGCACCAUCUUCCAGACAAUUCAAGGCAUACAAUGAUCUCAGCAUACCCAGCACAUCCUGCACAACAAUGAAAAUGAAGAUUCAACAGCCUGUCUAAUGCACAAAAGACUGCAUAUGUCUUCUCAUGCCUUCAAUAUUUGAAGUGACAAACAUGCAAAGUUGUUUUUAUAUCAGAUGAUUUCCAUCCUGCAAAUCCCGAGAAUUUUACCCAUCUCUUAUCCUAUAUAUAUGACUGCAAUUUUCUAUUCAUCUCUUCUGAUCAUAUCCAUCCCACCAUAUCCUGCAACGCAACUUCAGACAACGAUGAAGUUUGAGUUGUUUCUGGUUAGGUUAAGCCAGGUUUUGGACAAGUUUUGAAGUCAGUUUGGGUUGGGUGAGUGAUGUUUUCCAUUUAGAGUCAGAUUCAGCCACUUCUACAAUCCUAAAAGGUCCUAACAAUCAGGUUCAAUUAGGUUUUAGUUGGGUCCUUUUAUGCUCAAGCUAUUGACUCUUAAAUAUUUGGUUUUAAAAGGGCUGGCUUAAGUGGUUCAGAUUACGUUCAUUUCACCACUUCUAAAUUAGAACGAAUACCGAGCGGAUGCUACGGCUGGAUGCUCAUUUGAGAUACAUUCUCUAAUACUAACCUUCAAUGAACAAGCAGCUAGAGUUGCUUCUGCCUCAACAAAUGUUUGUAAUAUUGCUCGAUCUGAAAAAGCUUUUCCCAAGUCCUCUGCUAGCUGAUAACUCUGGUGUGAAUAAGCGACAAUUAGACUAAAAGGUGGAUAAAAAAGAAUAGAAACCUAGAUAAAAGCAAGUGCUUCCUCACCAUAAUGAACGCGUGCUCUUUACUUUCUCCCUUGGCUUGACACUGUGAGACUUCCGCAACAAACCGAUUCAAAAGAUCUCUCUCCCUUAAGCACAAGACAUCCAUCUGAAAUAGGACAAUGGUCAGAGAUGCCCACAAUUUUAUGUGGAAUUACCAACAGUACAAUUGAUGCUAAUCUAAUUUACCUGGAAUUGGCUGCAUCUGAGCGUAGUCGUAGUAAGCCGUGAUGGAAUGACAGGGCAGGGCUUAUUCAUGUGUUCUAAACCCAGACCCUUGAAAGCCUUGUUUGGCUUCUGAGCUGCCAUGUAUUCAGCAAACAGAGCUUUGCUGACCUGAGUUAUCAUGUUCAAUCAUAAGUUCCACUGUUUAGUUGUCAAUACAUUAGGAUGUUGUGAACCCAAAAUCCAUGAAGCCUAUUAAAAUGACCUACACAUCUUGCAGGCCAUGGCCAGGGGACUACAUGCAUCAUAUGGGUCAUUUCAAGGAAAACAAAAUCCAGUAAAAACCCAUACAUAGAGAACUCAUUCCCCAAUUCUGCAUCUGCUGCUUUCAUUUUACAUUGAGGUCAUAUAUUCUCAGCCAGUUUAGUUGUAAGUUGUAACCAACUGUCCUUGUCAAAGGAAAUUCGUAAGGAAAGAAGAAAGCAAAUUUACCUGCUGCAUUAAAAUAUUAUUGUCCCCCUCAAAAGUGGAUUGCACAUCAUGUUCAGCUUUUAGAUGACCAACACGAUUCUCUGUCUUUAGUCCUUGUCCUCCACAAGCUUCGCGACAUUCCUGAAGCAUUCAACAAUUGAACGUCUGUAAUGGCACUUAAUGUUGAAAUGGUUCAACUUACUCCAAAAUUGUCUGUAGCUCACCUGAAGUAUUUGCAUGUUACUCCAUGUAAAAGUAGCCUUGAAUGAACUUGAAAUUACAUGAAUGAUUUUGUUUGACUGGGGUGUCCUCUUCACAUACAGCAUUUUCAAGUAAUUUGCUCCAAAACUCAUAGCAUACCUGCAGCAUAAAAAUGAAAAUAAACAAAUGAGGGUUUAGAACUUACGUUAAACGUUCAACAAACACUUAGACAACAUAUGUUUUCUCUAUACAUGCACAGAAAAGAAUGACUAAUCUUAUCUACCAAGCCAGUGAAGAAAAAAUUGUCAUGAUGAGACUUGCUACAAGCACAGCACUUACGUUUCAAACACAAACUGGACUUAACAAGAGUUCAGGAGAAUAUAUAUACAUAUAUAUAUACAUUUCCUAAACUACCUCUAAACCCCUCCAAACUCCAACUAACUAAAUUGGAGGAUUACACUCUUAAUAGUGCUCAAACCCACAACCUCCAAAUUGCUACAACAACAACGGUGCCAACUGGGGUAGCACUCUGAUCAAGAAACUGUGCAUAUACUUACGUCUUUGCAAGGAGAGGCAAGAGUCUUCGUUGAUGACUUGGGUAAUCAAGCAAUAAGACCUCAGGUUCCUUUGGUUUAAGAGAAAAAGCCCGCCUUGUUAGAGCAUAUCUAAUGGCAAUAGCUAAACCAACCUGUAAGGAGAGUAAUGGCAUGAUAUCAGCGACCUUUACAUUUGAUAGUAGUGGCCUGCCACCCAUACCCAAAAUACAAAAACAUGCAAAUUUCUUCUGCCAAUAAAAACGGACAAGAUGCUUAGAAAAAAAUGAGGUAUACCUUUGACUGGUAAACUGCAUUAACUGCAAUAUUAACACGGCCUGCUGUUAGAGGGGCCAGGAAUGCAGCAAAUCUCUGAAUUAAAGCAACAGACAUGUAAGAGAAACCAACACAGUAUUACCAGCAAAACAGUUGUAGUACAAUAAACGGCUCUAGAGCAGAUACCAGUCAACUCAAAUAUAAGAAGUACCUGAUCUGGGUCUUUUAUAGCACUUAGAUAUUUUCCAUCAGGUGAAACAUCAGCAACUGAAUUUAAUAAGUUCUCUCUCGGCACUCGAACAUUGUCAAACCUGAAAUAACAUGAGCAGACCUUUAAUAUUAGAAUUUUUCUAAGAAAAAGAAGAGACUAAAGAAUCCAUAGUAGAGUGUGAGUUUACACUACCAGAUUCUACCGUUAUCAACACCAUUUAAACCAAUUUUAUGACCACAGUCAGCAAUGCGAAUGUUUGGACAUACAUUACCAUCAGCAUCCCUGAUCUGGGCUAUAAGUGCAUGAACCCCUUGAUUGGUUCCAUUGAUAUUGAGCUGUGAAAAAACAAUUGUGUGUGUUGCAUGCUAGACAACAAAGCAACAACAUAAGUAUACCAUGUCAGCAUAUACAUAAAACAGAGGGAAGGAUAAUAAAAACAGCUAAAAAAAAAACUUCACAUUACAAAGGAAUCUAAAAACAGACUCCAUGGAGAGAAAUGGUAUUUGGUUCUAAGAGAAGCUUACGUUGGCUGCUCCGCCAAUCCAAUACUUUUGUGCUGAUUCACAAGGAGUAUUAAUGACAAACUCCCCUGUGUUUGAGUCAUAUGUUGUUAUUGUUUCAAUGCCGCGAACCUAAAUACAGUAACUCUAGAAUAAAUCAGGAGCAAGAGGAAGACUGCAUAAAAAUUCGGAAAAAGCAUGAUUCUCCUUACUAAAGGAUUAGACAACCUUUACAUACAUUACUUCCAUGCCCCAACUCAGUCAUUGCAAAGCAACCUUUGAUCAAGUAAUUUUCAGUGUCCCUCAGCCACUUGUCAUGGUGGUGCUUUGUACCAAAAAAUUGGAUGGCACCACCCCUGCAUACAUUAUGACAAUAGUAGAACUCAGUUCCAAAUUUUCUUACUUUCUACUUUAACCUUGUCGACUAAAAAGUCUGCACCCCUUCCUAUAACAAUGGGUUAAAUUCAUAAAUAAAAUGUAAGGCAAGCAACAAACAGCUCUCGGUUCCAUUAAAUUUCAAACUUCAAUACACUAAGACUUUGUUGGUUAGUUUCUUUUGAUACUUAUAUCUUUUGCUAUUUGAUCUUUUAUUCUUCAUUGCUAACAGGUAGGAUCAUAUUUAAGUAAAAUAAACAAAUUGAAAAUCAAUUAAAACAAGGCAUUGUGUUGUAUAUUAUAAAACAGAGUAAUGCAACCAAGGAAAAUGAAGAAGAAAUGAAUAUACAGUUAAUAAAGACACUUCAAGGGAGCUACUACUCUUAAGUGCAAAAGGGCUCUUGGUAACAUUUUUAAAUAUUACCAUGAAAAACUGCCACUACAAAAAAAAAUGCAGCCCAAGCUUUUCUUGAACAUAUUUAACCAAAACUAAGAAUUUGAGAGAGAGAGAGAGAGCGAGAGAGAGAGAGAGAGAGAGAGAGAGAGAAUGAGUAGUUGAAUAUAAGUAAUAGUUCAAUUCAGUGUAAAUGAAUGCAUCCAUAGAAACUAACAAGUGCUAUGAAAGUAUUCUUUUAUAGAGAACUAUCUGAAAUCUUGAAAUAAUAUCCCUUCAUGAAAAGUCUUCACAAAGUUAUAUCUUGUCCUACAUACUAAAUUCAUAAAAACAUGCGACCUAUACGAUUUUACAACUUCUGUUUAAAAUCAAAACACUUGAAAUCAUUUUGGUAGACUUCAUGAUAACAUUUUCUUACUCAAAAAAUAUAAAAAUUCUAAUGGUUACUCUUUUUUUAUGUAUUCAAAUCUAUUUUUACACCUAAAAGCAAAGUAAGGGAAAUAAUGCAUAAAGGAAGUCUAUUACUUUUAAAGUGUGUUUGCUUGGGUAAAAGGAGAAAGUAAAAAAUUGAAAAAAAAAAAAUUUGAAUGUGCUUAAAAAAAUGAGAGAAAUAAAAAUAAAAAGGUGAUCAUCUUAUCUUCCAAAUUAGAAUGAUAAAAAGAGAGAAAAUUGUAUAUUAAUUUAUUUUUAAAUGUUUUAUUUUAUAUCUUUAAAAUUUUCAACUUAAAAUUAUUCUUCUUUUCAUUUUCUUCAUCAGCGCGCUUAUAGAAAAAAAAUUAUAUUUUUUUAUUUAUGAAAAUAAAAUUAUUCAGAAAAAAUAUAUUUUUCAUAUUUCUAUGUAGAGUUUGAAAAGUAAAACGAAAUCCAAAAAUUUAGAUUAAUCUUAAGAAGAUAGAAAAGAGAAAAGGCAGAUAACGCACCACAAGAAGAAGUGAACUCCAAGCUUAAUGGAGAUGGAAUGAUCGAAGAGACCCAAAACCUCAAAGCAAGCGAACCUUCUCAUCUCAACUUCUUCUCCUUCCCCCGUUAACCACCCUUGGAACACUCCCCUCUCGAACAAAUACUCGAUGCGUUUCCACGUCAUCUCCCGCUGCUGCUCCAUGGACUGGUUAUAGUCCGGCGACACAAACACCUUCCCUCCCCUCACUCUGGGAUUGAACACCUUGCUCUGCGUGAUCAUCCCAAACAGCCGAUCCCGCUCCUCCAGGUCGUGCCCGUCCAUUAGCUUCCGCAUAUCGUUGAUGUCGAAUGCGUAUUUUUCGGAAAGUUCAGGCGGAGAGUAGUUCAAACAGGUGUUUGAAGAAAGAGAAGGGGUUUGAAAGGACGAAGUAGGAGGUGAUUGGAGGAGGUGACCGGUUAGGACUUUGGUUCUCUGAAAUGCUCGAUCCAUUGCAGAAUAACGUUGUUUUUUUUUUUUUUUUUUGCCUGCCUUUAUUUGUUUGUUCAAAAGAGGAAUACUGAUGAUGGUGGUGGUUGCGUUUAGUAUUUUUUACAUUGAAGCAAUCGCAAUUGGAUCCAGGAAGCGGUUAGGUUGGGUUGGUCAUCCGGGGUUAGGUUGGUCAACCAACUAUCUACGCUUAAAUAAUCUGACCUUAUCCGUAUUUCUCAACUUGCGCCUUUUUUACAAAGAUAAUAUAAUAAAUAUAUUAAAUUCAAAAUUGGGUUAUAUGUUAUAUUAAUUACUAAAAUGGUAUAGAUAAGAUGGUGAAGGGUGGUGUACAAAUGACACCACUCUUGUUUUCUAACAAUUGUCCCAUACAAUUAAAUAAUAAUAUUUUAAUAUGUGAAGUCUUGUUGAUAGGCGAUACCUAAAUAUUGAAUUUAAUAUAUACUCGUUUUUAUAUAUGGGCAUAAUAUUUGGGGUGAUGUCAUAUCAAUAAGUGGCACUAGUGAUCCCUCUUUAGCAGGCGGCACUAGUGACCUCUAUCUAAUAGGUGACAACGGAGAAGAAGCAAAUUUGGGGGAUAUUAUAACUAUGGUCCCCUUUCGUAAUUUUAAAAUUGGAGAAGCAGUUUCUUUAUUUAAAAAAGAAAAAGAAAGUAGAAGGGAAGAAGAGAGGGAGAAGAAAAAAAGGUAAAAAAAAUUUAAUAGAGAAGAUUAAAGGAAAAGAAAGUUAAGAAAGAAAGGAGAAGCAAAAAAAAUGAUAGUAGAGAAAUGGAAGGUGAAAGUAUGUUUUUUUUUUAAAUAGAAUCGAUUAGAAAUUAUUUUGUUACUAAUUUGUUUAGUUUGAUGUUUAUUGUGAUUUGUUAUAAAUGUAAUUUUUUAUGUUGUUUUUAAAUUAUUUUUAAGUUAUUUUGUUAGUAAUUAUUAUAAAUUAAUUGUUAGCUAGUGAUGACACUAGGGAAAAAAUAGAUAAAUACUGAAAUUAAAAAAAAACUUAGUUUCUGUCGUAGAUAUUGGAAGAAAUGACAAUAAAUCUGAUAUUGCCUGAUGAGAUAACAACUUCAGCACAAAGAGAGAAAGUUGAUAGGAUGAUUAGAGAAGUGUAAGAUUAUAGAAUGAAACAGAAGAAACAUAGUUCAACACCUUAUUACCAUAAAUCAAAAUAUGCAAGACGUGUUAUGGAAGAUUCAUGAAAUAAUUAGAAAGAAUAAAGUGCGAUAAUUGACCCUAAGAGGGACAUUAAUAAAACGGUAGCAUCAAAUGAUUUUAGACCAACUUUGGAAGACAUUGGUACCACGAACCUAUUGGAAUAUAAUUAUAUACUACGUGAAGUUUAUAAUCUCUUAUGGAGCAAAGAAAAUAGCGAGACAAAGUAUAGGUUCGCUAAAGUUGACUAGGAAGCAAAAUGUCUUUGACAUGCCAUGGAUGAUAAAUUAGUUGUUAGGAAAUUACUUUAUAAAUUCAAUACCUGUUAUAAAGAUGGAAGAGGAAUAAGAUCCUGAGGAAUUUCCAAAAUGGAUUGUAGAAGAUGAAUUUGAAGAGAAUUCAAAAUUUAAUAUAAAGAAUUUCCCGGAGAAAAAUACAGAAUCGGAGAUGGAAGAAAACGUAGAAAUGAGUUUAAGUGGUUAAAUGCGAAGGUAAAGUAAAAGUUAGAGCCUAGAAAAUGUGAAAAAAAUGACUAAAUAUGGUUGUACAUGUAAGAAAUGAGAACUUAAUGUUGAUAUAAUGCUGAGCUUACGAAUGAAAAGUUUUGCAUAUUUAUAUAAUGUUGGUCUUUUUUUUACAGAUUAUUUUUUAUUAAAGUAAUUUUUUUGCUGUUCGAAAUUGUAUUGAGAAUUUUUAUUUCUUUUUUAACAGAUUUAGUAUUGAAGAUGAAUAAUUAGUUUUUUUUGUAUGCGUUUAUUUCAAUGGAGUAAUUUUGACAAUAGUUGGAUGUAUAUUUGAAUGUCGCCAACAAAUAGCAAUUAGAUUUAAUAGAAAUGUCUCAGAUGAUUAUAUAAAGAAAAUGAUUAGUGCAAAAAUUGUUAGACAUUAUGGAAAAAGGAUCUCGAAACUUUUCUACAAGUUUCCAGUUUCAACAGAUCCCAUCAAAUUCACCGAGAUAGAACUUGUAGACGAUAAAGACGUGGAGACAAUGGUCGCUCUUUAUUAUGGGAAUUGGAGUGACCAAAAUGCAACGAUUCAGUUAUUUGCUAAGUUAGCUUAUGUGGAACCAACUGAAGAUCCUACUCCAUUAGGUGAAGAACAUUUAUAGUCAAUCGAUUUUACACGGGAUCGACAUCGAUCUUAAUGCUGCAUCCGAAACUGAUGCGGUUGGUGAUGACAGAUGCGAUAGUAGUGAUCCUUCUGGUCAAGAGGUCGAUAGUGAUCCCGAUGUGGAUGAGGUUCCAGGUGAUACUAACAACAAAGGCGUAAAUGACGAUUGAAAUGUUAAUGCGUUGUGAUACACAAUAAUCUUGGGGCACACAUGUUGUUCAUAAAACCCGAUGCGGUGCAUACAGUCGAGUUCCAGGAGUACCCUAAUAUACUACCUGCUCACCGAAUGACCGUAGAUUCUGAUCUUAAGGAGUUAUUCAUGGGCCAGAAAUUCGAAAGCAAAGAAGGGUGUGUAUUUACCAAUAAGCGGUAUAGCAUGAAUGUGUAGUGGACUACAAAGUCAUGUCUACACCGACAUUAUAUAUUGGGGAGUGUUAGAGGUCGACGGAAGGUUACAAUUAGUGGGUACGAGCUACAUUUAUCCAGAAGUCACAGAUGUGGGAGAUACGAAUAUUUGUUGAGCCUCACACAUGCACUUCAACAUGUAUGACAGAAGAUCACCAGAAACUUGAUUCCAAAACUAUUUGUGCAUGCAUUAUGCCAAUGGUGAAGGACAUGCCGACCAUUAAAUUUUCGAUAUUGAUUGCUGAAAUGCAAGCACAAUUCCAGUAUCGAAUAUCAUACCGAAAAGCAUAAAUAGCUAAACGGAUGGCAAUGGAUCAAUUAUACAGAGAUUUUGAUACGUCGUACAAUGAGCUACAAGGGUGGAUAGCCACUUUACAGGAGUACGUGUCGGGAACUGUCAUUGAGUUAGAGACACGACUUUAUUACGGCCCAGAUGACCAACUACAACUGGGAAAAAAAAAUUUCCAACGAAUUUUCUGGACGAUUGAUCCAUGCGUGCGAGAAUUUCUCCACUACAAGCCAUUUGUGUAGGUAGAUGGGAUCUGACUAUACGAAAAAUAUAUGAAGAUCCUACUUAUUGCAGUUGCUCAAGACGGGAACAAGAAUAUGCUCCCGAUAAUGUUUUCCAUUAUGGACAAAGAGAACAUAGAAUCAUGAGAUUUCUUCCUUACGAACCUGUGGAAGUAUGUUGUUAAUGAUGAUAAUAUCUGCAUCAUCUCUGAUAAAGGAAAUAGAAUAAUUACCGCCAUUAAGCAUUCCGAUGUACCAUAGAAAUCUUUUUACUACAUCCGGCACAUCGCGAAAAACUUCCAUCGAAAGUAUAAGAAUGCAGACUGGAGGAAAUAAGUUUUAGAAAUGGGUAAAGAAUGCCUUUAUCUUUUCAAUAUACAUUUUAAUGUUUAAUUCGUGACUGUAACUAAUCUUUUCUUAAUAUAUACACAGCGUACGAGCUAGAGCCACACCUUUUCCGACAAAGGAUGACUAGACUUGAAAGUGACAUGGAAGGUGAAAUGAACACACCUUUUCGACAGUGGUUGGGUACCAUGAAGCUGUGACAAUGGGCUUAAAGUUUUGAUGAAGGGUUUCGCUAUGGUCAUAUGACCACCAACUUUGCAGAGGGGGUUAACUCUGUGUUGAGAAAAAACCAUGACAUCUUUUGAUUUCAUCUAUGUUCUUGGCUACAUUCUAUAGUCUGGCUACCUUGAUGCUAAAAAUGGGAUAGUAACAAGUCAACCAGAUGGAGACGGAAUACAUGUUUGUCGAAGAUGUCAAAGAUACAAUCGUUGCGAAUCGUCGGAGGGCAAGGUCGAUGAAUGUAGAAGUAUAUUCAAAACAUUUUGAAAUGUUUUAAGUUACAGAGACCAUCAAUCGUCGACCCGAUAUACCACCUAGGUCUUACGAAGUUGAUCUCUGAAACAGACGGUGCGAUUGCAAGAGGUUCCAGACACUUCAUUAUCCAUGCGCGCAUGUUUUGGUAGCAUGUGCUCUCACCUCACUCAGUGUUGAACAGUUUAUCGAUGAGGUGUACACUUUCGAGCGCACGUUGCGUGUUUGAGAGAACGAGCUCCCCGUCCUACUUGACCUGUUUACAAGAGAGGUUUCGCCGAUAACUUUCGAGCUUAUCCUAGACAAAGGGUUGCGUAGGAAUCCAGAAGGUCAUCCACAAUCAACUAGAAUCCAUAAUGAAUUGAACAUUAGAGAGAAAACUAACGGGAAACUUUGUGGCAUAUGCAAAUUAGUUGGGCAUAAUAGGAGUAAAUGCCCGCAGCGAACCUACCAUAUUAGACAAUCGUCGCAAUUGGGUAGGAAUUGAGCUAAUGUACUCCAAUGUAUCUAAUUUAUAUUACAAAGUUUGUUCCAAGUUUGUUCCAACACGUGCCAAUUAAAAUUACAAAGUUUGUUCCAAGUUUGUUUCAACACCUAUCAUUUAAAAUUACAAAGUUUGUAUUUUUGCAUUUAUAUUUUACUAUAAUUAAAUAAAUAUAAACUUGAUUAUUUAAAUUAUAGAAACUCCUAAACUUGAUGGUUUGAUGGUAUGGUCCUAGGGGUAUAUUUUUAUGGUGGUCAGCGUUCAUGUUGCGGGUUAUCGUGGCGAUCAACAUUCUCCUCACUCAAACUUGAGGGUGUGCUAAACAUAGUAGAAAAAUCAUAUACCCCAAACGUCAUCGAUGAUGUUGGGUUGGGAGGAGUGGAGUACUGAGGUGGACAUGGGGCGGGAGAAGUGGAGUACUACAGUGGUAAUGGGUUGAAGAUAUCAAAUGUCGUCGUUGAUCUCAGAUCAGGUAUAUUAAAACUGGAUCCCGAAAACUCUGAAUGAUAUCUGUGGCCUAACGAGCCUGAGAAAUAGUCAUCAAACCCCAAGUCUAGAUGAUAAGAUUUAUCCCCAGAUUGUGUAUGAGAUUGGUUGGGUUCGGGCUCUGGCUCAGACUCUAGCUCAGGUUCAAGCAAGGGCUCUAGCUUGGGUGUAGGAGACGUAUGUGGAAAAGGAUGAUCGUAUGCUCCAAGUUAAUACAUGUGCAAGGGGAUUACAAUCGAUUUCUCACAAAAUAAAUAUGGUUUCCCCAUAUCAGAGUACCAUUAUAUGUUACUCUAACGAGGGCUGCAAAUCGAAAGAAAUAUCCAUCUAAGGUCUCUGCACCAUGCGGUUGUCCCACACUGCAAUAUAUUAUUGAUGCACUACUGCCCAAUUAUUUCCGUGCUUUCCCCUAUUGUUAAUCCCAUGGGUCUUCCCCAAUUGCAUUGGCAGAGCCGGGAUAUACUGUAUGCAACUGAACUACCGAAGUACUUGAUCCUUGUUAUACCACUCCACUGUCUGGAAAUUGAUAAUAGGUGCAUUAAUGCGCCACAUGUGUGAGUGAAUAUGAGAAGAUGAGGGAAUAAUAGUUGCAAUUUUUGGCAAGGAAUAGGGCAUCUAGAUAAACUGCACAAUUAAUAAAAUAGUUAAAUUCUAACACGAUUCAAGUAAGAUAUACAAAGUAAUUACAUGUUACGAAUAUUAGAAUAACUUACCCCUUCCCUAGUAUGUUGCUGAAUCAUCAGGCGAUAUAUCAGAACCGUGUAUGACCUCCCGAUACCCGGAUUUGUACUCCAUCUACGAAAAAAAAUAACUUGUUAGAAUAAUAUCAUUAGAAAAAAAUUUUCAAUUAAUUACUAUAAUAGGUAAGAUUUUGUCACCUAUUUACGAGUGGAAAAACAUAUACUUGGUGACUAACAGAUGCCAAGAAUGACAUCCAGUAAAGAGCCCAAGAUUGUAGCGAUAUGAGGCAUCCGCCUAUGCCCAUGGCAAAAGGCUUUGUCAUCCGACAAAGCUUGCGAUACAACAUAGCUAAUACUGCAGAACCCCAACAACAUGAAUGGACAUUAUGCAAAUCAAUUAAGCUAGGUAAGUACAUCAAAUGGACCUUUUUGUUGUUUGCAUUCAACAUGAGUACACCCCUUAUAAUGUGUAUAAUGUACGCUUGAAUGACGCACAUCACCUCCCACUCAGUGGCAUUAAUCGAUAAAUUCUUAAAAUUGACCUUCAACUAUAAAAACCUCAAACCUGUAAAUUUCGACUCAGCAUCACCGGACGAGACUCCUAAUAGGUUAUCACAAAGGGUAACCAGUUCAGAUAUCGUACUUACGCUAGUUACUGCACUCCCGUCGAUUGGGAGCCUUAGUUGUAGUGUAACAUCCUCUAGAGUGAUAGUGCACUCCCCACACGACAAAUGAAAAGUGUGGGUCUUCGGGCGCCAUCGCUCGACCAAGGCGGAUAUUAAGUGGUACCACAAAUCAAACUUCCAGAUCAAUGUCACUGACCCGAAUCCGAGUAACUCCAAGUAUGACAUUAGUCGUUCAUCCAGGGGAUAUCCUAAACCAUUCACACGAUCCCUUAAUGCGUGGUAUGGGCACUGACACUAUUAAAUUAUAGAAAUAGUUAAUAUAACAUAAUUUAAUUUCGUAAAUGACGUGAAACUUUUUAUAAGGGAACUCGUGAGUAACAAAUAACAAUUUAUUACCAUCUUAUUAACUGUGUUUGAUAUGUGAUUAUCGUUAUUAAUCAAAGAACCCAUUUCAAUAUUUGUAAUUUUAAAACAAGGAGUUCAAUUAAUUUGUUACAAAAAAAUACAUUUCGAUAAUUAAUUUGUAUUUGAGCAUUUUUAUCGCACUAAUAAAAAAUAUUAUUAAAAUACAGAUACGUGACAUCCUAAAUGUAAUAGCACAUUUUGAUAAUUUAUUUUUAAGGUGGUCCAUUUUAAAUAUUUAUUAAAAUUCCUAAAUGUAAUAGAAUAAAUUUUACAAUAAAUACAAUACAAAAAUUUCAUUACAAAAAUACUAAACAGUUUUGUCCACAUCACAUUUUUUGCUAUACUAUUGCAGUAUAUAAUUAACAAAUUAAAUAAAAAUAUCUUAUAAAUUUCAACUCAAUGGUCCUAUCUUUUACCUACCUACAUAUAAAAUAAAAAAUUUAUGUUAAAAUAAUAGAAACUAUGAAAACAAAAUAAAGCUAGUUGGUUGGACUAUAUGUUGUUAUGUACAUCUAAUAAUAAACACACAAAAAAUGCCCAUUAAAAAAUAUAACAAAACAUCACAUCAAUUCCAACUAAAUAGACUCAUCUUUUACAUACAUAAAAAAAACAAAAAAAAAAUUAUGUUAAAACAACAUAAACUUUCUCAACAUAAUAAACCUAAUGGGACUAAUGUUGUUAUUUGAAUAUAAAUAAAAAAAUAAAAAAAGCAUAAGACUUUAAAAAUCAAACAGAAACAUACCUGCACACUUUCUGAAAUAAAUCAAAUAACCUUCCUUUUGUACCGAAAUAAUACCUUACAAAAAAAUAAAAAAAAAUCAGAUUCUGAAUUAUAACAUUUUUAAAAUAAAUAAAAUAGAAAAUAACAUUUAUAACCUAUAAAAAAACCCUAAACUAAACAAAAAUACCUUAAUUUCUUUUUUUUUCAAACCCUAAACAAACAAAAUCCACAAAUCUUUUUUUCUUAACCUCAAACUAAACCCCAAGCUAAUCCUACACUGACCCUAAAUCCUUUUUUUCCUUAACCCUAAACUAACCCCAAAUUUCUCCUUUGAUUUUCUUCUCUUCUAUUCUGCUACUCUUUAUUCUUUCCUUCUUUUUUUUUCCCCUUCGUUCUUUUCUUCUUCACUGGUUUGUUUUCUUUCUUUCUUUCACUUUGGGGACCAGUAUAAGGUCCCAAACAACGUUUACCAUCCAUUUUCACGAGACCCUUAAGGGUCUCAUCCCAUCGGCAAACGCAUCAAAGCAGCAAAGUAAUCCCAUCCAUGCUAGACUAGUGCCACAUGUCAAGUAGGCUUCACCAGGUUCUCCUCGGGCUGUGUGGACUACAGGUUAUACGGGUUAAAACUGUAACACCCCAAAACCGGUCUAAACGUUAUGACCGAAUCUGGCGAUGUCACAUUGUAACACCCCUUACCCGUAUUCGACGCCGGAAUAGGGUACGAGGCAUUACUAGAAGACAUACAUUUGCAUAUGUAUUAAACUGAGUUACAAAAUUUCAUCCGAAUUAAAACUUUUAAAUUAUUAACGUGCUUUUAUAAUUCUUUACAACAUAUCCUCGAAAUAUUAUAUUCAUAACAAAUAGGGCCUACGAGACCCGAUAUUUACUCAUGUAAUUCAAAGCUUCAUUUCCAUUUCAUUCAAUUCACAAUUUCUCAUGUUCACAAUUCAAAUCAAUUUCUCAAUCCAAUAUAUAUUUCAAUCAUCUAUGAAUAUAAUUCAAGUUAUACGAACUUACCAGGCUAAAUUGCAGAAAUACCAAAAUUCAAGGACAUUUUGGUAAUUUUCUAUUUUCCUCGAAUUUUCACCCAAUCUUGAUAUAAAUUAAUAUUUCAUUAAAUUUAUUAAAUUAAAUAAUAAAAAAUUCAUUUCAUGCAAUUUGAUCACUUUUUGACAUUUUUACCAAUUUACCCUUAAAAUAUUACUUUUAUUCAAUUUAGUCCUUGAACCUAAAACACGCAAAUUGGUCAUUUUUAAUGAGAACUCAUGCUAGUUGAAUAAUCAUUUAUUUUCCUCCUCCUCCUCUCCAUUCCACAUCCUUAAUGUAUAAUAUGCUUAUAGGUAACAUUAUCUAUAAUUCCACCAUUUAUUUAUAUAUUAAUUCAAAGCUAUCCACUUGAGUCAUAGUCACUAAAUUAUUUAUAUCUUGAGCUAUGAAACUCCAAAUUAAGAUCCGCUAAAUUCCUAUGAAACUAGACUCACAUAUCUUCUUACCAUAAGAUUUUCAGAAUUUUUGGUUUAGCCAAUAAGUACAGUUUAUUCUUUAAAGUUUCCCCUGUUUCACUGUUUGACAGUUCUGACCUCUCUUUACUAAAAAUUAAUUAUCUCAUUAUACAAAAUUCGGAUGAUAUUUCCGUUUCUUUCCUUUGAAAAUAGACUCAAUAAGGAUUCUAAUAAUAUAAAUUAUAACUCAUAAUUAUUUUUAUUAAAUUUUUUAGGAUUUUUCAAAGUCAGAACGGGGGAACCCAAAUUCAUUUUGAUCUUGUCUCACAAAAUUUAUUAUAUCUCAUGAUUUACAAUUCCAUUACUUACACGUUUCUUCUAUGAGAAACUAGACUUAAUAAUAUUUAAUUUCAUAUUUUUUUAAUCCUAUAAAUCGAUUUCCACAAUUUAUGGUGAUUUUUCAAAGUUAACCUACUGCUACUGUCCAAAACUGUUUUAGUGCAAGAUGUUGAUUACUAAGUUUAUAACUCCCUAAUUCCCUUUCUCUAUAAUAUUUCCCAUCAUUUUCACUUAUUUCUCUUCACUAAUAUAUCAAGACCAUAAGACAUCGUUUAAGAAAACUCUACUAUAACAUCAUUUCCAUACUUUUUUCAACAAUAACAAACUUAAAAAUAUAUUAAAAUCUUGAUGUUCUUACCUUGUGCUAUUGAUUUCAAUCUUUAACUUGAUUUUCUCUCUCCUCCAGCUUCCAUUUCUUAUAUUUCUUGAAUCUAACUUGACAUUCUAGCUCCCCAUUGUCUCCUUAUUACUUUUCUCUCUUGGAAGCUAUGGAAAUUCUUUUGAAUUCUAGGUGAAAAUAGUGAAUUUUUGGUAAAAUGACCAAAUUGUAAAGAAAGCAAAACUUUCUUUCUUCUCUUCUCUUCUAACGUUGGUUGCAUGGAAAGAUGAUAAUUUUUUCAUCAUCUUUCCUCCCUUUUAUAUUAAUCAUUUAAUAAUAAAAUAAUACUAAAAAUCUUAAUAAAAUAUUAAUUAAAUAACAUUUAUCUAAUUAAUUAAUUAAAAAUAUCACAAACAUCAUCAUUACCUUCUAGAAUUCUCUCUCUCUCUAUUUGACCAUUUUUCCCUUCAUAAUCUUUUGAAAUUCCAUCCUUGAGUCAUCACUUAAUUUGGUAAAAUUGCAAUUUAGUCCUUCAAAAUUCUUCAUCUUUUCAAUUUGGUCCUAAUUCAUCCAUUUUCCUUAGUUUCUAGAUUAUUCCACCCUUAAAAUACACUAUUGGUCCUUCAAUUUUUUCAUAUUUACACUUUAACCCCUCAAAUUUUGAGUAUUUACUCUUGGGCAACAAAACUUUUCUCACUUUUGCAAUUUAAUCCUUUCUUGAAUUAAUAUGUCAUAAUAUACUUCCCAAUGUUGACAUAACUCAAUAUUACCCUUUUUAUCACUUUAUUUCUUUAUUUUACUAUAUCAAGGAUAUUAUCUUACUUACUGUAGUAAUUUUCGGGGUAUUAAAAAAACGGGUUAUACAGGGUGUAUUUUUUGUUUGGGUGCCGCCUACCAAAUGCCCACAUUUGAUUAAUUUUUUGUUCAUAUCAGGAAACUGAAACUGUUAAUUUUAGGGUGGUGGUGUCGCCUAUCCACCACCUUCCUCUGUGUUGGCCAUACCAUUCCCAUAAAUAAUUUUGGGAGAAACCUAUUUUCGAAUUUAAUAUAUUAUUUUAUAUUAUUUGUGUAAAAAAGCCUCAAUUUGCAAUUAUUUAUACAAUUAUAAUAAACACAUCUAAUCAUUUAUCUAUGCCUAACUCGCGAUUUAUAUUUUUAUGUAAAUUCUUAGCUUAACUAGUAAAAGUCGUGGCUGACCCCCAAUAAUAGGGUUUGCGUCCGAAAAGAAUAAAAAAAUAAACAUUUAGAUAAUUUUUAUAAAAUUUCAAAAUAUUAUUUUUUAUUUCUAUGUUUUAAUUUUUUUUUAAUUUUUAAGAAUCAAGACUAAAUUGAUAGAAUGUAUAAAGUUGAGGAUUAAAUUUAUUGAUUUCUUUUAGAAUUAUAAUCAAAUUUAUUGAAUAUGUUAAUACUGGAUGGCUAUAUUUAUUAUUAUGCCAAUAAAAAAAGGGUAUAUUAAAAUUCUAUUAAUAAUUUAAUGGAGAAGUGAUCAAAAUAUUAAAUUUUAAUAAUGUUAAUGACUAACAUAAAAUUUUUUAAUCUGAGUGACCAAAACAGAGAUAUAUUAAUAAUUGCGUAACUAUUUAUAUAGCUUACCAUAAAAUUUUAACAGAAUAAAAAAUUAUUAAAUAAUUAGAAGUAUUAUAUUACUAAAAUAUAAAUACAUUAUUUUAUAUAUAUUUAUUGAAAUAUUUUGAUUAAUUGAUGUAUAAUUACAUAAAUUUAUUAUAUAUUUUUUAGUACCACGAAAUCUUACAUUACAAUUUAGAGAGAAUGGAAUGUUAACACCAAACUUAACCCUAGGCCUUAAAGGUGUCAAUUUUUAAUCACUUGCACUUUUUGGAUUGUUGGUAAUUAACUUAUUAUAUUAAAUGAAUAAAAAUGUUAAAAGCUUUAAAUGAAAAUAAAUAAAAAAUAUUUAAAAAUAAAAAAAUUAAUAAAUUUAGAUUAUGACACGCCCACGAUAUUGAUAAAAAAAUAUGUAAUAAAUACAUUUAUAAAAAAUGAUUUAAGAAACAAAUGAAGCUUUAGUUGAAAUAGUAAAGAUAUUAAAAAUUAUGGUGUUUUGGAUUUGAAUCUCAUCAAGUGCAUUUUUCUAGCACGAAUGCGUGUAGAAACUAUAUAAUUAGAAUAUAAAUGUUUUUAAAAAUAAGAUACAAUAAAUAAUAAAACAUAUGAGGUGAAAUUAAUUAAUAAUGAAGCGUUAAUUGGAGUGGUAAAGUUUAAAUUCUAUACAUGUUGAUGUCAUGUGUUCAAAUUUCAUUAUUUGUAACUUUUUUAUUGGCUGUAUAUAAAAAGUAAAAGAUAAAACUAGAAGUACCCUCACAUCAUAUAAUUUAUUUUAAAUACAAAAAGAAGAAGAAGAAGAAGAAGAAGAGAACAAUUCUAUAUUUCCUUAACUAAGUUUUCCUUAAACUAGCUGGUGUCUAAUUGACUCAUAACACUAACACAGUUAGGAAUUUAAAUAAUAAGAUAGUAUAAAUUUUCAAACUAAUAUUAAAAAUAAUAAAUGCACUCUAAAUAUUUAUCAUGUUGGUGAAAAGAAAAUCAAAUAUUAAAAAUUAAAUUAUAAAAAAUUCAGUAUUGAGUUGAGUAACUCAAUCAAUGAAAUUAUGUAUACUAGUUCUAUAGCACACUUGUAUUGUGGGUGAAAAAAAAGGCGGAUGAAAAUAAUAUAUUUGUAAACAUUUUAUAUUAAAUAAAUGUUUGAAAUUUAUGUGACUUAAGUUCAAAUCCUAUCAUGAUAUUUUUAUUUAAAAAUAUGAAAAGACAAAAACAUUUUCAAAAUAUUAUAAAUUACUUUAUAAAAUGAGGACAUUUUUAUCUUUUUUUUCAACUGCAAGUUGAUAUUUGGUUAACCUAUGAUUGAAAUAUAUAAAAAUAUAAAAUAAAAUUUAAUAAUAUUAUAUUUUACUUUUUAUAAAUACUAGUAUCAUGGGUUGAAAUUUAAACAUAUAUAAAUUUUAUAUUGAUUUUAUUAAAAAUGUAAAAGGACAAAAAUAUUUUUGUAAAAAUAUCAUUUAUUUUAAAUAUGUAAGAAUAAUUUAAUAAUUUUUCAAAUAAGUUAAUAUCUAAUUAACUUGUGACACCUAUUCAAAUAAAAUAGGCAUAAUGUAAAAAAUAACCCCUAACUUUUGACGUUUGUUCACUUUGGUCCUUUAUCUUUUUUUUGGAGCACUUUAACCCCUAAUGUUUUUUUUUUGUCAAAUCGGUCUAUUUUUAAUGGACAAGUUGACGUUGCCAUUAAAUGUUUAACAACGUUUGUAAUACACUAUUUUGCCCGGGUCUAAAAAGGCCCAAAUUACAAGCAAGCCUAUAUGGCCCAAAAUGAAAUAAAACAAGGACCCAAAUUGCAGUGGCCCAAAAUCAUCAGAAACCCUAGGGUUUCUAAUCUUCAGCCGCAGCAACCAUGCCCUCCGAAUCUCCACGUGCUCGUAUCUGCACAGCAAAAAAAGAAGCAAAGCAGCAUAUGGUAAGAAAAUAUUAAAAUCAAAUCAAGCAGAUACCAGAAGAUUUCUUUUUAUUUUUUCUUGUUUCACGAUUGCUAUAAAAGCAAUCUUAAGAUACUGUAAAUGUGGAUCGAAAAAUCAAUAAAAACGAAUAUUUCAUAACAAAAAGAGUAGAGAAUACAACGAGAUCAAAAAAAUCAAAUAUCGGAGGUUAACAUCUAUUUUCUUGCUUCGUUUCAAGAUUUUUCUUUCGUUUUUUAUUUUUUACAUGCGAAAAUAAAAUAAAAAGGGAAAAAGAAAACGACUCACCUUCGUUUGAGUCUGAAACGUCACUAAGACUGUAGAGGGAGCCACCCCCGAGGAUCGGUGGCCGGAAACCGAAAGGUUUCUUGCCUGCUUUGAGGAUUUUUGAUGGUAUUUUGGUGUUUUCGAGCCCGGAUUUGGGUUUAAAGGGGCCAGAAAAGCCGAAUAGGGGAUUUUCCCCUUUUCUGGCCACAGCAGACGGCGGUGCUGUCGUCGGAGGCUGGCGGCCGGCAUGGUGGCCGACAAUCGGCCGGUGCCCGGACCCUGGCCAGACGAUGAAGGAGGGGAGAGCUUUUUGAAAGUUUUUUUUUUUUUUUGUUUUUUAAGAAAAGGCUUAAAAUGAAAUUUUUUAGGGAGAGUCAGUGGCUUAAAUAGCCCUUCAAAACGGCGUUGUUUUGGGCAUGGGUUGACUCGACUCCGACCCGGCCUAGGAUCCGCGUGUUUUUAAGCGGAGGGGUAAAUUGUGCUUUUAGCCCCUCCGCCUCUUAAUGUUUUACAAUUGAGUUUUUUUUUAAUUUAUCCCUUCAAUUUUUUUCGAUUUCAGUUUAAUCCUAUUUGAACGAUGCCGUUUUGAAGGGGAAGGGAUAAUUUUCUUUCCAGCCCCUCUGAAUUAUUGGCGUAUUCAAUAGGGUCCUCCAGUCUUCAAUUAUUUGCAAAUUUGCCCCAGAUUUUUGUCUACAGUUCAAUUUAGUUUUUUUCUUUAUUUUUUUAAUUAAUUAAUAAUGUAAUUAUUUUAUAUAUAUAUGUAAUUAUUUUUUUAAAUUUUUUUUUCAAAAAUCUAUAUAUGUAUAUAUUUAUUAUUUAUAUAUGUGCACAUGAGUAUAUAAUUUUUUUCUAACAAAUAUCUUUUUAUUUAUAUAUAUACGUAUAUAUAUAUUUUUAAAAUGCUCAAAUAUACAUUAUUUUUUACACAUAUUUUACAAUAUAUAUGUUUAUAUAUUUCUUUUUAUAAAUGCGUUAUAUAUAAUCUGUUAUAUAAAUUCUAUAAUCCAAAUUUUAUAUGUAAAUCCAUGUUUUUUUUUCCAUAAUUUCAACAUGCAUAUUAUAUGCACACUUUAUAUUCUUUAUUGUUUACUCUUUUUUAUUUUAUAAGAUUUUUUAUUUCCCUCACUCGUUUAUUCAUUUGCGUUUUCAUUUAUAUUCUAAAGAAUGUUUUUAUUUUGUUCAUUUAUUUGAUAUUUCGCAUGUCAUUAUUUUUAUUAUGUACAUUAUUUUCGUUUAUUUAUUUGUUUAUCUUAUUUCUACGCCAUAGUUAUAUUUAUUAUUGUAUUUUACAUUUAAUAUAACAUUACAUCAUCUUUUUACUCGAACUUAAAAACAUAAAAUUUUCAAAAUAGAGAUAAUACUCGUAUUUAGGAUUUUUCAAGAAAAUUGAGCCCUAACGUAUUGGGUUCCAAUUUUCUUCGUUAAAUCUAACAAUCGAGAAUUGCUCUUUAAUCAAAAAUAAAAUGAAAGGCUUGUCGUCGGAAAUUCAAUAUGUUGUGUCCUAAUGCAUUGGAUGUGACAUGUUGAUUUCUCGAGAUAAAGAUUUUUUUUAAAAAAAAAUUAAUAAAGGAAAUAUUCAAUGUUUGGGAUUUUAAGGGAUUGUGCCCUAAUGUAUUGGGCUGCGAUUUCUUCAUAAAUUUUAAACAAUUGAAUAUUAUUUUAAAUUUUAUCACACAAACCUUUUGGACAAACUCAUCUUGAAGAAAUAAAAUAUCGUGCCCUAACGCAUUGGGUGUGAUGUUUUCUAUUUCAAAAUGAGAGAGUCUUAAUAAAAAUUAAUUUAAUUAAGGAUCGUAUUUUUAACUCUCGACGUUAAGACAUUAAUUAAUCAAUUUGGUAUCAAUUUUUGGGCGUAACGAGGGUGCUAAUCCUUCCUCGAACGUAACUGACUCCCGGACCCGUUUUUCUAAAAAACUCGUAGACCAAAGUUGUUUUGGGUGAUCCAAUCACACCUUAAUAAAAGAUUGGUGGACUCCAAAUUUUCAUCGACAACUAAUUUUUGUUUUUUUCAAAAAAGAUAAAAUGGUUUUGACAGCUUGGAGACUCCACUGAGGACUUUAAAAAAAUAAGAGAGUCGAGCCACAAAGUUGAUUAAUUUUUGUCUUAUGGUCGAAAAAUAAAUUUUAAAAUUCAUAAGAUCCUUUUGCAUUCAUUAUUUUCCUGUUUAAUUGAUCUAAGUAUUUUAGUUAUUUUUGCAUUAUACAUUACAUGAGUUGAACGAUUUUACCCUCUAAGUGGGAGUGAGAAACUAUUCUUUCGUGAGGUUGUCACCUCCAUAUAGGAUAGUAGAUCACUUUCGGGAUACAUAUGUACCUAUGCCUUGGUGAGAUUUUCAUCUCCCUAUAGUCAUAAGGAAAAUGUAUCCCCCUGAGCCGAACUUGAUCUAUAUGAGCCUAUAAUGGGUGAAGAUCGAGGAAUCUGCUGGUUUGGGUACCUUAGCCCUAGAAGCCGAACUUCAAAUAAUGAACCUUAGGAAUCCACCUUAGGUAGAACUACACUGAACCUUAGUAGAUAUCCGAUUAGGUAUUUUACUAUUUCUUAAUUAUAUUCUAUGUUUAUAUGAUACUGACUUUUCGUGUUUUAUUUUGAUUGCAUGACAUGACAUUUCAUUUCAUCAUAAAAGGCGUCGGUUCAUAUUCAGUUGCUAGAUAGAAAGCUUAUAAUGGAAAAAGGGUUUCUUGAUAAAGUGGAAGAUAAUGCGGCUGUCCGAACUUGCUCUGAAACAAUACAGCGAGAGAAAGGCGAUAGUUUGGCUGAUGGAUAUGUAUCGAAAUUAUGAGACUUUACUCACAUCAGUGUAACUCAAAACAAUCUGCAAGAGUUGAGGGAAAUCUGGGAUCAGUGGAAUGACGAGGUUAGACAGCUAUUUUAUAAUAAUUAUGGGAAUUUGCCUUAUUUACUUGAUGUGAAGGUAGACAAGCACUUGUUUCGAGCCCUCGCUCAGUUUUAGAAUCCUACUUACAACUGCUUCACAUUUGGAAAGGUCGAUUUGGUGCCUACGAUAGAAGAAUAUGUGGCUUUACUCCGAUGUUCAAAGUUUCAAAUAGACAAGGUCUACUCGAGAGCUGUAAAUGUGCCAACCUUUUCGAAGAAGAUGAUGAAUAUAAUAGGGAUGAGUGAGCAAUAGGUUAUUACACGGAUUAAGAAAAAGGGGGAUAGCAAGUGCAUUCCUUGGAAGAGUUUGAAAAAUUUAAUUCUAACACACCCAGAUGUGAGGAAGAGGUUAGACGUCUUUGCUUUGAGUAUAUAUGGCUUAGUUGUCUUCCCUAAAGCUAUGGGACAUGUUGAUGAAGCAGUCACUGAUUUAUUUGACCAGCUUGAUAAGAUGGUUACACCAAUUUUGGCAAUUUUGGCAUAAACCUUCAGGCCAUUGAGUGCAUGCCGAAAAGUGGGAGAAGGUAGAUUCAUUGGAUGUGCACAGCUCCUACUUGCAUGGUUUCACAACCACUUUUGGAAGGUUGAUAGGGUUUCGUACCAGGUUUUCUCUGAAAAUUAUUCGCCACUAAAGGAGAUUGUAACCACACCGAGGAGAGACAACAUUUCGGAGGAGAAGUGGAUGGCAAUUCUUCAGAAUCUUCAAGAAGAAGACAUCGAGUGGAGAGCUCUUUGGUUGCUUCUAGAUGAGAUCCUGUAUAGAUGUGGUAAUUUUGAUUGGGUUCCUCUGCUUGAAAUUUAGGGAGCUGUUGGAUAUAUCCCAUUGCUAGUGCUAAGGCAGUAUAGGUCAAGGCAAUUUAUACCUGCGACCCAAGGAAUGGAUGAGUGUGAAUUCUCAUACAGGGAUGAUGGUUAUAGGAAAAUGAUUCAAGAGAUGUCUAGUGUAUGGAAACAGACUCGCCGAAUGAAGAGGUUAGCUGUGGGUCCGAUAACAACUCCUGAGUAUAAUGAAUGGUGGGUUAGGAGGAUCAAUGAGAAUACACCUAAGUCAAAUCAGGAAAACAACCAGUCAAUAGAGAAAUAUUUGCGGGUCGUCCCUUCUGAGUUGGAAAUUAUAAGACAAGAUUUUGAAAGAAGAAAUGCGGAUUUAGAAAAGAAGAUAGAACAAAUGGAGGAAGAGAAGGUGAGCUUAAUAUUAAACAUAGACGUUCAAAAGCUCGAAACUGAGAAAUUAAGAAAAGGGAAAAACAAGGUCGAAGAGUAGUUGGAUAGUUUGAAGAUAGAUUAUAAAAUGUUGCAUCUGUCAAUGAGAACUGCUGGGCUGGGAAAAACUUCAGAACAGUGGCGAGCAGAAAUUCGAGAAGAAAAGGACAAAGUUGAUAGAUGGGAAUAGAAAUUCCAAGAGGUUCAGACACGAAAUGAUGCUUUAGAGAAUAGUUUGUCAGAAAGCCAAAAGGAAAAAGGCGAGUUAAAGGACAGGGUGACCGAGUUGGAAAGAUCUCUUCGUCAAUAUCGAAAUCGAAACUCUGCAAUAGAAUUGAGAGCAAGCUUAAGCAAGAUUGAGAAAAUGAAAAAAAGAAUAGAAGAGUUAGAAAUGACAUUGCAAAAUUGUGAGAUCCGGAUCGAGUGCUUGGAGGCAAUUGAAAGUCGUAAUAACGAACAGCUUCACUACUUUCAGAAUCAAGUUAGGAGCAGAUAUCAUAUUAUGGAGGAAGCUGUGGUCCAGAUUCGUGAAGUAGCCGAUCACAUACAGACUUUAGCAGUGCAGGCCGACAUGUUAAGUGUGAAGUAUGAAUUAGAAUCGGAUCGGGGGCAAGAGUUAGCUUUGUUACUUAGGAAUAUUAGAAUUCUGAGUAAUAAGACAAAGCUUUAUUUGUAAUUCACUUUAUGUAAAGAAAUUUAAUUUCUAAUAAAGUUUUCUGAAAUGGAAUUGAAUCAAAAUUGACGCCUUUUUGCAUUCAUUUCAUGCAUUUUAUUUGCUUCAUAUGCAUUAAAAAAGAUUAAAAGAUUCUAAUUAAUUUAAAUCACUCCUCAGUUAAUCUGGAAACCAACCAACCCGCCAAACACCACUACGAUACUCGAUCAAAAACUAAAGACAUGGACCAAAUGAUGGAAAGGCUAAGACAAUUCCAAAAAGAAAUGUAAGAUCAGCUUCAACAACAAAUAAAAGAGAAACUCGAAAAGAUUCAGCAAAAAAUGAUGGAUAAAAUGAUGGAAUCUCAGGGGAAUAUGAUGACUCAAUUAACUCAGUUGUUAACUAGGGGAGCAGAUAAAGGAAAGGGCUCUGUGCUCAAUGUUGAAGAAGGAGACAGUGAGGGACCCAUUUAUCCCCUAGGCUUUACCCUUCAGCAUGUUGAGGUAUAUCCGCGCAAAUCUUCUGUCACCAUCCAGCCUCAGCAGUUUCAGGCCGGUGUUACAACACCAAUGAAUUUUCAGGCUGGAUCAGGCUCUAAUCCCGGAGAUAACCUUGUCAAUCCUAUUGUCCUUGAUUCGAUGAAACAGUUGGAAGAGAGAAAAUGAAGGAUGAAUUGCCAAAAUAGCUCGAAGAAAAGUAUAAAUGGCCGGAGGAAAAAUUUAGAGCGCUGAAAAGUACUAAGAGCUACCAUGGGAUUGACGCUAAAGAAUUGAGCUUGGUUCUAGAUUUAGUACUCCCUUACAAAUUCAAAAUGCCCGAGUUUGAGAAGUACAAUGGAACUAGUAGCCUCGAAGCCCAUAUUACCACGUUUUGUAGGCGGAUGACUGGGUAUGUUAAUAACGACCAGCUGUUGAUACAUUGUUUUCAGGAUAGCCUCACAGGGGCAGCAUCCAAGUGGUACAUUGUUUUCAGGAUAGCCUCACAAAUGAAACUAGUAGCCUCGAAGCCCAUAUUACCACGUUUUGUAGGCGGAUGACUGGGUAUGUUAAUAACGACCAGCUGUUGAUACAUUGUUUUCAGGAUAGCCUCACAGGGGCAGCAUCCAAGUGGUACAAUCAACUGAGUCGUAUCAAGGUUAAUUCAUGGAGAGAUUUAGCACAUGCAUUCAUAAAGCAGUACAAUCAUGUAACCGACAUGAUACCUGAUAGAAUCACUCUACAAAACAUGGAAAAAAAGCCCGGUAAAAGUUUUAGGCAAUAUGCACAGAGGUGGAGGGAGGUUGUCGUCCAAGUUCAACCAUCUUUUCUAGAAAGAGAGAUGACAAUGCUUUUCGUUAACACGUUGAAAGCCCCAUUUAUUACACAUAUGUUAGAAAGUGCUACUAAAAGCUUUUUUUGACAUAGUUAUGAAUGGUGAAAUGAUAGAAAAUGCUAUCAGAAGCGGGAAGAUAGAUGCUGGAGAAAGAAGUAGAAGGUCGGCCUCGAAGAAGAAGGAAAAUGAGGUUAACAACACAAGUUCAUAUAGCAAGGGGUAUUCAAAGACGAUUACGGUGAAUCAGUUGGGAAAAGUGGCUGUUAACCAACAAUGAUCAUCAAAACAAGGAUCUGACACAAGACAAAAUACGGAGAAGCUUCAAUUUACACCAAUUCCAAUAUCGUAUAAGGAGCUGUAUCAGAAUCUAUUCAAUGCAAACAUGGUUUCCCUUCACUACUUGAAACAUCUGCAGCCUCCGUACCCCAAGUGGUAUGAUGCAAAUACACAAUGCGAUUAUCACGCGGGAAUCGUGGGACAUUCCAUAGAACAUUGUACGGUGUUCAAAAAGCUGGUUGAAAGACUAAUAGGCAUGGGCAUUGUUAAAUUGGAUGAUUCGUCCAGUACAGAGAAUUCGUUACCUAAUCAUAAUGAUAAUGGAGUGAACAUGAUAGAUUGGAACAUUGGUAGAAAAAUCAAGGAAGAUAUCGCAGAAGUGAAAAUUCCUUUAAGAUGGGUCUGGAAGAAGACAGUAGAAAAGGGGUUGUUUGUCUUAGAUCCUGAAAGAAGCUGUGGAGGGAAAAACUACUGUGAGUUCCAUCACGAGGAGGGACACGAUAUUCAAGAGUAUGUAGAAUUCAGGGCCUUAGUUCAAGGCAUGAUGGAUGACAAGGAGGUGGAGUUCUACGAAGAGGUUAAGAAAGAAGGAAGUUUAUGCGCAUCUGAAUCAAUGAAGGUUCCAAAAGUAACUCAUCCUGUAGUUAUCAUCUCACGACCAAAGAAUGAUGAAGUGAGAACACCAGCAAUGCCAAAGAUCAUAAUUAAGAAACAAACAACCUUUUCUUACCAAGAUAGUAGGAAAGUUUCGUGGAACUACGAGUGCAAUACAACUGUCUCUGGAAAGGAUAUUAUAGAGGAUCAAGGUAUAGGUGUUUAUCCAGAACCUGUGAAAGGAAGGGCCAUAACAGUGGAACAAAAGAAGGGGAAAAUAGCGGAGCCUGUGUUAUCCAUCAACGAGCCAGUGAAAGAGGAAGAAGCUGUGGAAUUCCUCAAAUUUUUGAAGCACAGUGAGUAUAAUGUCGUCGAACAGUUGCAUAAACAACCGGCUCACACAUCUGUACUAGUCUUACUCUUGAAUUCAGAAGUACACCGAAGUGCGUUGAUGAAGGUGCUAAACGAGACCUAUGUGGCCAACGAUAUUUCUGUCAGCAAAUUGGAUCGGUUGGUCAAUAAUAUCAGUGCUGAUAAUUUCAUAUUCUUCAAUGAUGAUGAAAUACCACCUGGGGGCAUGGGGUCUACUAAGGCUUUGCAUAUAACUACACGAUGCAAGGGGUAUACUUUGCCAGGAUUGUUGAUUGACAAUGGAUCAGCUUUGAACGUGUUGCCAUUAUCCACACUUAACAGGCUUCCCAUAGACAGCUCCUUCAUGAAAACAUGCCAAAAUAUAGUGAGGGCGUUUGACGGUAUAGUGAGAAAGGCAUGGGAAGAAUUGAGAUACCCUUAUUGAUUGGCCCAACAGUUUAUAAGGUGGAUUUUCUUGUGAUGGACAUCAGACCCUCCUACAAUUGCUUAUUAGGGAGACCAUAGAUACAUUCAGCGGGGGCCGUACCGUCAUCUUUACAUCAGAAAUUAAAGUUAGUGUUAGAAGGUCGGCAGGUGACAAUAAAUGCCGAAGAGGAUAUUAUAGCGGCUGUAUCUAAUGAGGCGCCGUAUGUGGAGACUAAUGACGAGUCGGUGGAAUGCUCGUUCCGAUCUCUGGAGUUUGUAAAUGCAAUAUUUGUUCUUGAAUGGAGCAAAAUUCUGGUGCCUAAAAUAUCCAAAACUACAGAGAUGGGUUUGCAAUUGUUGGUAGGGAACAGAGCUUUACCCAAAAGAGGAUUAGGGAAAUACCUUCAAGGGAAAAUUGAGGUUCCAGUGCUGAAAGAAAAACAAGACAACUUUGGCUUAGGGUACAAGCUAGAUAGAGGACAGAAAAAGAAGAAGUUAAAAAGAAGGCAAGAAAGAAGAAGGGCGCGUUUAAGGGGGGAAGAAAUUAAAUGGGAGCCAAUGAUAAUUCCCCAUAUAUCCAAAACCUUCGUAUCUGGAGGGAUCAUUCAUUUUGAGAGAAAUAUACUGAUUGAGGAAAGCAUCAAAGAGACAUUGGAAAAUAUGCACAUCAAUGCCCUAAAUGAGGAUGCAAAUGAAGAGAUAAGCUUGUUAAACAUUUGUCCUUAUGAACCUUGGAGUGUUCUAAAUAAUUGGACUGCGGAAGAAAUACCUGAAGUAUUUAGAACUGUCUCAGAGUAAUAUUCAGAGCAAACUUGUUGUUUUAGCCUAGAAAUAAUAAGAACUCUUUUGUGUAAAAAGCUUAUGUUCAAAUAUCAUUAUUUUAAUAAAAUACAUCUUUGCAAUUGUCUCAAGCAAAUAUUCUUUCCAUACGAGUAAAUAUAUUAAAUUAUUCCUUCAUUUAUAAUCAUAUUGCCCAAAUAAUUGUACAUAAAUUCAUGCAUUCUCUUGUAACCAUAUUAGGUUCCUGUAUAUCAAUGACGUGAAUGACGCUGCUACAAACUCAAAAUUUCCUCUUGAAUGAAACAUGUGUUUAGAGGGAUCGUAGGACUUUAAAUGUGACGUAGAUGGUGGUUUAUCUUUGGACUUGUUGAGAAUGGUAGAACAGAAAGAAAAACAAAUUCUACCUCACAAGGAAGUAAUAGAAGUUGUGAGCUUGGAAGAAGGGAAAGAGGUGAAAGUUGAAACUGAGAUUUCCGCAAAGACAAGACGAGACCUCAUUGAACUACUCCAAGAAUUCAAAGAUGUCUUCGCAUGGUCAUACCAAGAUAUGUCCGGGUUGAGCACUGACAUUGUAGUGCAUCGCCUACCUAUAAGGGAGGAUUGUAAGCCAGUUCAAUAGAAGCUAAGAAGAAUGAGGUCUAAUAUUGUGCUUAAAAUAAAAGAGGAAGUUAAGAAGCAGUUUGAUGCUGGGUUUUUACAGGAGGUCAAAUAUUCUGAAUGGGUAGCCAACAUCAUUCCAGUCCUUAAAAAAGAUGGAAAUGUACGAAUGUGCAUGGAUUAUAGAGAUUUGAACAAAGCAAGCCCAAAAGACAAUUUCCCAUUGCCACAUAUUGAUACUUUGGUGGAUAAUACGGCAGGGUAUUCACUGUUCUCUUUCAUGGAUGGUUUCUUAAGAUAUAAUCAGAUAAAGAUGCAUCCUGAAGAUAUGGGAAAGACUACAUUUAUUACUUUGUGUGGAACAUUUUGCUAUAAAGUGAUGCCAUUCGAAUUAAAGAAUGCGGGAGCAACAUAUCAGAGAGCCAUGGUAGCCUUGUUCUAUGACAUGAUGCACAAAGAGAUUGAAGUUUAUGUAGAUGAUAUGAUUACCAAAUCUGGAAUAGAGGAGAAACAUGUGUAGGUCCUGAGAAAAUUGUUCUUAAGACUAAGAAAGUUUCAACUCAAACUUAAUCCAACAAAAUGCACUUUUGGAGCCAGGUCAGGGAAGUUGUUGGGCUUCAUAGUCGGUGAGAAAAGAAUCGAGAUUGACCCGAACAAAGUCAAGGCAAUACGAGAUUUACUGCCCCCACGUACUCAGAAAGAGGUUCGAGGUUUCUUAGGAAGACUGAAUUAUAUUGCUCAGUUCAUUUCACAGUUGACCGAGAAAUGUGAUCCCAUAUUUCAUCUUCUGAAGAAACAUAAUCUAGGUGUUUGGAAUGAAGACUGCCAGGAAGCUUUUGAAAAGAUAAAAUAAUACUUAUCCAAUACUCUAGUACUGUCACCACCUAGCCCGAAUAGACCAUUGAUUCUGUAUUUAAUGGUGUUUGACAGUUCCAUGGGAUGUGUGUUGGGUCAGCAUGAUGAGACUGGAAAGAAGGAAAAGGUGAUAUACUAUCUCAGUAAGAAAUUCACUGAUUGUGAAAUGAGAUAUUCACUUAUUGAAAAAUUAUGUUGUGCCCUGAUUUGGACGAAAAAAGAUUGAGGCAAUACUUGCUCUACCAUACAACUUGGCUGAUUUCAAAAUUAGACCCUUUAAAGUAUAUGAUGGAGUCAACUGCGUUGAACGGGAGAAUGGCUAGAUGACAAAUUUUGCUCUCUGAGUUCGAUAUAGUAUAUGUAAGACAGAAAGCCAUCAAAGGGAGUGCGAUAGCAGAUUUCUUAGCUAGUAGAGCUUUAGAAGAUUAUGAGCCUCUAGACUUUGAUUUCCCGAAUGAAGACUUGAUGUGUGUGGCAAAUACUGAAGAGGGUCCUUAAGAAAAUCAUUCUUGGAGGUUAAACUUUGAUGGAGCUUCGAAUGAGUUAGGCAAUGGGAUUGAGGCAAUCUUGGUAUCUCCAAAUGGGGAUCAUCAUCCUUUCACUAGUAAAUUGGACUUUGAUUGCACCAACAACAUGGCCGAAUAUGAAGCUUGCAUCAUAGGAGUCCGGGCAGCCAUAGAGCGGAAAAUUAAGACAGUUGAAAUAUAUGGAGAUUCAACAUUAGUAAUAUACCAGCUAAAAGGGGAAUGGGAAACAAGAGACCCCAAGUUAAUCCGUUAUCGGAGAUUGGUUCUAGAAUUGAUUGAAGAAUUUGACAAUAUUACCUUUUAUUAUCUCCCACGGGAAGAAAAUCAGAUGGCUGAUGCUCUGGCUACUUUAGCCUCCAUGAUUAAAGUGAGAUUAAAGUGAACAGAUUAAAGGACAUGAAGCCCAUUCAAAUUAGUAUUUAUGAGAUCCCGGCCCACUGCUACAGUAUUGAAGAAGUGGAGAAUGAUAAUCGUCCCUAGUACCAAGACAUAUUGCAUAUGUGAAGAAUCGCGAAUAUCUUAAUCAGGCAACGGAGAAUGAUAAGAGGAAAUUGAGGAGACUAGCUAUCGACUAUGUCUUAGAUGGAGAGAUUCUAUACAAAAGGGGAAAGGAUCAAGUACUGUUGAGAUGCGUGGAUGCUGUAGAGGCUAAGGAAAUUUUAGAAGAAGUCCAUGACGGUAUUUGUGGAACACACGCCAAUGGAUUCACCAUGGCUAGACAGAUCAUUAGAUUCGGAUAUUACUGGUCCACCAUGGAAGGAGAUUGCAUCAAUUAUGCCAAGAAGUGCCAUAAAUGCCAAAUUUAUAGAGAUAAAAUGCACGCGCCUCCUUCACCUUUUCAUGUUAUGACUUCUACAUGGUCUUUCUCCAUGUGGGGGAUGGAUGUCAUUGGGCCAAUAUCGCCAAAGGCUUCUAAUGGAUAUCGUUUCAUUUUUGUAGUUAUUUACUACUUCACUAAGUGGGUAGAAGUAGCCUCAUAUGCUAAUGUCACGAAGUCAGCAGUUAGUAAGCUUUUGAAGAAAGAGAUCAUAUGUCGAUAUGGAAUGCCUGAAAGAAUCAUAUCUGACAAUGCGUUGAAUCUGAAUAACAGCACAAUAGCGGAAGUCUGCAACCAGUUCAAGAUUAGACACCAUAAUUCAUCAUCGUAUCAUCCAAAAAUGAAUGGUGCAGUAGAGGCGGCCAACAAAAAUAUCAAGAAAAUUAUGGCGAAAAUGGCUGAAACUUACAAGGAUUGCCAUGAGAAGUUACCAUUCGCUCUUCUUGCUUACCGAACAUCUAUCAGGACUUCUAUUGGGGCAACGCCUUUUUCUUUGGUUUAUGGGAUGGAGGCAGUUUUACCCAUUGAAGUUGAAAUCCCUUCUCUCCAGGUAUUGGCUGAGUUAAAGUUGGAUGAGGCUGAAUGGAUCCAAUCUCGGUAUGAUCAGUUGAAUUUGAUAGAGGAAAAAAGACUAAAAACUAUUCGUCACAGUCAAAUGUACCAAAAACGAAUGAUGAGAGCAUAUAACAAAAAGGUCCGUCCUAGAGAAUUUCAUGAGGGGGACUUGGUGUUAAAGAAAAUCCUCCAUUUACAAAAGAAUUUCAGAGGGAAAUGAAUGCCAAACUGGGAAGGACCUUAUGUUGUAAAAAAGGCUUUCUCUGGAGGUGCUUUGAUUUUGAGUGAAAUGGAUGGCAAAAAUUUACCGAAUCCUGUAAAUUCAGAUUCGGUCAAGAAAUAUUUCACUUGAAAAGUAAGAAUCAAAGUGAAAACCCGCAAAGGGCGCUUUAAAAAAAAGAGAGGCCAAUGUGAAAACUCGCAAAGGGCGCCUUGAGACCAAAGGGAAUUUGAGUUGAAAACCCGAAAAGGGCGGCUCAAACAUUGGUCAGAAUGGGGCAUGUGGUGAUCUUGCUAUACCUAAAUCAACAAGAAAAGGAUAUGCGACAUCUUGGGGCAUCGACGAAGUAUUGUAGAUCUCCUAAACACAUGUUAAAUUCAAAAUGGUUCUUAGUUUGCACGGAGAAGUUCAAGCUGCGAUAUCCAAGGCACCUAGUCUUCAUAAUACUUGUAUUGAAUUUGUUUGUUCUUGCGAUACUUCAUUCUUUUCUGUUCUUGAAUACUUUUUCUUUUCAAGACAUUUGCUAUCAAUAAAUUCCUUUUCUAUUAUUCGAGUUAUGCCCUGAAUUAAUUCCUUUCUUAGUCAGUAUUUUUGAUCUUUAUGCAAGCAUGUCGCAUUAAAAUAAUGAUUGAUGGACUAAUAAACAUUCACGAAAAGAGUUUUGCAUAUUACUUUGGAAAUUUCUAAAAAUUUAGUAACCUGAAACAGGAUUAUUGUUUAGAACGCACCAAGCUUAAAAAUUGAAAUGUCCAAGAAAGAAAAAGUCUAAAUUAAGACUGUUCUUUUGGAUUUUGUUGUCUAAAUAUUAAUUGAAUGAGAUGACAAGAAGUCUGGCUUGGUGACAAAGCUUCAAUCACCAAGGAGUAAGAAGAAAUUCCCUUUGGAAAAAAAACCCUUCAUUUGUGCAUGAGCAUUUGGUAUGGCACCCUGGGAAUGAUGUAAAAGAGUUUCAUGAUCUGCAUCUUUGAAUUACGAUAGGAGAGGAUUGAGAAAAGCCAAAUUUUUUCUACCAUUCGGUUACAGUGGAAGAAAGAUGGUACAAAUUUUGCGUCCCGAUAGAUUGAACUUUGAGGUUUACAGCGGGGGUAAUCAAACUAAGUGUUUCUUUAAAAACGCCAGCUGAUCAGGAGGGCGUUGUAACACGUCAGUGAUAAAGCAUUAAUAAAAUUUGAGCAAUGAUAACCUAAGUGAUAAAGGAGGAUCAUUCUGGAAAAAAUGACAUUCUGCAUUCAUUCAAAUGUCAUUCAUACACGUCUAGUUAGGAGCAUUUGAUUUAUUCUGAUCAUGACAUCCUAAUCAAUAGACAUAAUUAGAUUCAUGAAUUGAAUUAUACAGGUCAUGUUCCCCAAAGAACAAACCAGUGAAAUUCCAGCCUUGUCUCCCUGAGCAGCAAUGGAGUAGGUUAAAAUAGCAGAUCUUGUUUGCCUGUAUUGACAGCGAAGUAGAUCGAAGAUACCAGCCUUGUCUCCCUGAGCAGCAGUGGAGUAGGUUGAAAAUAACAGAUCUUGCCUUCCUGUACUGGCAGUGAAGCAGAUAGAAGACAUUAGUCUUAUCGUGGAGCGGAUUGAAGCUGUGGGCAGCGAAUCCUAUCUCUUUGGCAUUACAGUGGAGCAGAUUAAGGCCACAACGGUGAAUCUUACUUCCCUGGCGGUGUAGUGGAACAGAUUGAAGCUACGACAGCGAAUCUUGUUUCCCCAACAUUGCAAUUUAAAAGACUGAAGAUGGCGAAUCUUAUCUCCUUGAAGUUGCAGUGGAGCAUAUUAAAGCUAAUAAUCUUAUCUCCCUGAAGUUGUAGUGGAGCGGAUUAAAAUCACAAUUCUUAUCUCUCUGAAGUUGCAGAGAGCAGAUCGCAUCUAGUCUUAUCUCCUUGAAGUUGCAGAGGAGUAGACUGAGUAAGCAGGUCUGAUCUCCCUGAAGUUGCAGUGGAGUAGACCCAAGAAAGCGAGUCUUAUCUUCCUGAAGUUGCAGUGGAGCAGACUCAAGAAAGCAAGUCUUAUCCCCCAGAAAUUACAGUGGGGCAAACUAAAUAAGCAAAUCCUGUCUCCCUAAAGUGGUAGUGGAUUAGAGUGAUGGAUCUUAUCUCUAUGAAAUUAUAGUAGAGCAGAUCGCAUCAAAUUCAUCUUUAAGUUGCAGCAGAUCAAGUUGAAGCUAUAAGUCUUAUCUCCCUGAAGUUGCAGUGGAGUAGAUUAAAGAUAGCAAAUUUUAUUCUCUUGAGAAACUACAACGUACGAAUCCUAUCUCUAUGGCAUUGCAGUGGAGUAGAUUGAAGCAUUCGUUCCUAUAUCUCUGAAGAUGCAGUAGGAAUGAAUGAAGUUACUUAAAGAAAAGCCCCAAAGUUCAGUACGACCAGGCAAAAUUGGUUUUUGGUCUUUGCUCUGUUCUCGUUACUUGAUAACAAGCAAAGAGGGGCAGCUAUAAUACACUAUUUUGCCCGGGUCUAAAAAGGCCCAAAUUACAAGCAGGCCUAUAAGGCCCAAAAUAAAAUAAAACAAGGACCCAAAUUACAGUGGCCCAAAAUCAUCGGAAACCCUAGGGUUUCUAAUCUUCAGCCGCCGCAACCAUGCCCUCCGAAUCUCCACGCGCUUGUACCUGCACAGAAAAAAAAGAAGCAAAGCAGCAUAUGGCAAGAAAAUAUUGAAAUCAAAUCAAGCAGAUACCAGAAGAUUUCUUUUUAUUUUUUCUUGUUUCACGAUUUCUAUAAAAACAAUAUUAAGAUACUGUAAAUGUGGAUCGAAGAAUCAAUAAAAAACGAAUAUUUCAUAACAAAAAGAGCAGAGAAUACUAGAUCAAAAAACAUCAAAUAUUGGAGGUUAACAUCUAUUUUCUUGCUUCGUUACAAGAUUUUUCUUUCAUUUUUCAUUUUUUAUUUUUUUACAUGCGAAAAUAAAAUAAAAAGGGAAAAAGAAAACGACUCACCUUCGUUCGAGUCUGAAACGUCACUGAGACGGUAAAGGGAGCCACCCCCGAGGAUCGGUGGCCGAAAACCGAAAGGUUUCUUGCCUGCUUUGAGGAUUUUUGUUGGUAUUUUGGUGUUUUCGAGCCCGGAUUUGGGUUUAGAGGGGCCGGAAAAGCCGAAUAGGGGAUUUUCCCCUUUUCCGGCCACCGCAAACUGCGGUGCCAUCGCUGGAGGCCGGCGGCCGGUGCGGUGGCCGACGAUCGGCCAGUGCCCAGACCCUGGCCGGACGAUGAGGGAGGGGAGAGCUUUUGAAAGUUUUUUUUUUGUUUUUUUUAAAAAAAGGCUUAAAAUGAAAUUUUUGGGGGAGAGUUAGUGGCUUAAAUAGCCCUUCAAAACGGAGUCGUUUUGGGCAUGGGUUGACCCGACUCUGACCCGACCCAGCCUAAGAUUCGCGUGUUUUUAAGCGGAGGGGUAAAUUGCGCUUUUAGCCCCUCCGCCUCUUAAUGUUUUACAAUUGAGUUUUUUUUAAAAUUUAUCCCUUCAAUUUUUUUUAUUUCAAUUUAAUCCUAUUUGAACGACGCCGUUUUGAAGGGGAAGGGAUAAUUUCCUUUCCAGCCCCUCUGAAUUAUUGGUGUAUUCAAUAGGGUCCUAUAGUCUCCAAUUAUUUGCAAAUUUGCCCCUGAUUUUUGUCUACAGUUCAAUAUAGUUUUUUUCUUUAUUUUUAAUUAAUUAAUAAUGUAAUUAUUAUUUUUAUAUAUAUGUAAUUAUUUUUUUUAUUUUUUUUCAAAAAUCUAUAUAUGUAUAUAUUUAUUAUUUAUAUAUGUGCACAUGUGUAUAUAAUUUUUUUCUAACAAAUAUUUUUUUAUUUAUAUAUAUAUACACGUAUAUAUAUAUUUUUUUUAAAAUGCUCAAAUAUACAUUCUUUUUUACACAUAUUUUAUAAUAUAUAUGUUUAUAUAUUUCUUUUUAUAAAUGCGCUAUAUAUAAUUUGUUAUAUAAAUUCUAUAAUCCAAAUUUUAUAUGUAAAUCCAUGUUUUUUUUCCAUAAUUUCAACAUACAUAUUAUAUACACACUUUAUAUUCUUUAUUGUUUACUCUUUUUUAUUUUAUAAGUUUUUUUAUUUCCCUCACUCGUUUAUUCAUUUGUGUUUUCAUUUAUAUUCUAAAGAAUGUUUUUAUUUUGUUCAUUUAUUUGAUAUUUCGCAUGUCAUUAUUUUUAUUAUGUACAUUAAUUCGUUUAUUUAUUUGUUUAUCUUAUUUCUACGCAAUAGUUGUAUUUAUUAUUGUAUUUUACAUUUAAUAUAACAUUACAUCAUCUUUUUACUCGAACUUAAAAACAGAAAAUUUUCAAAAUAGAGAUAAUACUCAUAUUUAGGAUUUUUCAAGAAAAUUGAGCCCUAAUGUAUUGGGUUUCAAUUUUCUUCGUUAAAUUUAACAAUCGAGAAUUGCUCUUUAAUCAAAAAUAAAAUGAAAGACUUGUCGUCGGGAAUUCAAUAUGUUGUGUCCUAAUGCAUUGGAUGUGACGUGUUGAUUUCUCGAGAUAAAGAUUUUUUUAAAAAAAAUUAAUAAAGGAAAUAUUCAAUGUUUGGGAUUUUAAGGGAUUGUGCCCUAAUGUAUUGGGCUGCAAUUUCUUCAUAAAUUUUAAACAAUUGAAUAUCCUUUUAAAUUUUAUCACACAAACCUUUUGGACAAACUCAUCUUGAAGAAAUAAAAUAUCGUACCCUAAUGCAUUGGGUGUGAUGUUUUCUGUUUCAAAAUGAGAGAGUCUUAAUAAAAAAAUUUAAUUUAAUUAAGGAUCGUAUUUUUAACUCUCGACGUUAAGACAUUAAUUAAUCAAUUUGAUGCCAAUUUUUGGGCUUAACGAGGGUGCUAAUCCUUCCUCGAACGUAACUUACUCUCGAACCCAUUUUUCUAAAAAACUCGUAGACCAAAUUUGUUUUAGGUGAUCCAGUCACACCUUAAUAAAAUAUUGGUGGCAACUCCAAAUUUUCAUCAACUAAUUUUUGUUUUUUUUUCAAAAAAAUAAAAUGGUUUCGACAACGUUGAUGUGGAAAAAUGUUUUUAUUCCACCUAAGCGCCUAACGCAUUUCACAUGUAAUUAAAAUAAAAAAUAAUUCAAAAAAAACUUUUAUUCAUUAAAAAAUAAUUAAAAAUAAAACAUAAAAUACAUAGACACUAAAAUCGUUUCAGAAAUGAGAAGGCCGAUCCUAAAAAAAAUACUUGAAUCAGAUAAUCUAAAAAAAGAGAGAGUAGAAAUUGAACCCUAAUUUGAGAAAGUAAAAAAAUUGUGCGAAAGAAAAUUACCCAAAACUUAUUAUAGAAUCGUAUUUUGAUUUUCGAUGAUAUUUAUGUGGUAUUUUUAUUUUGGGGUAUGUUUUUAAAAGUUCACUUUGAAAACAUUAUAUAUGUUAUUUUGAUUUUGGCUUAGGGUUUUGAAGGUUGGGAAUUUUGCUUUAGGAUUUUUUACUUUUGAGAUUUUGGUUUAGGGUUUUUGAUUUUUGAUAUUUUUGUUUAGGGUUUUUGAUUUUUGAGAUAUUGGUUUAGGGUUUUCUAUUUGACUACUAAUUAGAAGAGGAAUUUUGGGUAUUUUAAUUUUUUUUUUUAGAAUUUUAGAUUUGAUUACUGAAAAGAAGAGGACUUUUUGAUUUUUGGGUUUCCUAAUUUAAGGUUUUCGAUUUCUUUAAUGAUAGUGGUCAACCCCAAAAUUUAAAAAAUCUACAUGUUUCAUUAUACUUUUUGGUUCAAUGCACGAUUUUUAUCUUAGGGUUAUAAUGUUGGUUGGUGGGGGCAUUAGUUCUAGGCAUGCAGAGUUCAGUAGGUGAACUUAUUAAAAUGAUCUUUUCAUCUUUUAUUGUUGUUCUGUUAUUAUAUAUAUAAACUUUAUAAAAUUUGAUAAUAUAAUUAUUAAAUUAUCUAACUUUAUAUGCAUUUUGUAUUGUAUAUAUUAUUUAAUAUUUUGUUAACACUAGUAAAGUUGAGGUUCUCACAACAACCAAAUAGGAGGAGAUGCUCAAGAAAAUCAAUAGAAUAUUGCCACUCCCUUGAAUUUCCAAGAGGCGAUUUGUUUCUUGAGAGAAUAUCUUGAUAGUAAAUUAGAUGAAAUGAAUCUACGUAUGGAUGCUCUCACCACAAAUACAAGUCCAAGGCAUGAAGCUGGGGAAUUUGCCCAAGCACCAUGUAUGAGAAGGCGCCAUCUUGUUUGACCAUAUCAACAACAAGCCAACGUGAAAGAUUCAGAGAACAUAGGGCAAGUGGAAACCAACAACGCCAACCCGCCAAACGAUAUGCUUGAGAUGAUGAAUUCCAUCUAAAGAUAGAUCUUCAUCACUUCGAUGGUAAUUUGAGUAUUGGGGGUUUUUAGGGAUUGGCUUGCUAAAGUAGAUAGAUUUUUGAAGGGAAUAACCUUGGCUUGGUGGGAACUUUUACAAGACACAAGGCACCGUGAGGGAGAGGGACGAGUAUGGACAUGGUAUAGAAUGAAGCAAUUGUUCAAGGCUCGAUUUCCCCCAGAUUAUAAGCAAUAUCUAUUCUUGCAAUAUCAACGGUGAACCCAAGGAAACAGAUUAGUUCAUGACUACACCAUAAAGUUCAUGAAGCUUUUCAAACGCAACAAUCUGAUGAAGUCCGACAACCAGCAAGUAGCCAUAUACCUUAGUGGAUUGCAAUUUAAGACAAGGUCGGUGUGCAAACAUUGGAGAACAUGGCCAAAGCACAAAAUAUGGAAGAGAUGAUGAUGAAAGAGAAUAAGGUGGAUUAGACUAAGAAGAAUUUCUAUCAAUAUGCAUCAAGAAAUUUGGAGAAUAAUACAUCAACUGAAUACGUGCAAAUUCAAACGAAAAAAAAUCCAAUUAUGAUAAAGCAGCAAGAAAGAAGUUAGGGGAGGAGGAUCGAGACACAAACAUCACAUAUGUGGAAGAACCCAUAUGCUAAGUCGAUUGUUGGAAAAUGCUACUGGUGUAAUCUACUUGGACAUCGCUCUAGCAAUUGUCUAAAAAAAAGGAAUAUCAACAUUGUAGAAUGUGGCGACUGGGACAAAGAAAUUGAGGAAGGAAAUGAGAUAAUAUGCAAACUCAAUGGUGAUAGCAAUGGAGAAGAUUCAGGAGAUGGACAAAUUUUGGCAGUAUGAAAGCUAAUGUUGGCAUUGAAGGAUACAGAUACAACCCAAGACCGACAACAUUUCCAAACUAAUUGCACUAUUAUUGGUAACUUUUACAACUUGGUCGUUGAUAAUGGUAGCAAGGAGAACAACAUUGAGAAGAGUAGUGUUGAAAAGAUGCAUAUGCCAAGGGCGAAACCUCUGUCUGAAGAUGCUCAAUUGUUAUUUGAAGAGUUUAUGUUGCAGGAGCUGCUUGCAAAGUUUCCACCAAAAAUUAAGACAAGCUUGUUGAACCCACCAAAUUAACAAAUGAAUCCAAAAGAGAAUGCAAGAGUGGUUGCAAAAAAGACAUAUCUCAAGGAUACAGCUAACUAUAGGACGAGUUGAUUUUUAUAAGAGGUAGAGAAUUGAUAGGGGAGUGAUUCUUAUUAAUUUAUUACCUAUCCCAAAACUUGUUAUUUACUUAACAGAUAUAUUUUGUUUAUCAUUUUAUUAGUGUUAUGGUAUUGGAGAUAAAAAUUUUAAAAAUAAAAACAAUAAGAUAUAAAUAAAAAGAAGAGGAUUUCACUAUUAUUGUUUUAUGUGUGGAAUAUCGAUAACAUUUUAUUUCACAUUUUCUAACUCUUGGUGGAAUAUCAUGUAUUCAUUAUGAUUUUAGGAGGUUAAAUGACUUUUUUAUAGUUUUAAAUUUUUAAUAAUUUUUAUAAUUUAUUGGAAUUUUUAAUAUUAUUUAUAAGUUUUUAUGAUUUUUUAUAUGUUUUUAUAAACUUUUAAACAUAUUUUAUUAAUUUAUAAUUUUUUAAUAUUUAUAAGUUUAUAUAAUUUUAAUAUAUUUUAAAUACUUAAUAAUUUUUAUAAUUUUUUUUUAUUUUUAACGAUUUUUAUAACUUUUUAUAACCAUAAGCUAUCAUGUGUCACCAUUUGAUUGUUCUGUCAAUAUAUAUUAACAGUCAACACUAUCAACUAUAGAUUUCGUUAACGAAAAAGCUUAAUUGAUUGUUUUAGUUAACAGAAGAGGCUUAAUUGUGUUUGGAUUUAAUACAGGAGCUUAAUUGAUUUUUUUUUCGCAUUUUCUUAAGGGCUUUUUUGACAUAUAAACCAUUUUAUUUAUGGUGGGAUUUAAGUUAGAAUAAAUGUUGAGACAGGUUAUAUAGGGUUUAUGCAAGAUGAGAGUUAGAUAUGAAGCAUUAAGAUCUUAAAGGUUCAAUCUAUGUGAGCAGUGUCAAAUUAUCGUUAUUACAAAUUGAGAGAAAUGAAUGUCGACAGAACUCUUAACAUUUUAUUAUUAUUACUAAAAGAUGAAAAACCUAAUUACAAAUACUAAAAUAAAAAAGGUUAAAUAGUAAUCACAUAUUACAAUUUAACAUUUGAAUAAAAUUGUCCAAGUUGAUUAUAAAUACGCAGCGAUAUACAAAUGUGAAAACACUUUGGGCCUCUCAUAAGGCAUAUCAUGAAGUACAAAAGAGGUUUAGAAGCUGGCCAUUUUCUCAAAAUGGACCCAAAUCCAACAACAAUCCAAGGAAACGUUACUUGUCCCGGCCAAGAAAAGAAAACAUGGAAAUAGGAAAGGCGUUAACAGCAAGAACCCAAACUAAGCUGAUAAUAUAUAUAUAUAUAUAUAUAAUAUAGUAGUAGCAAUAGCAGUUUGCUGUUUAUUGUUCUUGUGGAAGUUAUUGAAAAAAGUAAGUGGGGGAUGAACCCAAAUCAAAUGCGUCAGCUACCGAAUCAGGAAGCGAUGGCAAUGACAUGUUCUCAAGGAAAGGGCUGUCCUGCUCUAACUCGUAUGAGUUAAAGCCCACAGACGAGUCAAACCCAUUUGAGUUUUGAUCCGAGAACCCGAACAGGCCUGUGUCAUUCCAAGCUCCAUAACCCAUAUCUGAACCAUCAACUCCCGACCCGUACCCGUAACAGGUAGAGGAGACAUCAGGAGGCAAAGGUGGCAACUCAGACGAGUUAUCCCUGAACUGUGGAGAACCACCAUUUCCAGCUUCCAUGAGCCCAGUAAUGGGCCUGUAAGACGGAACUGCAUCGCUCUCCUGGGCGGGUAAUCCGGAAUAAAACUGGCAUGCAUUGAAAGGGUCUUGAUUGAAGAAAAUCUGGUUGUGGUUAGCAUCAUUUUGAUGGUGGAAAGGGGGAUUAAUGGAAAAGAUGGAUGAAAUGUCAUGCUGGAAUUCGUCAGGGGAGAUGAUGGAGGUGACGGAUGAACCAGCUGGCAUAUCAGAAUAGACAAAGUUGGUUCGAGCCUUGGAGCCACGCAUGGAGCGAGAGGCACGGUCGUAGGCCAAGGCUGCAUCCUCCGCAGUGUCAAACGUGCCGAGCCAAUGCCUUUCUUUUGUGGAAGGGUCUCUUAUCUCCGCUGCGUAUCUACCCCAUGGUCUCCUCCUUACACCCAAGAAUCUUGUUUCCUGUUGUUGCUGUUGUUGGUGCUGAGGUUGCUGCUUUCUUUUGCUUUUAGAAGAGGAAGACUUUGAGUUGCUGAGAUCCAUGAAGACAAAGAAAUUAUUUGGAUUUGAUGGAUAGUACCUGUCUGCCUUCAGUUAUUGUGCUAUGAAGAAGAAAGUUGUAUUUCUGCCUUAGAGAGUGCAAAGGAACAAGUUUUAGUUAGAGCAAUAAUGAGAUUGCUGGUUUUCAAGGAACGAAAGAUAGUUGGUCUUGUUCAUCCGUCGUUUGCAUCUUGGGUGUUUAAAUAAGGAGAAAUAUUCAAAUGCAUUGAUUCAUGGCUUUCUAAUGAAUCCAAAGUACUAUGAGUGAGCAAUGGAUGCUAAUGAUCUUAGCUAGCGUGGGCCUUGAUUCCUUUUGGACCCUCAUACACUCGCAUGAGCACAAUUGCUCUUCAUUAUGAAUAUCACUAAAUUAAUACAGCCACUUUUCUUAUCUAAUGUGAUGAUCCCACAUGCUCGAUGUUUGAGAAUGAAAAGUAGAACAUCAAAACCUACACCGUAAAUGUCUUCUUUAACUGCAAAACUUCCUACAAACAGACCUCUAUUUAUUUAUUUUCAUCAUUUACGCCAUAUUACUUGUGUUUCCAACUUGACUAAUUAAAAGAAGAGUUAAAACCCAAUAUCAAGAGAGGAAAUGACCUGCGCGCUGCAUGCAUGAAUAUGUCAAAGAUAACAUGAGAUUAUUCAGGUGAUAAUUGAUUAGUACAAGUACUCAUCAUCAUACAUCCACCUGGAGUUCAAUUAUAUCCCUUGGGCCAUAUAUAAAUAUUAAUUAAGCUUUCUGAUGAUUUCUCCACUGAGUAACUGCAAUCAUGGGCUCAUCAGCAGAGCUUAAUUUAUAUAUACACCCAUGAUUGACGUGUGCUCCUCGAAUGAACUUUCUGGCACUUUUCUUUUCCAAUGAUCAUCAACUCCUUUCUCCUCAUAUAUAUCUAAGGAGUUUGAGACUAUAAUAUAUUCUCCGAAGAUCCUGACAUUGGAGCUUGGAGGAGAGUGUCUCAGUUUGAAUCAGGAAUUGAUCAUCAAAUUAUCAGUACUUAUGAGCAUGCAUGACUUUGAUCUGAAUGUAUAUAAUUUUAUCAAAGCACAAAAAGGUUUUUUAAUAGACUAACCUUCCUCAUAUGAUUGCAUACUGCAUGAAUCAUGAUCACAAUCCAAUUAUCAUUCUCAUCAUUCAAUACCCAUCAUUCCCACAACCACGAGAUACUUUUUACCGACUCUUUCGGGCUUAUGAUACAAGUCUCAAAUUAAAGCUUUUUCUUUCUCACAUAAAAAAUGUAAUUUAUACAAACAUAUGUUUUGCUGGAAAUUGAUUUUGUAAAACAUGCGUAAUGGACACUUUUGAUGCUAAAAGUUCAAUGUAUAAUACGUUUACUUUAUGGGUAAAUCGUUUUUAGAUUUUGUAUCUCAAACCCUUACUAUAAGCUUGUCUUGUGUUUUGAGCUAUGAGCUCAUUAGUUCAGGUUCGAUUAAACCAAAUUCUUUUUGCAAUUUAAUCCCUGGUCAAUAGUCUCAAUUAUAUGAACUAAGGCAUUAAUGAUGAAAUUCAUAUUAAUGUAAGUAUAAACAUACAUGAAUUUUAUAACGUACUUUCAUCAAUUAGGAAUAUUCAAGUAUUAAUGAUGUUAAUGUAUGUACAUUAAUGUAUGGGUAUCAAAUAUCUGGAGCCUUUUAAGUCCUAUAAAUAGGCGCUUUAUGCUGAGGACAUUGGGUAAUAUCCCACACCAAUGUAGCUUCAAUAUUGAACACCAAAAUAAAUUGAGAAUGACAAAAGCAAAUUAAAACUACCCAAGCAUAGUGGAUUAACCCGAUAAUUUACUAUUGAAUAUCAAAUGCCAUAGAAAAAUCAAUAAAUACAAAUAAAAUGAUAAAGAGAGAAUGCACCAAAUUUACGAGGUUCAACAAACUGCCUAUGUCCUUGGACACCAACACCAAAUGAUAACUUCACUAGUACCAAAAAAAUAUACAAACUAAUGGAACCCAAUAUAACUAAGUAUAUCAAAGCAAAAGGGAAGAACAAAGGAAGAGAUACCUUCAAACUUAAGGCACUAAUGCCUUUACGUAUAGGAGAUGAGGUAGCAAACGUUUGCUCCCAUUCAAUAUGGGAUUUAAAAAGGAGAAAAUAACUAAAAAAUCUCCAACUUUGGUGAAUUUUUCGAUCUCACUCAACUUCUAGUGUCUUCCACUUCUCAAACGUUGUGAAGUCAUCUUUAAAAGUGCCUCCAAAUGUGUUCUCGAGAGCCAUACACCCGAAGGUGUUCAAACUCGCAGAAUAUUAAUCAAGUUAAAAUAUUGGUUGAACUUGAUUGUCGUUACCACCCUAGUCAUUAUAUUUGUAGGAUUUUCAGCUGUUGGAAUCUUUUGAAGUAGAAUAUUUCCCUCUUAAAAGAUUUCUCUCACAAAGUGAUACCUUAUGUCGAUGUGCUUGGUUCUUGAAUCAUAAACUUGGUUUUUAACUAAAUGAAUAGUGCUUUAAUUGUAACAAUAAAGGCUAAUGUGACUUUGAACAACUCCCAAGUCUUCCAACAAUCCAUUAAGCCAAACAACCUUUUUAACAGCUUUUGAAACUGCCAUAUACUCUGCCUCUGUCGUUGACAAAACUAUUGUAGGCUGUAAGGUAGACUUCUAACUUAUUAGGGCUCUAGCAAGAGUAAAUAGAUGCCAAGUAGUAGAUUGAAAUUUAUCCAAAUCACUGGCAUAAUUACAAUCAACCUGUCUGACUAAACAUUGACCCAGCGUCUUAUACCGCUUUAAGAUCAAACCGACAUCUACGGUUUCCAGAAGAUACUGUAGAAUCCAUUUCACAACUUGCCAAUGUCCUUUACCAGGAUUAUGCAUAUACCUACUCACAACUCUAACUGCUUGUGAAAUGUCUGGCCUAGUACACACCAUCGAUACAUCAGGCUCCCAACUACAUUAGCAUACGGAACCUUUUCCAUAUAUUCUCGUUCUUUAUCACUUUUAGGAGAUAAUUGAGCACUGAGUUUCAAAUGAGAAGCGAGACAGGUACUUACAUGAUUUGUAUUAUCAUGCAGACCAAAACAUUGUAAUACCUUUCUUAAAUAUUGCUUUUGAGUCAAAUAAAGCUUGCCUCUCUUUCUAUCUCUAUGUAUCUCCAUGUCAAGAAUUUUCUUGACCUCAACUAGAUUCUUCAUCUCAAACUCUUGAUUUAGGUGAGCCUUUAAUUCAUCUAUUUCUCUGACUUUUCAAAGCGAUCAACAUAUUAUCAAUAUUCAGGAGAAGAUAAAUGAAAGAUUAUCUAGUAGCUUUCACAAAUAUACACAAUGGUCAUAUUUGCUUCUGGUGUACUUUUGCCUGCUCAUAAAGCUAUCAAAUUGCUUGUACCUACCUCAGGGAUUGCUUCAACCCGUACAAUGAUUUUUUUAGCUUACAAACCCAAUUUUCUCCAACAGCAACCUUGUAUCCUUCUGGCCAUGUCAUAUAGAUUUCCUAUUCUAAAUCACCAUGCAAGAAAGUUGUCUUCACAUCAUGUUGAUCUAGCUCCAAAUUCAACUAUGCUACUGAUUUGUUGUAAUUCGGUGCAACAGAUUAAACUAGUUUUCCUAUUUAAAGAGCUUGAAUACAAGCGUUUUUAUUAGGUUUUAGUUGAGUUUUUAUAAUUUUAUUUACAUUGAAUAAAAAGUGUAAUUUGAGUAUUUUAUUGACCUUAGGGGUCGAAUGAGGCCUAAGGGUGAGCUAAUAUACUUUGUGAGUGUGCAGAAGACCAUUAGAGGACGUACCAACUCAAUACUAGUCGCUGUGUUGCAACACAGGAAGUUUGAUGUCGCAACAUAGGAAGCAAAGAGCAAGAAUUCCAAGACUUCUUUCAGUGUCGCGACACAACCAAGGGAUGUCGCGACACACCCCUAAAGCUACCCUGAGUACGAGCAUAUUGCCUUCGAUGUCGCGGCACACGUACUAGGGUGUUAAGAGAUCGAUCCUGUACGAGAAAUACUUAUGAGCUAAGGACGUUUUGGUCUGCACAAUCAAAAGUUAAACACGAGAGCGUCAACUAACCUAAGGUUGAGGACGACGACAACCCUAACUUUAUAAAUAGGCUCAUUUAACACUUGUUAUGGACAACUUUUCAUACCUUAUAAUUUUUUUUAUAAUUUUAAUUUUUAGUUUUUCCUUUUUCUUAGGCUUUAGCUUAUUGUUAGUUUUGUGUUUGUUAGGAGAUUUGAUUUGUGGAACUUGAUCAACUCUUUGUGGAUUUCGUGCUUCAAUUAAACACAAUUCAGGAUUCUCUUAAACCUUCAGCUCUUGAUUUGCUAUUAAUGUUCAUCUUUUACAUCAAGUUUAUUAUGUUUUUGAGAUCUAUGAGGAACUAAUCCUCUUAUGGGGGAUUAGUGAGUGGAGGUAUGAUUAAUUGAUUGUUGUGCAGGCUUUUAUUAAUGAAUCAGCUGUUUAGGAGAGGAAGAACUUAAACCCUAGGCUUGACGACCUUAGGAAGUCAUCUAGGUGGGAAUUAACCCAAAAUUGGCAUGGCCUAUCUGUGAACACCUUAGCCCCAAGCCGGUCUGGACUGUGAGGUUGAGAGAUAAGUAGUUUUUGCCAAGUCAUUAUUCUAGUGGAAGAUUGAGAGAUCCUGCUAGGGUAACGCUAGUUGAUUGAACAAAAACUCGAAGUAACAGUUACUUAUGACUACCGAAGUGAGCUAAUCACCCAUGCUCAGAUCUGAUUCAGUUUCCAUAUCAAAUUUCUCAAAGUUUUCCUUUUAUAGUAUUUUAUUCUUUAUUUAUAAAAAUACCAAAAAUCCUUUCUUUAUGUUUAUUCAUAAUAUAAUUUAUUUAAAGUACUAAUUAGCUCUAUUUGUGCUUAGGUUAGGAUUAAUUUAGUACUCCCUUCUUUUGGGUACGAUCCUUGGAGUACUCACCUACUUCGUUGUAACUAUAGUACAACCUGACUCAUAUACUUGCAGACACCGCCUAUUUGACAUAUUUUGUGCAAGAUUUUUACUCUAGACGUUGGUACGUCAGGAGGCAGUCGGCUACCAAAGCCAACAAAAUUCUAAUGGAGGAAUGUUUCACAAUAGGUGAAACUACUUUAUUGUAGUCAAUUCCUUCCUUCUAAGUGUAGCCUUUAGUUGCCAACCUUGCUUUUGUUUAACAUCUUUCUUGAUAGGAAACCCUUUUUUCUUUGCAAAUACCCACUUACACCAACUCCCAAGUAUUAUUCUUCUAGAGAGAUUGUAUUUCUUCAUCCAUGAUACUUUUGCACUUCUCACUUUCUGAAAUCUACAACACUUCUCAACAAGGCUGCAUAGGCCACCAUAUUAGUAAAAUGAGCAGGUUACGAAUUUAUCUCCUUGGCAUUCUAAUUGCAAAUGGUUCUGGUGUAUUCGACAAUUCUUGGGUUGAAACCUCUUCAUUUUUUGAUUCCUCCGCUAUGAUUGAAGAAUCAGACUCAUUAUCUGCGCUAAUCACCAUAUGCUCAAAGGCCUCCUAUUUUGGAGUACACUCCACCUACUGUAAAGUACCACUUCUUUGAAAAUAUUCAUUUGUUACCUUUUUUAAUAUGGCAAGUUCAUCAAAGGUAACAUAUUUGAUAUAGAUCAUUUUCUUUGUGUCUAAACACCAAAGUCGGAAUCUCUUUACUUCAGAGGUGAUUCCCAUAAACAUAGCUUAUUUGCUCUCGGAUAUAAUUUUGACUCUUUUACAUGGUAAUAAAAGAUGCAUCUAAACACAUGUAAAGAAUCGUAAUCAGUAGUAGGUUUUCCAAACCAUACCUCCAUAAGUGUUUUUCCCUUAAUUGUAGAUGAUGGUAAAUGAUUAAUAGAUGACAAUCAUAUGACACGACCUUAGCACAAAAUUGCUUGUACAACCCAAUAUUGGACAACAUAUAUCGAACUUUUUCCAAUAAUGUAUGAUUCAUAUGCUUUUCCACCUCAUUCUGUUGUGGUGUAUCCCUAACAACGAAGUGUCAAACAAUACCAUACUUUUAGCACUCGUCGAAGAAUGGAUCACUUUUAUAUUCCCUUCCAUUGUCUGUCCUAAGCUACUUAAUCUUUCUGCUAGUUUGGUUUUUUUUUUUAUCAUAGUUUUCUAUUUAAGGAAGAUUCUAAGCAUUUCAUCUUCAGUUUUCAUCGUACACACCCAAAAUCUUCUAGAAAAUUCAGCAACAAAAGUUACAAAGUAGUGUUUUCCUCCUAACAAUGUUUCUUGGAAGCCCCCCACACAUUUGAGUGAACAUAAUCCAAAAUACCUUUCGUAUCAUAGAUAAUGAUGCUAAACUUCACUCUCUUUUGCUUUUGUAGAACACAAUGCUUGCAAAAUUCUAACUUGAAGCCUUUGGACCAUUCAAAAAUCCUUAAUUUGCUAGAAUUUGCAAGGAUUUCUCACCAGCAUGUCUCAAUCACAUAUGUCACAACUUGGUCAAAUCCAAUUUGGGACAAAAGUUGAGGACAGUUGAUUGGUGAAAGGUAUUAAUGAUAAAAAAUGACUAUUUGGUUGUAUGAAAGGAGUAGAGUUGUAGGGAACCAGGCAAUGGUUAGGAUUACAAGAUAGAUGAAAUAUAUGACUAGAUGGAGGGUUAUCUGGAAGUAUGUGAUUAAAGGUGGGGUUACAAGGGGAAAGAUUUGUGCAUGGAUUGGCUUUUGGUUUUAAGUAAAAGUUGUGUACAAUAGUGGAGUUGUAGGUACACAUAUUUUCACGUGUGUGUGAGCUAGGCGUACAAGUAAGUAAUGGAGCAUUAUACCUGUAAGAUACCCUUGUAAAAUUAGGAUCAAACUUGAAGAAACAUAUGUCCACUAAAUGUCUUAGUUUUCCACAUAAUUAACAUUGUGAGCGGGAGCCUUGAUGCCUGCAAUAACCUCUUCCACCCCUAAAACUCUUACUAUAUGACACAACAUGUCUAUAGGAUGGAGUAUAUGCAACUAGGGAUGAACAUUCGAUUGAAUCAAGUCAAAUCAAAUCGAGCAAAAAAAUUUGAGUUAAUCGAGUUGACGAGUCCUAUUUUAUCAAACUAACUCGAUUGGAAAUUUUUUAGAAUUGAGUCGAGUGAAAUAAAAGUCAAGUCGAGUCGAAUCAAAUCGAAUCGAAUCGUUCGAGUUAAAUUAAAAAAUUAAACAUAUCAAAUUAAAAUCUUGUUACAGUAUAUCUAAUUUUUGAAAACUUUUUCAAAGUAAAAUUAUAAAAAAAUAAGAUACUUUAGUAUAACAAACUUGAAUUUUUUUAACUUAUUUAAUUUUAAAAAUUAUUAUUUUAUAAAAAAUUAAAUUUCUUUAUAUAUUUUUUAGAUUUUUUUUAAAUUUUUUAUAAUUUUUAAAAAAAAUGAAAUUUGAAAUUUUUAUAAAUAUUUUGAAUUUUUGAAAAUUAUUUUGAUUUUUUUUGUAAUUUUUUGAUUAAAUGCUAAAGUUACAUAUUUUAUGUAAUUAAAUUGGUUAAUUUAUGAGAAUGCACCACUAACUUUGCCAUAUUUAUUGAAUUUUGUGCAGGAAUGCAAUUUGGGGGCUAAAUAGAAGAAAAAAGGGAACAAUUGGGCCAAAUUAAAGAAAGAAGCAAAGAAUGAGGGCCAAAGUAGAAUUUUUCCUAUUUUUAAUUAGCUGAAAAUUUUGUUCAUUUAGUGGGGGAGAUUAUUUUGGGAUAUUUUUGGUCAUGGAAUAUUUUUUUUCCUUAAUUUCCUAUGACUAGUAGGUUCCUAAUUUAAUAAAUCCUCUAGUAUAAAUAGUGCUUGUAUUGUUCAUCAUUUCAUCAAUGAAUCAAAAAAUAUUUUAGCUUUUGUCUUUCAAUUCUCUCCUUUCUCACGUAGCCUUUGUUAUUUCUUAGCUUGUUUUCCUUCAAUUUUCAUUAGUUCCAGUAGCCUACCAUCCAUUUCACAUUUAUUUUCAACUUUUCACAAAUUUAUUUAUUGUCUUUAGUUUCUUUAACUUUUAAUUCCUAAAAACUUCCAGCUUUUACUACUUUCCAUUUAUAACACCUUUUUCAAAUUCCCUUUUUCAAUCACCCCCACACUUAAUCACAUCACCCAUCUUUUCAACCUUUUCUACCUUAUUUAAUUUAUCAAAUACCAACAUGUCCCAAACCUUAGCCAACUAAAUUUAUUUUCAGCUUUAGGCCGAAAUUAGCCUCGUCAAAACCCGUGAGUUACGAACCCGAGCCAUUUAACUCAUAAAAUUCCAGUACUUAUUGCUUCUCCGGAUUAAGAGUAUGAUUUUGUCAGCUCAUAAAGUCAGAUCAACACUAAGUAAAAAAAGACAUCGUUUGAUUUGGUGUGAUUAGACGUACAGUUGGAAUUCCGAAAAGAACGUUUCUAAUCGGUUUUCUGUGAACACAUUGGCGUGCCAAGUGGAGGCUGCUGUUUGGUUCCGUCAAGGGAAGUAGUAACCGGAUUUAAAUGUCCCACGCGGUUGAGGGCAUUGGUUCGAGCUAGGCUCUUCUAGAACGCAAAGCUGCCGGAGUUCUAAAUCAUGAACGUUUCGUGGUUGUUCGGUCGGUAAGAGUUAGUUAUUGGACGUUCCAUAACUAAUUUACACAAGGAAGAGUUGGUGUCCGAGGCGUCCUUGGUAGCUAUAACUAGCUUAUUGGAAAAGAGGAGUUCAUCCAAUUUCGAGGAUCGGUUCAAAGACGAGGAAAAUUCGUGUCUAAAGCUGAGCUCAUUCUAAUUAAUUUUUCUUAAUAUUUAUUUCACAGUUUUUAUUAUUCUAUUUUCAACCUUUACUUUUGACGUUAUUUUUCUGUUAAUUUCAGGUUUUCAAAUUUUUAUCCCCCCGAACGUCUUGGGCACGACAACUGCCCCGACAUAAAUCUGGCCAAACGAGUGACAAUUUACAGUAAACCAGUCUUUGAGGGAUCGACCCUACUCCCUAUACUGCAUAAUUUGCAAAUUAAGGCGUAGGUUUAUAUUGGUGGAUUCGACUCCCAUCAUUUUUGGUAAGAGAGAGACUAAUUUGCUCAUUUUCAAAAUUGAUAAGGAUCAAAGGGGUAUUUACACCAAUCUGUUAUUCAAAUGAUUUGAAUUAUUUGAAUUGUAAAAUUCAAAUCAACUCAACUCGUACUCAAAACUCGAAUUACUUAUUCGAGUUGACUCGAAUAAUUUAAUUCGAUUAACUCGAAAUUCUAUUUCUUUUUUUGAGGUUUUGAAAUUCAAUCAAGUUUCGCUCACCCUAUAUGCAACAAGAGUAGACAGUGGCUAACCAGUCAACAUUUUCCUAACCCAACUUUAAUGAACUGUUAUAUAAUGUUAGAAAUUAGCUUAAGAAACAAUACUUUCUGUAAUACCCCAAAAUUUUUUUAUAGUAAGAUAUUAUCUUUGAUAUAAUAAAAUAAGGAAAUAAAGCGACAAAAAGGGGAAAUUUUGGAGUUAUGUCAACAUUGGGAAGUAUAUUAUGACAUAUUAGUUCAAGAAAGGAUUAAAUCGCAAAAGUGAGAAAAGUUUUGUUGUCCAAGAGUAAAUACUCAAAAUUUGAGGGGUUAAAGUGUAAAUAUGAAAAAGUUGAAGGACCAAUGGUUUAAAUAUUUUAAGGGUGGAAUGAUCUAGAAACUAAGGAAAAUGGAUGGAUUAGGACCAAAUUGAAAAAGGUGAAGAAUUUUGAGGGACUAAAUCACAAUUUUACCAAAUUAAGUGAUGACUCAAGGAUGAAAUUUUAAAAGAUCAUGAAGGGCAAAAUGGUCAAUUAGAAGAGAGAGAAAUCUAGAAGAUAAUGAUAUGUUGGAGAUAUUUUAGAUUAAUUAAAUAAAUAAAUAUUAGUUUAUUAAUAUUUUAAUUUAAUUUUUAAAUGAUAUUUUAUUACUUUUUUAUUAUUUUAUUUAGUGUAUAUAUAUAAGAAAAGAAAGAUGAAGAAUCAUUCAACCCACCAUUUUUCCCAUGCAGCAACGUGAGAAAAGAGAGAAAGAAAGAAAGUUUUGUUUUCUUUACAAUUUGGUCCUUCCACCAAAAAUUUACCAUUUUCAUCUAGAAAUCAAAAGAAUUUCCAUAUCCAUCAAGAGAGAAAGAUAACAAGAAGACUAUGGGGAGCUAUAAUAUCAAGUUGGAUUCAAGAAAUAGAAGCCAGAGGAGAGAGAAAAUCAAGUUAAAGAUUGAAAUCAAUAUGACAAGGUAAGAACAUCAAGAUUUUAAUAUUUUUUUUAAAGUUUGAUAUUAUUGAAAAAGUAUGGAAAUGAUGUUAAUGUAAAGUUUUUGCAUAUAUGGUCUUAUGUUCUUGAUAUUUUAGUGAAGAAAAAUUAAGAGAAAGUGAUGAGAAAUAGUGUAGAGAAAGAAACUAAGGGUGUUAUAAACAUGAUAAUAAAUAUCUUGCACUAAAACAGUUUUGGACAGCAACAGUGGGCUAAAUUUUAAAAAUCACCAUAAAUUAUGAAAAUCAAAUUAGAGGAUGAAAAAAUAUGGAAUUAAAUAUUAUUAAGUCUAGUUUCUCAUAGAAGAAACGGUGUAAGUAAUGGAAUUGUAAAUCAUGAGAUAUAAUAAAUUUUGUGAGACAAUGUCAGAAUGAAUUUGGAUUCCCAUGUUCUGACUUUACAAAAUCAUCAAAAAUUGAAUAAAAAUAAUUAGAGGCUUAAAUUUAUAUGUUUAAAAUACUGAAUGAGUAUAUUUUCAAUAGAAACAAACGGGAACAUCAUUCAAAUUCUGUACAAAGAGAUAAUUAAUUUUUAGUAAAUAGGGGUUGGAACUUUCAAAUAGUGAAACAGGGGAAACUUUAAUGAAUAAACCGUACUUAUUGGAUAAACCAAAAAUUUUAAAAAUUUUAUGAUAAGAAUAUAUGUGAGUCUAGCUUCAGAUAAAAUUUGCAGAUCUCAAUUCAGAGUUCUGUAGCUUAAGAUAUAAUUAAUUUAGUGACUAUGACUCAAGUGAACAGCUUGUUAUGAGUAAACAAGUAAAUAGUGGUAUUAUGUAUAUAUCAAGGAUGUGGAAUGGAGUGGAGGAGGAGAAAAAAAUAUAUGUGAAUAUUCAGCUAAUAUGAUUUUAUUUUAAAAUAGCUAAUUUACAUGUUUUAGGUUUAGGGACUAAAUUGAAUAAAAGUAAAAUUUUAAGGGUAAUUUUGUAAAAAUGUCAAAAAUGACCAAAUUGCAUGAAAUGAAUUGUUUUGUUAUUUAAAUUAAUAAAUGGAAUGAAAUAUUAAUUUAGAUCAAGAUUGGGUGGAAAUUCGAGGAAAAUGGAAAAUUACCAAAAUGUCCCUGAAUUUUGGUAUUUCUACAAUUUAUCUCGGUAAGUUCGUGUAACUUGAAUUAUAUUCUUAAAUUCUUGAAAUGUAUGUUAUUGAUGUGAAUAUGAUUUGAAUGUUCAUUGUAUGAAAAUUGAUGAAACAUUGAUAUAUUUGAUAAAAAGGGGAAGAAAUUCGGGUUGAAUGGAAGGAAAAUUCGAUGGAUAUCUGAAAAGGAAUUGACGGUAAAAAGGAUCUAGCCCAGACAGGUGAUCCUAUCCUGAUAUAGCCCUCCCGAAGAAUAUGUGGAAAAUGGAUUUAGCCCGGACGGGUAAUCCGAAUUAGGGUAUGAAUUUAGCCUGGAUUGGUAAUUCAGAUCCAAGCUCAUUAGAGUAAUUGUCAUUGCAGGGGAUUUAGCCUGGACUGGUAAUCCCGACAAUACUCUAUGAGUUUAUGUUACAGGGGAUUUAGCCUGGACUAGUAAUCCCGCUGUAAGGAUGAGGUUCGCGGGAGUGUGCUCUCUGAAAUGGAAAUGUGCGCACAUGAAUAUGAAUUGACAGACCCGGAUUUGUACACUAAAAGUGUACCUCUGAAAAUCCAUCGAAAUUUCUGAGAAAUUCAACGAGAUAAAUAUGGAAAACAAUAAGGGUAAUAGAAAACAUGGAAUUGAAUUUUUAUUGGAAAUAUAUUAUCGGAUUUAAUACCCAGUUUGGAUUGAACGCUGGAUUGAGUACAAUCGUUCUAUGCCAAAGGAUGAAUUGACAACAAAUUACCCAAGUAAACUGAGGUUCAGCAUUUGUUGCGGACUUUCGUGUGUACUAUCUGUUUAGCUCUUAUGAGCUUAAGUUCAGCCUUCGGGCUUCUGAAAACGAUGUACUCAUAUCCGUAAGUUGUUCUUCGAAAGGUAAAAUAUUGGGAGUUGUCUUGAAUGGUAAUAUAAUUAUUUAUAUGAUGCAUUGAAUUGGUAAGUAUUUAAGUGAAAAUAUGCUACUGCUCAUGAAAAAGUAUUAAAGUUUAAAUUAAGCAAUUUUCUUAUGAAAUGACUUAUCAUGUGAUCAGUUCGGGAAAGGCUUUGGGUAAAUGGACUAACUUGUGACCAUGGUUGAAUGAUAUGUUUAUGACUUGUGUGACAUGCAUAUGGAACAAGCGUGGAAAGUAAAGAAAUGCAAACGAAAAUAAAGAAAUUAUCAAGAGUUAAGGUUAUAUAAAAUCCUACUAAGCUUGGGAUAAUAAGUUUAAGUGAUACUGUGGAUUUAUUCACCUUGUAAGUUGAUGAAUAUAACUUCAUGGGUAUUGUGGUAUCAAUAUUGGGUUAUCAUUGAUAUGUAUAAAUUUCAUAUUUUAAAAGAACUAAUAUGAUUAAAGACUACACGAGCUUACUAAGCAUUCAUUGCUUACGUAUUUGUUUUUUUUAUUUACCCUACAGUUUAUUGGAAGCUCGAUUGGGUUGGAAACUUGAUUAGGUUGGAAACUUGUCGGAGAUAUAUCACACUAUCCAUUGAUUUUAUCGGUAAUUUUGGAUGAUUGGAUUCUAGUUAUAAUGGCAUGUAUAAGUUAAUUUAGCCAACGUUGGCUCAUUAAUAUUUUGAUUUUGGUUGGUUUCAAAUAUGAAUGCUAGAUGAAAUGAAAUGUCUGAAAAUUAAUUUGUAAAUUUUGAUAAUGCUCCGUAACCCUGUUCCGGCGACGUAUUCGGGUUAGGGGUGUUACACUUUCCUUUAUUGUCUCAGCAUCAAAUGGUAUAGUAGUAACCCCUUGAAGGUAAUUACAACAAUUUUAUGGUCAUACUCAAGUGGCACCCCAUUUAAGGUUGUAAUAUGCUCACGCUCUUAAAUCAACUCUCCACACCUUGCCAAGCUAUCACAAAUAGACUUGAUAUUUAAAAGAAAUUCACACAUAGUCAACUCUCCUUCCUUCUAUGCAUGGAAUUGUUUUCCGAAAGUCAUCAACUUAAAAGUAGUCUUGUUGUUGUAAAGCCUCACUAAAGUUUCCCAAAUCGUACAAGCAAAGUCAUGCCCAAAUAGAUAAGACAAAACACCUGCACUCACAAUAAACAGUUGUGAAGGAGUGAGCUGUGUUGUUGUUCAAAUUCUUCUGAAGCAAGGUUAAUAGUUUGUUUUCCUUCUACAUCAAUCACAAAUCUGGAAUGAGGAACUAUUGAACCAUUAACAAAUUUCUACAACCUAUUUCUUUAAGGUCAACAAAAUUUGUUGUUGCCAUAACGAGAAAUUAGAAUUAACAUCAAAUUGAUUUUCUUGGUGGUAAACUUAGUACUUGAAGAUUGGACAUUUGCAGCAGUAUCUAAACUAUCUGGUUCACUUUUCUCGGUCAUUAUCACAAUAGCUACAAUAAUAAUACACACAAUCCAACAUCACAAAAUAUUGUAGCAGCAAUUAAGGAAGCCAAAGAAUCAUGAAACAACAAUCGAACCAGAUGAUCAAUAAUCUUAACUUGUUUUGAUUAGCACUAACCAUCAAUUAACUACAACUCAGUUAAUAUACUAACAGUUAGGGUGACGUGUAUAAUCAACUAACCAACUUUGAUUGGUUUACUUUCUCUGAUGAUGAGUAGCUUAAGACUUAAGUUCUUAUGUUCUUUUUUCUUUUAAUCGUAAAAGCUUUACAUAUCAAUGUUUGCUUUUGUGUCUGUUACUGCACUUUCUUAUAAAUUUGCAAUUACAAAUAGUAAGAACACCAAAAUGAAACUGUAGAGAAUUUCUUUGAGGUUGUAGUUAGAAACAGAGUUGAAGUGUUAUGAUGAGUUGAUUUAAUGUGAAAGAAUGUAGGGUAAGAAUUAACAUCAUUUUUAUAUAAUUUAAACUCUUAACAUUAAGAAAGAACUCUAGUUUUCGGUUUGCUCUCCACCUUUGUUAUCUUUUUACAGAAGUUGCACCAGCAAGAGGAGAUUAGAAGACUGUCUGUGACACGGUAUUCAACAGUUAAUUAAUGAUGGCAAACACCUAACUGAUAACAUUUCUCUAGGACUCAUUAACCCUGCACAAUACACUUAUUAGUAAAAGACUCUUCAAGAUGCUGUACGGUGGGUAGUUUCUCAGAGCAACCAGCUGAUGUUAACAUCUGAUGCUCCGCCAUGGAAUCCGCCGCUGGAAACAUAGGGAGCUCCACCAGCUUUUCUGCCCUCCUACUCCCCCUCUCCUCGAUGGCUCUUAAAAAUACUUGAAGAGCAUCUCUCAUCCAAUCAUACCGGCAAAAUUUAUACGCUUCUUCUGGGGAGAGCUGUAAAGCACAUGAAACAGUUUCAGUCGAAGUCAUCAAAUUGGUAGAAGCAAAAUUAAGCUCAAGUGGUGAAAAAUCGAAAGGACACAAAUUCGUGGUUAAAAAAAAUGUUAAACCUUAGGUUUUUUAUUACUGACCCAUUGCCUCUUGUAACUUGUCUGUUCUGCCCAAGAGUCAAGUUCUUCAGUCACCUCCAAGGCAAACAUAUAACCUCUACAACCACCUUCCAUGUUGCAGCAGUUUUGUCUACUCUUGCUUCUAAACUCCCAGACUCCCAGUGGAUCCUCCUGGAUAACGUAAAAAUGACACCAUUGUUAUAUAUGAAAACGCAGCUUUAUGUAAGAAAUGCCGGUCCAUGUAGCAAUGAUUUUGUGCAGUGAAGUACGAUGAGUAAUACAGACAUGUAAGCGACGGAAUUUAAACCUCAUCCAAAUUUCUGCUUCAUCAAAUGAGGACGUGUUUAAAAGAUUAAAGGAUCAAAGCAACCCAAUGUUCGCUUAGAAAUAUGGAAAGCAGGAACUACAGCUGGUGAGACAUGUUUAUUUGAAAAGGGGAGUUUCCAUAAAGAUACGUAUUAGCAUGAGUGGCGCAUACACAUGCAACAGCCCAUUCUCAUCGAACUUGCAAAAGAUGAAAAACACCUGCAGCUUCAGCAUAACAAUUUUCACAGCAACAAUCCACCACUGUGUACUUGCCUCAAGUCCCUUUUUUUUCUUUUCUUUCUUUUUUUGGCGUAACCAUAAUCAAUGAUUUCAUCAUGCCGUAGGGCAUAUAAACCUGUUAAGUAAAACCUUCGUAUAUAUAAAUGUUUCCAUCCAUUCAUAAGUACAUCGUGAUUUUCAUCAAUUGCCAAUAUUGAUCCACUAUAAUUGAAACGAGUCAAAUGCUUUUGAAGAACUCAUCUCAAAAUAAUGUAUCAACCAAAACCGAGACCAGCUAGCACUGCUCAAAGAUAUUUAGCAUCAUGAAUCAAGGAAACAGAUAAGGUACUGAGCACACUCGAACAAAUUAAAUUCCUUUUUUGUGGCCCGAGUAUUUCCUCAUUUCAUACUAGGUAUGUAAGCCAAUAGCUAAUGACAAUUUAGAAAAGACUGUUUAUGACUGUCAACAACAUGAACUAUGCAGGUUAAUUUAAUAACACUGAUAAUUAAAAGGAGAGUAAGUCAGAUAACUCUGGUAUCCAGAAUCUGUAAGAAGAGAUAGUGAUGCCUAUGCCAAGAAGGGAUAUCGAAACCUACAUCAAGUAUUCCUUUCACUCCGGCUUCCUCCAGGGCCUCCCGACAUGCUGCUUCAUGAACCGUCUCAUCAUUUUCCCAUCCACCCUAACAAUGACACUAGGUUGUUAUCACAAUUUCAUACAGUAUACAGUUUACGUAUAAAUACAUCAGACUAAACAGUUUGGCAUAUAAUGAGGAAAUGGAGUGGGAAGAUAAGUAUCUACCUUAGGGAACACAAGAUCAUCACGGUUUGGUGUGGAAAUCAUAAGAACAUUUAUCCUGCUCGUCACACUGCUGUUACUAUCCUCGACAUCCUUCUGCAGUCUGUAUGGAAUGCACCUAAGUUUUUGCACCAUAAACACCAAAUAUGAGUUAAGAAGGCCGCACAGAAACAAAACAGUUUUGCAGUCAUUUACAUUUUACUCCACUUGUAAAGAUUCCGGUAAGUUGAUCUCAUCAUGAUACUUUGCUCUACCACUAACUUAUUAAUUAAUAACUAAGCGUGCUUGUGUCCCUUUAGGUAAAAAGCAAAAGUGAAAUGGAAUACUAGCAGCUCACUUGAAAAAGAAAUUAUCAAGUGAUCAACGCCUCUAAUUUAUGCCAAGAAAACUAUCUUCUAAGUGUCCAUUCGUCAUAUGCUAUAAGCACAUAAUAGAUGUAGAGUAACAUAGCAGAAAGAGGCAGAGAAGUUAACAAAGUAAUUUCAGCAUUUAAAUAGAUUCAUGUGCUUGUUAACCCUAUAAAUCUUAAGUUUUGUCACCCAUACUACUCCCUCAAAAACAAAAAUUAUGCCUUAAUUUUAUCGUUUUUGUUUAAAAACAUGACCACUUCUAGAUGUACCCUUCUUUUCUUUUCUUUUUUUAGUAUUUUAACUUUUCCGUCCUUAGAGAAAAAAUGGAUGUGGCGCAAUUAAAUAUGAUGACAAUAACAGGGGAACAUAGAAAGUCAAGGCAAUGGCCCAUCUCUGUUUUAUUGUUUAUCAGUCUAUUGUCAUAAAAAGUAAAAUCACUAUCAACAAUUUGGCACUUCUUGUCGUUAUUUUACUCUCUUCUGUUUCGAAUAGAGCAGCAGUAAGUAAGGCAGUAAGAUAAGGAUGGAUGCUAACCACUCAUUUUUUAACACCUCUAACGAAGAAAAUAGGCACCCUAUUCAUCUAAAACGAUGUGCGCUACAUUAAAUAUCACGACCACCAAAAAGAUAUCCACAAUCACAUUAUUUGAGCGUUAGCAGAACUGACAUAAGAAUUUUCAUGAGGCAGCAACAAGGAAGAAGGUCAAAAUUAGAAAGCAGUGAAUCAACUUGAGAUAUACCCAGCAACAAGUCUGAGAUGAUCCUGGUACCGUUGUCUGUGUCUCCCCUUUCGUGCUGGUAAAAACGACAUGAUCUACUAUCUGCAACACCCCAAAAACGUUAAGAAGAAAGAUAACUAAGUUAAACAAACGAGUAGAAAAUGCAUGAGAAAAGUGAUUUACAUGGAUUGGUGCUAGGGUGAUGAAGAGCUGCAUUCAGUAAGAGAAAAGCAGAAAAAUCCUGACCCUUUUAAGUGAAAGCAACAAGGUUGGUUUUGGGUUGCAGAAGAAAGCAGUGAGAAAGCAUAUAAAGAAGGAGCGAAAUAGUUGUCAUGCUCCGAGACUUUAAUAGGAAAGAUGAGGAAGCAAGCAAGUCAAUAUCGGCAACAAUGGUGUUUUUAUAAAUCAACAGGAAAGAGAGAGAGAGAGAGAGCUGUGACCAAAUCAACAACGUAACAACCGGCCUCAAAAGUAACCCAGCGUAGUAAUAUUAAAAAUACUUGGUACUGCGGCUGUAUUCAAAACUGUGACUUUUUCCGGGAUGAAUAGGAUAGAACCAUGAAGCUUCUUCAUGAACUUCACCUUUCGCCAAAAGAACAAACAAAAAGAUAAAAGGAAAGAAAAAGUUGUUGGUUUGAGAUUUUUCUGCAAUGUUUUCCAACUUGCUUCUUCUUUCAUACUCUUGGUUUAUAUAAUAAUGGUGAGCUGAUAGGGCCAUUUCGGCCGUGUAUUUUAGAACGAACACGUCAUCCAAGGUCCCGUCUGACUCAUCCCAGGACCUAAGCAAUCCUCAUAUGCACUGCUUGGUUUGUGAUAUUGUAUUAUUAAAAGCUGAUCUGAUAAAUGUGAAACUUCAGUAUACUUACAUCCAAUUGAUUGGAGAAUAAUAGGCAAAUGAAGAAAGGCCAAAGGAAACAACGAAAAGCUUGCCAUCAACAAGCGUCUUCAAAACUUGUCCUUUUAUAAUAUCACCAAAAACAGUAGUUAGCCAUUUUUUGUCUUAUAAUUUAUAUAUGCAUUUAGACUUUUGAAUUAAAUAUUUGCUUAAAAGUAACAAAGUUUUAACAACUGCUCUAGUCUAAUCAGAAGAAAAGAUGCUAUGAAAUUGUGAUUUUCUAUCCCUUUCCAAUAGAAGACCCUCAUAUUCAGCAUUUUUAGUUAUGAUUUAUCAUUCUCUUAUAGUCUUAUUGGGAAGGGAUAGUGAUGAUGUAAAAUCAUAUUUUUAUACAAUCUCUUCUCGUCUAAUUAUAUUUAGUUUCUUAAUUCUUUCAUCUACUCGUCCGUUGAUAAUGUAUUUUAAGGAUUUAAAUUUAUAAAUUAUAUUAGUAAAAAUUAAAAUUAAUAACGUUAAGAAAAAAUAAAUUUAGAACUUCUUUUACUUCUUCAUUGUACUUAUGUUCUUUUAGCAAAUUAUUAUUUCAAUUUUUUUAAUACAAUAUAAGGGGUAAGACAUGAGAUAACACGGUUCAAAUUUGUGACAAAUAACUAUUUGACAAGAGUUUUAGUCACCACUCUAUUUAAGUUAAGACUACUCUGAAUUUUGAAAUUCUAACACGUGACAACAAUGGUGUUGUUAUGAAAGUUUUAAAUUUUUUUAAAAAUCUAAAAUAUAAAAUAAUUAAAAAUUCUCAAAAAUAUAUAUGUAGAAAUGCAAAAGAAUUAUAAAAUUAAAAAAAAAUUAAAUCCAAAACUACUUUUACCAGAUUUCUCAUCAGCUUUACCAAUUUUCUUAAAAUUCUUUUAUUCGUUUCAAUGUUUACAAUAAACUAGUUCCCUACCCAUUUGUAAUUUUAUAUAUGAUUUUUUUUUUUUUGAAACAAAGUUAUAUAUGAUAAUUAUUUUAUAUAUGAGCGGUACAAAAUUUUAACUCCACAAACGGAUUGAGAUUUUAUUUUGUAUAUUUAAAAAAUUAAAAAUAAAAUAAAUAAGACAUAUGAUAAAAUUUCAAAUCCCCAACAGAUCAUAAAAAUUUUCACUGCCUAUUUAUCUAAUAAUUACCCCAUAUAUGUUAAUAAAUCUUAUAAAAAUUAUAAUAAAUAAAUGUAAAAUUUAUUAAACGUGAUAAAUGGGUUGAUUAUACUUUAUAAAAUAUGAGUUUUUGGCACACUCUAUGAUAGAAAAGCAUAAAAUAUAGUUUUUUAAUGAAUGUGAAUAAAAUGAUUAUAGGUUAAAAAUAAAGAAAAUUAAUUCAUUGAUAUUUAUAAGAAAUUUGACCAUCGAAAAUGUUUUGACACACUCUCUAAAGUUUUUUAUUGAAAACAAAAUAAACGAAAUAGUUUGUGAUUGGCAUGAUUUAUUCAUUUAGAAGACUAACUAUAUUUAUUUUUGUGUGCGCGCGAGGUUAAUUAUGUGUAUUUAUUAUGUUUAUUUCUUAAAUUUUUUAUACAAAAAUUUUAACAUUAGGAACCCCAUAUGAUGGCUUAAUGGUUAAAGGUGUUCAUCACACCAGAUGCGGUCUGGGUUCGAGCCGUACUAGUCGUGUUUGUUGUUUGGGCUUUGCUCUGUUAUUAUAAUUCACCAAAAAGAAAAUCAACAAUAUUAGGUAACAAAAGAAUAAUUUAGAUAUCACUUAUUGUGUCCAAAAACAAGUUUAUAUACCAACUAAGGAUAUGAAUUUCUAGGUUAAGCUUUUUUUAAUUGACUAAUUGAGGUAUAAAUUUGAGAAAAAAUAAUUUAAAUAUCAAUUUAUGGGUUAAGCAUAUUAUAAGUUUAAAGUCUUAGAAUAAUACAAAGUAUUUUAAUUAUUAUUGGAUAGUUACAUGUUUUACCAUAAUACAUAUUUAUAUAAUUAUAAUAAUUAAAUAUCAAAAUGAAUUCCAAUAAAACAAUGUUGAAAUAAUAAGAUUAUCUAUAUGAUUUAUAAAAUAUUAUGUGUUAAAAAAAGUACUUAUACUAUUCAAUUAACAUAUAAAUAUAAUAUUUAUAUUUAAAAAUAAGUAAUUGAUUUUUUAAAAUAAAAGCAUGGUAAUAUUUAAUAACAUUAAAGAAACAUUUAAAAUAAAAUUUAAAGUAAAUAAUUAAAAUACCCUUUUUACAAUAAUUAAAAAUCAAAGGGAAUAAUAUAGCAAUUUAAAAGGUGAGUUUUUCUUAAUUGUUUAUUGAAUGUACAAAAUGGUAAUAAUUAGUAUUUAGUGUACCUAUAAAAUUGUUUAAAAAAUUGUAAAUAAAUUUUAGUAAUUAAUAAUAAUGAUAUUAUUAUUCUUUAAUUUUGCGGAUUUGUAUUCUGAAUUUUUAGUGACAAAAAAGAGAUUAACAUUAAUUUUAAGAAAACUAGUACUAAAUAAUGACAAUUUUGGUUAUUAUAAGGAAUUUAAAAAAAUUGAUCCCAAAAUGGAAAUUAAUAUGAUUCUAAAAUAGUAUUCUUAAUCAAUGUCACUGCACUAACAUUGGAUGUUAUACUAAACGUAAGAAAUGAGUAACAUAUAUAAUAUAACCACAAUACUGUUUUUAUAUAAAUUUGGCAUUGACAAAUUACAUUAAACUAAUAUAUAUAAUGUUUCAUAGUGCUAACUCAAAUAAGGAAUUAACAGUUAUAAAUAUAAGGCUAUUUUACAAUUUAACUUACCCAUCUAAAAUUCAAACCUUAAAACCUUUUUUCCUUUCUUUUAUAUAAUGAUGUCAGCUUUCAAACUACCUACCUUCUCUUUCUUUCUUCUUCUCAUUCAUUCUACGUCUUUCGUUCCACUUUACAGAUCUAUUUUAUGGAUAUCUUUGUUAUCUUCAUAAGUUGUGAUGGACAGAUGAUGGUGUUUGUCACCACUAAAACUCCAUCAACUACCAACAGUUACUCUUUGAAAGUGGGUGGCUCUUCGCCGGCUUCUUAAUUUAUUCCUAUUUUGAGAGUAUUUUAGAAUAAUAAAUGGUUUCACGAGUAGGUUUGGACCCGUGUUAUCUUAAGUUUUAUAUGUUUUUUUUGUUUGUUUUCUAUUGUUUAAUAAGUUUUCACUUUUAGAAGUUUCGUCUACUCUUAUGGCACAUUUUUUAGUCUUACUUAUGCAUAUUUGUCAACGCGUCAUAAUAUUCUAUUGAUAUUGAGGCUGAAGCUUUGUUGUGUUUGUGGACCUUGUCCUUCACUACCUAUUAUUUUUUCCCCUUAAAUUAUAUGGUCUCAUUCAUGAAAUGAAUUAAUAAUUUUUCCUUUAAAAAAUAUAAUGGUAUUUGUAGGAAUUAAUAUGAUAAAUAAAUUGAUGAUUUAAUUUAAAUAUUUUAAUUAGAAUAUAAUUUAGUUAUGGAGAUUAUUAUUAUUAUUAUUAUUAUUAUAUCCAAUAUGUUAUUCGUGUAAUUGAAUAUUAUAACUAAAAUUGGUUUAAUUCGUGUAACUGAUCAUUGUAUAUUGUAAUUUUUAAAUUAAUAAUUGUUAGUUAUUAUAGCAUAUAAUUUUAUUUAAUUAUUACAUGAUAUAUAAAGUUUUCUUGAACAAUCUCAUUAUAAAUUUUGAUCAUAUCUGUUAUUUUGAAUACAAUGUCUAGAAUUACCCCUAGUUCCUCCCCAACUCAUAAAUAAGAAGAUUAUGCUUCCUGCAUUAGCAAUAUGAUAUAUAAAAAUUCUUGAGUCCAAAUAAAUUAAAGUCGAAUACACUUUUAGCAUAAUACUUUUUUAAUUGAUAAAAAAUUCAAAAUUAAAAAAAAUUCUUAAUUUUAUUUUUACUGUUUUCCAGUAUAGAAAAACAUCAUAAAUGCUUGAGAAUACAAAUACAAAUAAUUGUUAAUACAAAUCAUAAUAAUUAAAAUAAAGAUUUGUGUAACACCCCAAACCCGGCCUAGACGUUAUGACCGAAUCUGGCAGUGUCACAUGGUAGUGUUUUUCAAAAAGUGAGUUGUCGUCAAAAACCUUAUUUCUUUAUCGCUUCUUUACACUCUCUUAUGCUUAAUUCUAAGACGUGUCGAUCCAUUUCAUAUUCAAAAGUUAUUCUCUUUCAAAACAUUAUUAAUUUUCAAAACGUCACUUAUUGCGGAAGCUUUUUAAAACAGUUUGCAUAUUUGUGCGUAUUUUGUUAAAACGUUUGAUUCAUUUUGAAAACUCGAUUAUCCCUACUACUGGCAGUUGUAAGUCAAAACAAUAGAAACCCCAAAUUAAAAGUAAAAAUCCAAAGAGGCCAUUAUUACAGCAAAAUACUCCCAAAAUAAAAUUGAAAUCAUAAAUAAGUACUAAGUCGAAUUAAAUAGAUCGUUUGGCCACCGCUGAAUCUUCCGUCGCACCGAUCCGCCUAUGUCUGGGGAUUACCUGUACAGUCAAAUCAGAAUGACGAGUUUACGAAAACUCAGUGUGUAAUCCCAUAUAAAGCAAAUAGGCAGGAAGCAAUCACAGUCUGGGCCUAAGCCCUUCCCAGUAUCAGAGACAAUAUCAGUUUGGGUUUUAGCCCACCUUAGCACAAAAGCAAUCAUAUGUUUGGAUAUUGGCCCAUUACAGUAACAAUAAUCAGUACAGUAACAGAUUAUACAGUAUACAGGUCCUACCCAGCCAGCCUCUACACUCUAUCUCCAUCCAACCCUACACUUCAGUGGGGAUAUAAUCAACCCACACACAUCCCUACACUCCAAAUAGUACCGAAUGCGACACUAGACAAUAGUUGCAGCUGAGCUGCUAGUAAGUUAGGCUCAAGGCCUUUCAGUACACUUCCUCCAAUCAAUAUUAGUCCCAAACCCAAUAUAAUGCAUCAUACAGUCAUGUCAUGGUAUCAUGUAUAAACAGUAUAGAGUAUAUAGCAUGCUCAAAGUACAAACAUACAUAUCUAUCUCAUAUAGACAUAUAACAGUCGUUUAGUCAUUUCAGUCAAUUAGGGGUCUAGGUAAACUUACCGACCCUUCAGUAGGUUCACAGUCGACUUGGGCGACCUGUGCAACCUUAGCAGUCAAACAAUGAAAAUGGUUCCACAGGCCCAUAUUUUAUGUUCAUGUGAGGCCCACACACUCGUGUAGCCCGUACGGCCCGAAAUGGCCUUUGUCGUGUGGAUCACACGACCUGGCCUAAUAUUCCCACACACCCGUGUGGGGCCCACGCGCCCAUGUGGCCCACACAGCCCAAUUCAGCCCGGCCUAUGAAUUGCACAUGACCAGCCUUGACGAUCACACGCCCAUGCUCGAUCACACAGCCUACCACACGACGGCCGCACGCCCGUGUGGCAUCGACAAACACAUUUUUUGGCUUUUUGCCAAUUCCCGCUUUUAGUGUUAUGUUUACACACCUGGGUCGUUCUCGAUGCUUAAGCACUUCCUAACCUUCUGCAACCUGCAAAUAGCGUACCCAAUCUCGAAUUCAACAACUAAUCAAUUCGUUGGGAAGAAAAAUCGCUUCACAAUCGUCCCCUAUAUACAAACAACAGAAUCAAAAUCUUCCGAAAACUAAAAAAACACAAAAACACUACUUACCGUUAUCGCAUGGAAACAAAAGCUGAGGAGCCAGAUAGACUGAAACGAAAGAUAAGGGGAAACACUUGAAAUUUCGGCAACUAAACAGAACAAACAAAAAAAAAGAGAAUUGGAGGGGGAAAAAGGCAGCAAUGAGGGAUUUCGGCUGAAAACAAAAGAAAAAGAAAAGGUGGAGAGGGAAAAAUUAGGCAGGUAGAGGGGAAGCACUCGAAAUCUCGGCAGCAACACAGGAAGAUUGAAGUCAAGAGAAAACGAAAAGGGGGUGGGGAAGAAAGGGACAGAAUUCGACUAUGGAGACAGAAGAAAAAAAUAAAAAUGAAAGAUGGUAAAUGAGAGUUCUGCAGAGAUUUUCGGAAUCAAAGGGUAACUCCCCAAACUCCUUGAUUUACUCCACUAAAUCACAUCCAUUCCAACCACUCAGCAUCCCAGUCCAACUCAAACGCCUCCACUAUUUACUUUUCUCCCCAAAAACCGUCCACCCCUCCCUUAACCACCUAAUUCAAAUUCCACGUCAGCUCUAGUUCGGUUAGACUAAAACACCCACACGACACUAGCAGCAAAAUAAAACACUCCCUGGCACACAUUACUUAUCCACCAAACCAGUAAGCUCAUUCUAACAUAUUUUAUUAACAUUUAUUUAUAAGCCUACUGGCUAAAGAUAGGGAUUUAUUCAAUUAAAAACAAAAUUUUAAUCAAGCUCAGGCUAGAACUUGGGACCUCUCAAACACUUUCCAAAACACUUAACCACUGAAGCAAACAUGUAUUUAUGUCACAAACACACGAAAAUAGAUAUAUAUAAGAGAUUUUUGGGGCGUUACAAUUUGAUACAAAUGAGAAUAAAAGUUUUCAAUAAUUAAUGAUUACUAAACUAAGUUUGAAUAAAAAAUCGUAAUAAUUACAAUAAAGGAAAAAUAUAUUGCACAGAUAUACCUUGGACAACUUAUAUUAUUUAUGCUUCAUAUACCUAUCCAACUCAUUGGGAGGUUGUCUCAGUUCUCAGUUUCUUUGAACAUGCUUUUCCUUAUUCACUGAAAUAGGUUAAGAUGUUAAUACUAUUGGAAUAUCAAAAUGUGGAAAAAAAUUAUUACAAUUUUAUGAUAUUUUUUAACAUGUAUUAGAAAAAAAACUAAAUGAUUCUAUUGGAAGGAUUCAAUUUAUAGUACACGAGAUUUUUGUAUUUAACAAUGUUGUCUCCAAGAUUUGAACUUAUAUUCUCCUUUUAGGACUAUAAUGUACAUUACUACUGUACCCAACUACUUGUUAAUGAUAAAGUCCCUACUAUAAUAUAUAAAUUGAAUACAUUAGAUUAUAUAUUUUAACCCCAACUAAUGAUAGAAACAAUAAUUAAAGCAAAAAAAAUAUUAUCUUGACACUUAUACAACCUAUAAAAACAUUAUACACCUAACUAAAUAAAAAUACACUAAAUAUAUACAGUGAAAUAUAUAUUGUAUUGUAUAAAUCUAUACAUUUAACCAUACAGAAACAUCAAAACCUCUAAACAAAUCAAACAUACACUAAAAAUGAUAUUGUUUCUGCCAUCACAUUUUCUUUAACAACUGGCUAAAUAAAAGAAUAGAGUUAAAAAAAUGACACAUUUUGAUUAUUUGAAGAAAAAGCGAUAUGAUAGAGCUCUCGUAAAGGAAUGAAGAAAAUGAAAAUGAAAAAAUGUUCUGGUUAAAAGACAACAAAAAAAGGAUUAACAACUUUAAAAGAAGAAGGUACAAGCCCUGAAGUCAUAAAAAGAGCCUUAUUUAUAAGUACCUAGAUAAGAAGUUAAAGCGACAAAGCAAAAUGAUGAUAACAAAAAUGCGACAUAUUUUGAAAAACACUAAUUAAAGACAAACAUGUGUCCAAAAGCAAUUAAUUUAAAGGCACAAUAUUCAAAGGUAAUAAUCAUGACAUUUUAAAUCUCUUCAGGCAUCUCUAAAAAUCUCAAAAGCCCCACAAGAGAUUCAACUCUCGUCUAGGGGCAAUUGUUCAUAUCACUCAUUGUCUGCUUAUAGGAAAAGCUCGACGAAGCUUGGUCUUACAACCUCGUUGAGAGAAUAAUCUCAACCUUACCUCGCCAAAGCACCAAAUCACACAAGGUGAGCCCCACAUAAUCACAGAAAGAUAUAUGAGAAAGAGUUCUUGUCAGCACCUAUCAAUUCGUCAAUUCCUCGGACCUGGUAAACACUUCGUCCGAUCACCUCACAAAGUCCCCUUAAGUUGACUCCAACAAUAUUCUUAGCUAACAUCUUCCACUCUAUCACCUACACCUAAGAAAGUAGGGCACUUGAUGACUGGGACCCAUGCCAAGCACCUCACCUCAGUAUUAAGACAAUGGGACAAACAAAUAGGAUUGACCAUAUAGACAACAUUCUACUCAAAUGCCCUCCUAACUAAAAGAAACCAUCAUUCUUAGUAGCUCUCUACACUACUUAUGGCGUGAACCACCGAGCAAAUUAGAUAAAAAUGUCAAAUUUAAAGAUAAAAAAGAGAAGGAAAUAGGCCAAUUUUGGAGAGAGGAAGAGAAAAUGUGCCUUUUAGAAUGUGUUUUCACUGCUAUGUCAGAUGAAAACGUGUCUUACAGGGUGUACUUUCUGACUUUUUUGUUAUAUUAACUCAUUUGGUUAGAUCGUUAAAUGUUAGUAGUCUUAUCCUUGAGUCUCGAGUUUAAUUCUUCUCCUACUAACAUUUGUAUUUUUUAUUUCAUAUUUUUAUUACAUUAGCUCGUUUGGUUAGAUGGUUAAAUAAUAGUGAUUUCAUCUUUGAGUCCUAGAUUUUAUUCAUCUUCUAAGCAUAUUUGUACUUUUCUAUUUCAUGUUGUUUCAAGUUUUUUUAUUUUAAAUUUAUAACUCUUUUGUUUAUAAAAUGAAAUAAUAAAUAUGUAAUUAUAUAAUAAAUAUAUAUUUUAUAUAUCAUUAUGUUAACAAUAUUUAAAAUUAAUAACUCCUUUAUUUAUAUAAAUAAAUUAUAUAAUAUAUAAUAUAUAAUAAUUAUAUAAUAAAAAUAUAUUUUUUAUAUUUAUCAUUAUGUUAAAUAUAUUUUAGUUUUUAAAAACAUCAACUAAUUUUUUAUAUAUUUUUCUUUAUAUAUAAUAUUUAUAUGUUAAAUAUUUAUUUUAUUCACCUAUAUUGUGGGUAUUGUGAUUUUUAAUAUUAUAAAAAUAAAAUAAUUAUUUGAAAUAUCAUUAUUAUUUUUAUACGUAAAAUAUUUUAAAUAUCAUUGUUUUUUCAUCUACAUUGUGGAUAUGAUAUUUCAAAUAUUUUUACAUGUGAAAUAUUUCAAAUAUACAUACAAACAUAUAUAAUACUAAAUUUUACUACACUCAUGAUAUAGAUUGAAAAAUAAAUAUUAAACAUAUAAAAAUUAUAUUUACUAAAAAUAACGAUAUUUGCAAUAAUUAUUUGAUUUUAUAAAUUAAAGAGUUAUUAAUUAAAAAGAUGAAUUAAAAAUUGAAAAAAAUAUAUUUAUUAAUUAAAAUUAGAAGAAGAAGAAGAAAAAGCUUGAAACAAUAUGAAAUAAAAAAUACAAAUGCGCUUAAAAGAAGAAUUGAACUUAGAACUCAAAGAUGAAAUCACUAAUAUUUAAUCAUCUAACCAAAAAAACUAGUGUGAUAAGAAUAUUAAUUAAAAAUAACAAAAAGAAGAAGCUUGAAACAAUAUGAAAUGAAAAAUAAAAAUGUGAGUAAAAAAGGAAUCGAGCUCAAUAAUAAAAUCACUAAUAUUUAACCAUAUAACUAAAAUAAUUAAUAUAUCAAAAAAAUCAAAAAGAGCAUAUUGUAGGAUGCAUUUUUAUCUGACGUGGCAGUGAAAAUGCGUCCAACAGGAUACAUUUAAACACAUUUUUUCUUUUUCUCUCUAAAAUCGAUCUAUCUCCCUAAAUAUUCUAGAAAUUAACCCAUUUUUCUUUUUUUUUUAAAGGGAUAUUUCUCUAAUUCAUGCAUGAACCAUCUAUAUCUUUAAUGAUUUUUCACACCAUUUACGAUAGAAACUACUAUAAUGUAUAACUUAAUUAUUAUAAAUAUAGAUAUAGAUGUGAUGAAUAUCAGUAAAGCAUCUAAUAAUAUUAGAGCUGAUUAGGUGAUAUAAUUACAUUGUAGAAGAAUCCAGGAGAAAUAAGACUUGAUCUGAUCCUUUUUACAUCAGGCCAAAAGCCGUUUACUCUGAAGUCAACCGAGCCGUAUUAAAAGAUUAGUUAAAUAAUGAAAAUGGGCGGCAAAUAGGCCCAAAUGUCAACCCACGUGCAAACUUUAGGGGUAUCAUGCCCUGUUGCCCUUAUCCGGUCCAGUUGAUGAUUCAGCAGCUACCCACCUGUCCAUAUCCAGCGUCAAUUUUUAAUGCAGGCAUCAAUUAUAAUUAAUUGAGAAGUACAGAAUGCUAUUUCUAGUUAAUCAAGUUGAUAAAUUUUAUUUUAUCAUCUUAAUUCGAUUUAAAAUUUUUUUGAGUUGAGUUAAACGAGAUAAAAUUCAAAUUGAAGUGAAUUGAAUAUAUUUUAAUUCGAUUUAAUUUUUUUUUGAAUUCAGUCGAGUGAGAUCAAAUUUAAAUCGAAGCGAAUUGAAUAUAUUUGUUUGAACUAACUUUAUAAAAAAAAAAAAGACUUUGGGUCCUUGUAAGUAUUACGACCUACCGUAAUUAAAUUUGUUAUUAACUUUCAUUCUCUUAUAAAUUAUUUAUUAAUAUUUUAUAUAAGGGUUAGAUUUCUUAUUUGUUUGGUUGCUUCAAUUAUCUUCUGAUUCUUGUCACCGUGUAUUUUAAAAUUAAAAAAUAUAUUAAAUGUAAAAAAUAUAAUUUUUUAAUAAAAUAUAUUUUAAAGAUAAAAUGUGAAAUUUAUACCAACAAGAAAUUUAAACACAAAUAUUUUAUGUGUAACAUCCCAAACCGGCCUAGACGUUACGACCGGAUCUUAGAGAUUAAUAGAAGAAAGCUUGCCUUAUUAAAAAAUGUUUGAUCUUGUGGAAAUAAUUUUGUAAAAUCUGCUUUAUUUACUUUAAAAAAUCUUCAUGGUUGCACAUUUGUUAUUUAACGGUUAUUAACUUAAUCAUUCCUCCGGAAACUCAAUUGCUUAUUUUGAUUUGCAACAGUAAAAACUCGUAAUUCAUCAAUUUUGAAAACAAAUGUGCGACCAGUUUAGUUAAGAGAGAAAUCUUGCAGUUUAAUUAAACUAACUUGCUAAACCCCAAUAAAAGCCCAAAACCAAUGAUAAAGUCCAAAAAAAUUAUCAACGGUCAGAAAAACAGUCUAUGUUUUAAAAUAAAAAUAAACCUUUAAAAAUCAGCUUGUUUAUGAGAAUUUGAAUCAGAGUUUUCGUACGCUGUCCAAUCUUAAUUCUGAGGAUUACUUGAGAAGAUAAAAUAAUAUGUCAUGGCCCAAAAAAAUAACAGAUAGUCAAAUAAUGCACAGACAAAACUUAUUACAGAAUAAUAUCAGAUACAAGGCAUGCUUAGCAUUGCAAUGUCCUACAAAUAAUUCCUACCCCCAAUCGCUAGACACCAUCUCCGUUCACCCAACACAACAAUUAGGGUUAUUAAGUACUCAUCCAACCAACACAUCAGAUUAACAUUAAUGUAAUAUUGAAAAAUCAUACAGUCGAACUACCAGAUAAUAUGCGAAAAAUCACCAGAUACGGAUAAUGAAAUUUAACUGCCAAAAUCAUUAUCAUAAUCUACCAGAACUUCCUCCAUGUUAUAUUUAUAACUCACCCCAAUGCACAUGCAAACAUCAAAUCACAUAUUCAGAUACACUAAGAUUAAUCAUGCUCAUUUAUGAACAUAGCAGAACGAAAACAUGCCAAUAGUGCAUACAGAUUUAUAGAUUAGAGACAUGCAUAUAAACUAAGUUGGAGUUACUAAAUAGAGACUUGCUCGUACACACAAACAUACAAUUGAGUAUACAGUUUUACAUGUUUUAACAUGCUUUUAGAAAACUUACGUACGACAAUAUACAUAAUAGUUUUUGGUAUAUUACUAAACUCCCUCAUUCGGCCCAAAUGUGGCCUUAAUGAAUGUUCAAAAUAGGCCCAUAUGACCAGGCACACGCCGUCUGCCAAGACUGUUACAUUCAAUUUUGCAUGAAUUUACGUGUUUUUUAGAGACAUACACCUAAUUGUUUUGGAGAGGUCGAAACCAUAGUAACAGUGCACGUUCUGCACAAGACAUCAACCUCAACCAAUUAGCAAGAAUACAUGAAACUGAACUUCGGGCAUUCGACCCUUGCUCAUUCAAAGCAUUUGGCCAAAUGAAUGGCCAUUACAAACCAGCCCUUAUGUAACAGCCCGUUUUCAGUGAAAUCGGAACAAUGGUUUCGGGACCACAAAUCUGAGGUCGGAAGAAAAUUUAUUUUAAUAUUAUUUUUUGAUCUACAGUAUGAUAGAAAUAUCGUAUAAAUACCAUUUACAUGCCUAACUUGAUAAAAAGUACUAAAUUGCAUAAAGUGUGAAAAUUGAAUUCUAGUAGUUAAAAGUAUCAAAUAGCAAUGAAAUUUAAAAUUGAAGGUCAUUAUAUAGCAAAUAGACCAUUUAAAGGAGUUAGUGGAUAAGUAUGAUUAUUCACCAUUAGAAAUUGAAGAAAAUAUUAAGGUUAAUUUUGGAAAGUAAAUGAUAAAAAGAUGAUAAAUAAAUUAAAUAAUUAUUAUCAUCUGUUCUCAUCAUCUUUCAUCAAAAAUAUGGAAACCCUAGCCAUAGAAGCUUAAGUUUUAGCAACCUUAUUUUUCUCAUUUGGAUAAGUAUUUUUUUUCCUAUUUUUAAUGAUUUUUAUGUUUCCGAUAUCGUAAUAGCUUAAUCUAGCUAUCUCGGGGAUUAAUUUGCAAAACCGUUAAAGUAAUAGGGUUUUUCCAUUGAUGAGUAUAGUUUAACUUUAAAGUUUUAUGAUAGAAAAUGAAAUGUUAUUGUUAGAUAAACAACUUUUGUAAAGAGAAUUUUGAUGAAAUUGUCAAUUAGGGACUAAAUUGAAAAGAUGAAAAAUUUAUGGAAAAAUUCUAAAUUUUGUGAAAUACAUAGGCUGCUAUUGAUAUGUAUAAAAAUUGGCUAGGCUUGAAUAAGGAUUAAAUUGUAUGAAUUUCAUUUUUUGAGCCUAGGGACUAAAUUGUAAUUAAUUAAAGUAUAGGGGUAAAAUAGUAAUUUUCCAAAUAUGUGUGUUGGAUUAAAUUGAAUAUAAAUUAUAUUAAAUUGAAUUAAAAUUCGUAUAGAUCUGGAUAGACCUAAUACGAAGUUAGAUCGAGGCAAAGAAAAAGUAUUGGAUUAGUAGCCUUGGUAUCUACAUAUACUUAUCGAGGUAAGUUCGUGUAACUAAAUUGUAUAUUUAAAUGUUUUAAAUUGAAUAUUGUUGUGUGUGAUUUGUACAAAUUGCCAUGUAUAAUUAUGAUCAUAUAUCUGAUAAUUAUCGAGUCCUGUUUUAACCUUAGAAAUCCGAAGGAUACAAAUGACAUGUUAUAAGGGUUCCUAAUAUAGUUGUAAUCCUCCAUGUGUUGCGGAUACACCACAACUCUCUUGAGCUUUCCAAUACUUGGCUCUUAUGAGCUUCUCGAUUAACAGCUCUCUUGAAAUGCUUGUAUAAACAUACAAGUACAUGGAUUGACGGAUUACAGAUUUGUACACUUCGUGUGUACUACCCGUGUAUCCUAUGAUAUUUUAAAUGCUUCAACAGGUAAAGUUUUGACAUGAAACAAUAUGAGUUCGAAAUGAACAAUUAAGGGUGUAUACUUGAAUUACAUAGAAAUGAUAUUAAUGAUAUAUUGAAAUAUGAGAUGGAUGAUACCUGUAUAUGAAUCUUGCCUAAUGAUUAUGUACAUCCAUGUGUAUUGAUUAUUGAAAGUGUUACAUGGCUAACAUGUGGAUGGUAUGUGUUUAGGCUUUUGGCCAAAUUGAUUUGGUUAUAUUAGCAUGCUUAAAUUAAAUGUGAUUAAAUGGUAAGUUAAUUUUCUUGUUAUAUAAACUUACUAAGCUUAAAUGCUUACUCUGUGUUAUUUUCCAUGUUUUAUAGUAAUUCGGCAUCUUGUUUUAGUUGGAAGCUAGUCAGAGUAGAUUCACACUAUCCAACGGCUCAUUCGGUAUAAAUAGUAAAUUAAUUCUGGUUAUAAUGGCAUGUAUAGGUUAGUUUGGCCAAUGUUGGAAAAUAGAUGUUUUGUUAAGACUAGCCAUUUGAAUGACUUGUGAUGAAUAUAUUUUGAUGUGUGUAUAAGUGGCCUUAUCAUGUUCGAUGUGUGUUUGAAAUGGUUGAAUGAUGAAAAUCUUAUAGGUAUAUUGAUGGUUAGGUUGAAUUGGUAUAUUUGGUAAAUUAUGCAUAUAUGUAUUAGGUCAUGUAGGUGAAAUUGGUUAUUUGGUUGAUAUGAGUUAUGUUGUCAUUUAAAGAGCCUAAGGGAAUAUUGUUGGUAUGUAAUAGUAUUACAUAUUUAAGUAUUGAUUUUGACUUGAUUUGAAUGCCUUGUGUAACAGCCCGGUUUUAGCUAAAUCGGAACAGUGGUUUCGGGACCAUAAAUACGAAGUCAAAAUAUUUAUUUUAUUAUUUUAUUAUGGUUUAUAGCAUGAUAGAAUUAUUGUGUGAAAUUUUCGUAAAUAAAUUUUACCGUUUAAGUGUUUAAUUCGGUAAAAAGGACUAAAUCGCGUAAAGCGUAAAAGUUGUGUUCUAUAAGGUAAAGAAAUCAAAUAGCUAUAGAACUUAAAAGUGAAGGUCCUUAUGUAGUAAAUAUCCCAUUUAUGAGAUAGUGGAUGAUAGUGGAGUGGCAAUUGGUGUUAUUAUUAAAGUUUUUAAAGGGUAAAAGGGUAAAUAAGUAAUUAAUAUAAGUUAAAUAAAAUAAAAACAAAACAUCAUCAUCUUUUCACCAUUUUCAGCUGAAACUGAAAGAGGAAGAAGCCAUUUUUAUGUUCAACAUUCGACAACCUUAAUCCCUUCAAUUAGGUAUGAAUUAUUAACUCGUUUUUAAUAAUUUUUACAUUUUUGAGAUCGUUGCUUCGUAAUCUAGCUAGCUCGUGCCUCUGAAUUCGAAACUGUUAAAGAUUUAACAUAUUGCAAUUGUUGAAUGCUUGAGUAAAUUGAUUAUUUAUGAUAGAGUAUGAAUAUUUAAUGUUAGAUUUUCAUCUUUUAUAAAGUGAUUUUUGAAAAAAAUGUCAAUUUUGGAUUAAAUUGUGAAAUGUGGAAAUUUAAUGGUUAAAAUGUGAAAUAAAUUGAAAAUAUGGGCUGAUAGUAAGAUAUGGAAAAUUCAGCCAGCUUGGGUUUGAGUUUAAUUUCAUGAAAUUGUGAUUUUAUGUGAUAAUGACUAAAUUGCAAAAAUGUGAAAUAAUAGGGGCAAAAAUGUAAUUUUGCCAAAAUAUGUAAAUUGUGCUAAAUUGAAUGAAAUUAUGAUUAAAUAAUUAAAUUUUGAUAUUAUAUAGAUUGAGAUAAAUGAGAUUUGGAUCUAGAACGGGGGAAAACAAAGUAUCGGAUUAGUCGACCAAAUUUAUCGUUUCAGCGAAUGAGGUAAGUUCGUAUGUUUAAUAAGCAUUAAAUUAUACAUGUUUAAAUGCUUAGUUGAGAUAAUUAUGGUGAAUGCUUAAAUAUUGAAUUUAAUUGUGAUUACAAUGAUUUGAAAAUGUUCGACGGAGAUUCGACAAAGUAAAAGUCACGGUUGAACCUUAGGAAUAGAUAUGAUACACAUGUCAUGACAUUAGGGUUACUAAGAUGACCAUAUUUGGGAUAUGGCAUCGAUAUGAGAAUUCGUGUAAGACCAUAUUUGGGAUAUGACAUCGAUAUGAGAAUUCGUGUAAGACCAUGGAUGGGUUAUUGGCAUCAAUACGAGAUUACAUGUAAGACCAUAUCUGGGAUAUGAAAUUGUUACGGUACUAUGUGUACGAGAUCCCCGAGUAUCCUUUAGUAUUCCAAAUGGUUCAACGGGAAAAAUGGAUGAAACAUGGUUAUAAGUGGUGGUACAACGAAAGCAAGGUAUUCGUGACAGAAAUCAACAAGUAAGUGAAAGUUGAGAAUGAAAGUACGAUCGAGUUAAGCAAGACAGGUAUGUACAGAACCUAUGUGAGAAUCGAAUGAAACUGAAUUGGUGAGUUCAUACCGUAUCAUGUAUAUGAAAUGAGAAAGGCAUGUGUUUAAAUAUGUUGUAUACCAAAAUGUGCUCAUUUGGCUAUAUGGAAGUAUGAAUUGAAUGUUAUAUGAGAAUUAAAUUGAUUAAACUUGUGGAAGCUAAGGUUUGCUAUAUAAAUGAUUAUAUGAUUGAUAAUGAAAUGAAAUAUGAUCUAUGUGAAUUGUAUAGAUGAAAUAUGAUAUGUGUUAUAAAGACGUAUGGAAUUGGAAAUGAAAUUUUAUGAAAUGUAUGAAAGAAAUCAUGAAAGAGUAAAAUUUGCAAUAAAACAGUUUUGGACAGCAGAAGUUGUAUAACUUUGAAAAAUCACUAAAAAUUGUGGGAAUCGAAUUAGAGGUUGAUAAGACAUGAAAUUAAAUCUUAUUAAAUCUAGUUUCAUAUAGAAGAAACGGUGUAAGUAAAAGAAUCUUGUAUUAUGAGAUAUUUGAAUUUUUGUGAGAUAAUGUCAGAAUAAUUUUGGAAUCCCCUGUUCUGAAUUUAGAAAAUCAUUAAAAAUUGUAUAAAAAUAAUUAUGGGUUAUAAUUUAUAUUAUUAAAAUUAUUAAGGAGUCUAUUUUCAAUAGAGACAAACAGAAAUAUCAUUCGAAACCCGUACUAAGAGAUAAUUAAUUUUUAGAGAAGAAGGGUUGAAACUGUUAGACAGCAGAACAGGGACAAUUUUGAAGAAUUAACUGUAUUUAUUGGCUAAACCAGAAAUUCUGAAAAUUUUAUAGUAAGAAGAUAUAUGAGUCUAGUUUUGGAAAAUCAAGCGGAUCUUAAUAUGGAGUUCUGUAGCGUAAGAUAUAAAUAAUUUAGUGACUAUGACUCGAGUAGACAGCUUAAUGUGAACAUGAGUAAAUAGUGGACCUACGUGCAAUUUUGAUUGUAUUAUCUUGAGAACAUGUCGUGAGGAUUGGUAAAAGUAGUUUAACAGACUGCUUAUUAUUUACAUAUCAACUUACUAAGCUUUAUAGCUUACUUUGUGUUAUUUUUCUAUGUUUAUAGUGUCCCAAAGGCUCGCUCAGGUUGGAAAUCUUCGGAGAUCCCAUCACACUAUCCAGCUAUGGUUUCAGUACUUAAAAGGUUUGUAAUUUUGGUUAUGUGGCAUGCAUAGGCUAGUUGGUUUGUUAAGUGUAUAAGUGAUUUUGGCUAUUGGUGCCUAUAUGUUUGAAAUGUAUUGAGCCAUGAGAUUUGACUUGUUUAUAAUGUGAGAUUUGAUAUGUAGAUGACCUUAUAAUUGGAAUGUGCUUAUGUAGGGUUGACCUUUAUGGUUGGCGAAUUGGUCUUGCAAAUGGCCUAUAUUUGUCCACGCGGCUGUUCAUACGGGCGUGAGACAUCUGUUACUUAGAAAAGUCUUAAAGUUUCGGAAAUUUUUAUGUGAAACCAGUUUAGUCCUGAACCUUCUUAAAAGCAUGUUUUAGAUCUUGUAGACCUAUUUAAGGGACAAUGUGAUUAUCAAUGAAUGUGAUAUGAAGAUAUGUGAUCAAUGGAUAUGAAAUGUUUGUAUAAUGAUGUAAAUUGUUCGAUAAUGCCUCUUAACCCUAGUCCGGUGACGGAUAUGGGUUAGGGGUGUUACACAUGUUAUGACUUAUUGAUGUCAAAAAAUCUUGAUUUAGGUUGAUGACAAAUUUGGUGAGAAAUAUGGCUAGAAAAAUGACCUAUUUUUGUCCACACGGGCAUAGACACGGGUGUGUGUCUCAGCCGUGUGUGACACAUGGCCAAGUGACACGGUCGUGUGUCCCCUUAUAACUUAAAUUUGCACAAAACAAAAUGCUCGGGCGUGCGGCUUGGUCAUGUUACCCAAGUCAGAGAGCUUAUAAGUUUAGACACAGGUUGGGACACGGCCGUGUGUCCCAAUUUCGAAUGCCCACAUGGCCUAAGACAUGGGUGUGUCUCUUGACCGUGUGAGACACACGGCCUGGCCAUACGAGCGUGUGUCCCUUGUAUCUUUGAAAAAUUUUGAUAUUUUCUAAAAAAAUUCUAAGUAACCAAUUUAGUCCCGACUUAUUUCUAAUGUGUAUUUUGAGCCUUGAGGGCUCGCAUAAGGGACAAUAUAAUUGAUUUUGAUUGGUUUCUAAUAUGUAUGCCAGAUGAUAUGAAAUGUCUGUUAAUUAAUCUUUAAAUUCUGGUAAUACUCCGUAAUCCUAUUUCAGCGAUGGAUACGGGUUAGAUGUAUUACAUUUAUUAGUAUCAGAGCCUAGUUUAGUAGAUUCUCAAACUAACGUAACAUAUAUGAGUCUAGCUAUACAUGCCAAUAUAUAACCUGUGAUAGUGUGAUAUCUCCUGACCGUUUUAACACAUGUUUUCAUAUAGGAAUGUUAUCCAACCGAGCUGAUUCCGAAUAAGCAGAAAGUAAUGCUCAAACCUCUGUGCAAAGAGCAACUUUAAGUAGUAAAAGACCCGUAUCUGAGGACCGGGGAGGAGAGGCUAAAGAAGCCUUCUUCCAAAUGAUGAAUGAAUGGUUUACUGAAUUUAGACAAACGAACUCGGCUAUGCAACAACCUCCACCCCC